GCAUAGUUUUCAGAAAAUACAUUCACAGAAAGCUUGGCCUCUUCAAUUGUUCUCAGAAGUGAUGCCGAGAUCUCAUCUCCUCUCACAAGCUGAUAAUCUAUGAAAGUCAGGAUUUGUUUCCGGUUCAAAGCGGCAUAGAGGUGGCUGGUAAAAUCAAAACGAGUGUCUUCGCCUCUGAAACUAAGGAAGACAUCAUAUUUCAUUCCUUGUGGCUGGGCGGUGGUUAAGGUGGAAGGAGUAGAUGGCGAUGGAGAUAGAUGAUGGUUUCGUAAGAUGAAUCUCCAGAUAUAAACAAACAAAAAGAUAGAGAGAAACAAGAAAAACACCGCCGUUGUUUUGUGGAGAAACAGACGAAGAAACAAGAGUAAGACUCUGGUGGCAGGGUAAGUAUGUAGGGAGAGAACAGAAGCAACUCAAAGAAAAAAGAUGUUGACUUCCUGGAAAUUUCCGGUCUUGUUCAUUGUUAAUAAUCUUUCGUUAAAUAAUGUUUUUAUAGAGGAGGCUCGAUCAUUGGUUGAUUUUCUUUGAUAAGCACAACUUUGGUGGGCCAUCUACGCGAUUCGGGUGAUCUUACAUGAUAAUAUCGGCAUCCCUUCAAUCAACCAACAAAGGAAGGAGCUCUAUGGGAUGAAUUUGAAAAGAUGGUGGGUUGCAGAGGCGCAAGGGUUUCUCCACUAAUGGAGGGAGACACAUGUGAGGAGGGUAAAGCUAAGGGGCCUCUCCCUGUUUUGACAAACUACACUAGGACCCACCCCUCGAUGGGGUACAAUGGGACCGCAUGUGCAAAUUUGUUGGAAAGAGUUUUAAGCAGCUUAGCUAGAGUGGGUAGGGUGGUGAAAGAAUUGUCCAAUCAUACUUUCACCAUCUUCUUCCCUCGCUAACAACUGUCCUCUCUACGAAGGUUUCCUUUUUCCUCCUCCUUUGUUAAUGGGUGAUUGAAGGGAUGCCGAUCCUAUAAAAACACUUUGGGGCCUUAAUCAUGCUUACUUUGUUGGUUGAUUGAAGGGAUGCCGAUAUUAUCAUGUAAGAUCACCCGAAUCGCGUAGAUGGCCCACCAAAGUUGUGCUUAUCAAAGAAAAUCAACCAAUGAUCGAGCCUCCUCUGUAAAAACAUUAUUUAACGAAAGAUUAGUUGUGCCAGUUCUUGUCAUUAAAAGCAAUACAGUCUUUUCAUGUGAUCUAUUAUCAUUGUCAUAUUAAAUAAGAACAAAUCAGUUUUUAAAGUAUUAAUGCUGCAUCAUCUAAUUGCGAAUGACACAACAAUCAGCAAUGAAUAUUUUCUCAAGUACAAGGACAGGAACAUCAUGACGCAGAUGCUCCAGAUUCUCACACAUUUGAAAAUGUAUGAAGCCCUUUUAACAGUUAAUCUGCAUUACAGGAAAGUGAGCUCAGAAUAGGAAAAAGAUGUGAAUUUAAGAAGAAGCGCAGCCUAUCAUACUAGACUGAGCAAUAUUAAGCUGUACAACAAGAAAUGAUCAUCUCAUAGCAUUGUCUGGAGCAUUCAAGUAGAAGAAUAACCGAAAUCAACUAAACAAGAUGAAAGACAUUGCGCCAACCCAUUUAAUCAAACAGGCAAAUAGAAGCAGCCAUACAAGAGCUUCAUUAGCUUCAUUACCUAUAACGUAAACCGUGUGUGGGAGAAACACUGUGAGAAAGCUUCAUGCAAACUAAAGACUGAUCCAUCAGCUUUCUCCUUCUUUAAUUCAAAAUUCGCAAAAAGUGAACAGAUAACUCUCUCAUUGUGAAGUUAUCUCCUGCCUAAAAUAGAUGUUUAGCAAUUAAGAAUCAAAAGCUAUAUAACUUAUAGAAGUAAUACAAAUGUAAUAAGAAAAAGAAAAAAACUUACUUCACAAGGUCAACAUUAAGACCCAAUCUUCUAGCAUCGCUCUUGGCUACCAAAAAGAAAAGCAAAAAUGUUAAAAUAAUUAAGCAACUUUCAAUAUUCAAGCCAUUGCAAAAGCUAAGCUAACUAAUCAACAUAUAUAUCUUCCCCUAAUAGCAAAGCUAAAAAUUAAGCAUGAUUAGUGCUUCAGUGACGAAAGGGAACGAACUUUGUUUCGUUUCUAGGUUUAUAGACUGGAUUCAGUCAGCAUUACGACAUAAUCAAAAGGAAGGAGUGAAGUUUGGUUACCGGAAUGGACUAAAUCCAGUUAUUUUACUUGAUGAUAUAUAGGCAGUAGUAUAAUUAGUCCUAUCAAUAAUGUUGGUCUAAACCCAAUAUAAUGGUUAUUACUAUUUCAUUGGGAAGAACUUGUUGUGCAUAGCUUUCGAACCUGUAUAAAGUGUUGAGUGGAUAUCGCCAAACAACCACAAUUACAAUAACACUAUCCAUCAAUAGCCGGUCACCUUAAUUCGUCAUUGAUGCCUUUUCUUUUGACGUCCGGACAUCCUUAUUCCUUAAAGUUGACAUAAUCUAUUAUUAAGUUAUUAAGAUGGUGAUUAAUAUUACCGUUGUAAUUAUUUUUAAAAAAGAAUUUUUUAUUUUAAAAUAUAUUAAAAUAUUUUUUUUAUUUUUAAAAUUUACUUUUAAUAUUAACAUAUUAAAAUGAUUAAAAAAUAUUUUAAAAAAAUUAAUUUAAAGUAUAAAAAAAUUCAAAGUGCAGUUUAACUAUAAAAAUAAACAAUAUCUAGGUUAAUUUAUGGGGUUGCUGAAUCAAUUUUAAUUAAUUAUUUUUAUAAAAAUAAUAUUUUUUUAGAAUUAAUCAAAAUAAAUCAAUUAUGUUAUUAUAAAUUUAAUCUGAUGAAUAAAAUUUUACCAAAUUAAUAUUUUUACCUUUUCAAAUAAAAACUUAACUCGCUUAAAGCUUCUCAUCACGGAUUUUCAAUUCAACCCACUAAGAAAAGUGGGGUUUAAUAACUAUAAUAAAUACAUUUCUAUUAUGCAACCAAAACUUCAACGUCUUCUUGAACCAGCCUGGAAAAUCAAGUCCUCCUGUCAUGAUUUUAAAUACACUUCUCUCAGUGGCAUGACCUUGUAAACUAUUUUGUUUCUGAAUUUUUUUUUCUUAACAUGAAAGACAUGAGGACAUCUCCCCUUUUUCCCUAAUAUCUCCGUCACCUCAUAAGAUUAAUCUCUGUAACCGAGAGCCUGUAGUUUUCACGUUAAGUGACUAUCAUGCUAUAAGCGUAGAUCGAGUGGAGAGAAAUGCAGACACAGGGUUAGCUAUGGCAACACAAGAGGGACAUUUUCAGGACUUCGUAUUGUAUCAUGUGAUCAGAAUACACACUCUGCAGACAUUUUUAACUGCCAUCUAUGUUAACAUGUCUAUGGAGGAUAGAGAUCCCAACCAAAUGGGAAAAAUUGAAUUCUACAGAAACGAAGAAUUGCUGUGUUCUUACAGAAUUUAUCAAGGCCUUUUGACAACUUCACAGUUGCUCCAUUCAGAAGCCAACGCUUUUUAGAAUCCUAGUCUAUUUGGUAGGAGGAAAUUACCAGAGGAAAAUGUAAAACAACAGGGGUAGCAAAACGAAGGAAAAGUUCUUGGUCAAAAACAAGAACAGAGAAGAAGGGAAGCCAAAAAUCCAAUGGCCGCACUCUAUUUCCUGUCUCAUAGAGUAGAAAGAACAUGAAAGAGAAGAAAAAAACCUAGAAGAAGAUUUUUCAACUUGAAAGAUAUUGUGUGAGUUUCAUAACUUGCAUAUCAUUUACUUGUGAUGCAAAGACUAAGCAGAUAAUUACCCAUAUCAAGUCUUUUCUCUUGAAACUCAGAGGACUUGAUCCACCAUUGGAACAUGGACUCAUGAUAGGAACUGGCUUGAGAAGGAAACCAGAAGGCCGAGAAGGCACCAAACCAUGAAUUGGAUUUAAUACACAACUAAAUUGAGUACUUUAUGAGCUGAUUGAGAGAGAUCUUGGCACCAAACCAUGAAUCUGAUAUUUUCAUUCCAGAAAUGUUUCCAACACAAGUUUUGAGGUAAAAUAGAAUGACAAGACACAUGAGCAGAUUUAUAUUCAAUCUAUGCUAUUCUUUUCAUGGAUUGAAAAUUAUAAUUACAAGUAUUUUCUGGAAGUGCUUGAUUUUCUUGUGCAAGAUCUAAGAUUUUCACAAUAUACUUCUGAGCUGUGACAACUUGGCAUCAUUUCAGGAGGCUGAAGCAAUUCUAGAAGAUAUCAGAUUUUCUCCAGUGCAAACACUUGGGUAUGGUGUGGUAAGAAAUCAGAUUGCUUUUUGUGAUACUGCACUAUGAUUAGUCUAUUUCAAUCAUUUCUGCUCUUUUGGAUUUCUUUUCCCCAACUAAAGCCAUCUUUUUUUUAAAAAGGAUAUCUUGUAUCUAGAGAGACGUGUUUAUGGGAUGGGAAUGAUCUUUUUAUUUUGUAGCAAGGACAUAAAAUAAUUACAGGUUGAUUUCUCUUUGUUUUGAAUGCAUGCUUCUGUAUGGUCUAGAGACAUGCUUCCACAAAGAUGUGUAUAUAAUUAACUAGAAUUACUCAUGUUGUUUACAUCAGGUCUUUAUUAAUCAUCAAUCCAUGAUUGAGAAAUAUCUAUUGCGUACCAUGCAAAUGUCCAUUGCAUCCUUUACUUACACUAUAUUUAUGCUGUGGACAGGGUUUUGUUACAGCAUCAUAUACAUUGCUAGGUUUGUACACUUUCUUCCUCAUGAACAGGCUCUCUAUUACUUUUCAAGAACGACUCCCCAAAAUGUUGUGGAGUUUGAAAUGCUUCAGCUGUAUUAUAUAGAACCAAUGAUAAAAAUUCUGGUUUUCUUUAUUUUUUUUUCUUUUUUGUUGCUUUCCUCACAUUCUUCUUGCCAACCAAGCUUGAACUUUGUUUCAGAGUGGGAGAAGACCUUACAAUUUAUUGCCAUCAGUAGCUUCAGUCAGGUAUACUUUUAUUUGUUAUAGUGCCCUGGUUAAUGUUCCUUUUACACGCACAUAGAUGUUGAUUUCUAAGCUGAUAAUGAGUAAAACAAACUUCACACAUUCUCAUAUUGUGCUAGUACUUAGAUCUCCUUUGUCUAUUUUGCAUUGCUAAAUUUAGUUAAGUGAACAUUGAGUUUCUCUAAUUAUUGGUUUCUCACACUCUGCCAGGCUAUUGAUCAGCGGGUUGCUUCUUACAAUGGCCCUGAAGAUUUUAAGCAAGAUGUGAGGUAUAAAAUAGUUUGCUUAGGCUAGUUUUGAGUUUAUUUGAAAGAGUUAUAAAAUGUACAAUAACAAAAUCUUGAAUUUAAAGUUUUUAUGUACUUACUGUUUUUCUUGAAUAAAUGCGCUAGAUGGUUGUUAUAGUUAGUUGAGGAAUUAGUUGAAUAACAGAAAGUUCGUUAGUCAGUUGCAAGGGAAGAACAAUAUUUACAGCUAUCUUGAAAACCAAGUAAUAAUUGAAGAUCAAUUUGCAGUAAUUACAGAACUCUCUCUCCCUUUCUAUUUUCUUUUAUAUCUCCCAAAAUUUUCUUUUGAACUUUUUGUCCGCUGGUAUAUUUUCAUCAAAGUGCAAAUACACCCCCCAGCUUUUCAACUCCAAAGGCCUUCGGAUCUCAUGACCUACCUCCCUCCCACAAUACACUCCAAGGUUGCAGAAAUUAAAUGUAACUUCAUUGCCAGAAUAUUUACGUAAAUGAUUUCCCAAUUUGAGCUCGUAGUGUAGAAUCAUGUGAUAUGAGUCACAUGACACCAAGACAUCUGUUGGAAUCUGUUCUUCCCAGAAAGCAAAGACGUCGACUUCAUAAUGCUUAUCGUUUUUACCCUUAACAUGGUAAUCACAAUAUACCUUAUGGAAGGGAAGAGGGCCUAGAAAGACAAGGCAGAAAGCAAUUCCCUUGAGCUGAUGACAAUUUGAGGGCAACUGUAUGGUGACUGAAGAUCCAAUUCCUUUGUCACCGAACCAUUCUGGAAUUUCACUCCCCGGUAGAACCAUUUGAAUACUGCCAUCUGGGAUCUUCUCUCCGGACUGUAACACAAGAGUCACAUUUCGAAAAUGUGAUGAAGCAAGCGAGAGAGAGAGAAGAAAGAAAGACAAGGGGGUUUAGAGAGAUACCUGAAUUUUCAAAUGCAUUACUGCUACCAGUGGUUUCUGAUCCAAUUUGAAGCAAUUUGUAAAAUCCAAUUGAUCAUGCCAUAAUCUACCGAUAUUUAUGAUUGAUAUUGCGGUUUCUAGUGAUGCACAAUCAUUUGUACGUAGACGCCUCAGCGAAGGGGGGAGCUCAGGUAACGUUUUAAUAGACGUUCCAUCUAAAUAUAGAGUUGUCAAAGAUAUCAUAUGCUUAAAUGAUAUCAAAGGUAUCUCUUUAAUGCCUGUUUUACUCAAGUCAAGAGCCCGCAAAGAUUUCAUAGGCACUGUGAUUUCUGGGAAGCUCUCAAGUUUUGAGCAACCACUCAUAUCCAACUUUUGGAGUCUUUUGAGAAGCUGGAUUGAUGAGGGCACCUCUUUAAUAGCAGUUCCCCUUAGAUUUAACCGCUCUAUAUCCUCUAAAUUCUCUGGAAACUUGGUCAUCUUUGAGCAACCAUCUAGAUUAAGACGUUCCAACUUGCCAGUAACUGAUUGUGGAACUUCUUUGAUUGAAGUUUGGUCCAACUGUAACCAUUCCAUAUUUUGUGAAAUCGUUGGACACGUGGUCACAUCUAGGCACCGACUUAUUAAAAGGUCUCUGAGAACCUUUGAAUCAAGCAUUGGAAAACUUCUAAGAUUAUAGCAACCACGGAGAUCAAUUUCUUCCAGCUUGUCAAGAUAUUGAAGAGAUGACGGAACCUCGGUUAAGCUUGGACAGUCCUCUAGUCUUAAGCGCUCUAAAUUUUUGGCCAUUGAUAGAUCUGGCAAUUCCGUCAAAUAUGGAGACUCAGAUAGGUCGAUUGUUCUUAAAUUUCCAACAUCCUGUCAACAGAAAAAGGCAUAAUUAGAAAGUUAGCAAUUAAAUCUGUAGCAAUUAAAUCUGUAGCAAUUAAAUCAUACCUUUACUCCUAUCCAAAGUUUUACAAGCUUGCUUUUGCGUAGGUGAAGCUCGACAAGGUGUUCAACAGGAAAAGAUGGCGGCAAGGAUUUCAAAGGGAAUCCAUCCCAUAGCACAUAUCUCAGCUCUUUAUGAGGAAGGUCCAUUGUAAAUUCAUCAGUGGAGGCAUUAGAUUCCAAGUUUAUGUUUCUCGAUAACUCGUCAUUGUCUAAUAUUCUUGUUGUUUCUUGGUCGUGCAUCCAUCCUUCGAAGAAAUGUGCUAUGUCAAGAAAUAUGGAUUUUUGUUCUGAAUCCAACCCAUCGUAACUAAUUCUCAACGCCCUUUCGAUUUGAGGGUUCUGGGCUAGUUUAUUCAAUGCACUCUGCCAUUCUUCGAUGCUUUUACCAUCAAGAGAGGAACCCAAAACUUUAAGAGCCAACGGAUUGCCUUGUACAUGCCUUACAAUCUGUGCUAUCAAGUCUCUCUGAUCAGUUGUGGGGAUGCAAUUCUUCAAGGCUUUCGAUCUAAAGAGUUGAAUAGCGUCUUUAUAGUUCAACCCCUCAACCUCGUAUGUCUCAUCAACUACAUUACUAAGCACUUGCUUGUCCCUACUGGUUAUGAGAACUUUACUGCCCGGACCAAAUGAAUUGUUUCGUCCAUCAAGCAAAUCUUUCCAUUCUUCAAAACGCAUUAAAUCAUCCACAUCAUCCAGAACAAUAAAAACCUUCAUACGACGAAGUCUAUCCCUCACAAAAGAAUCUCGAAAACUCAAGUAGCCUAUAGUGUUCGGAGUUUCUUGGCCAAGCAGCUGUUUAAGAAAUUUUCUUCGUAAAUCAGAUUGUUGCCUAAAGUUUUCAAAAAAGAUUGCUUCAAAUCGAGAACAAACCUUGCUGCACACAGCUUCAGCAAUCGUUGUCUUACCGAUACCACCCAUUCCCCAUAUCCCUAUAAUGAGAACAUCUAGAGAAUUUAUAUUUAACAAAGACUCAACUUUGCUAACACGAACAUCAAUUCCAAUUAGACCAGCCGUAGUGUGACUUGAUCCGGAGGAAGACGUGGCAUGCAAUUUUUCCAAAACAUCUCCAACGAUUUUCUCAAUAAAUUCAGACUCCAGCCUGACAAACAACCACUUAAAGCCUUAAUAUUUAUACAAGCAUUUCGUUACAAAUAAUAUUUUUUUUCAAAAUUAUUUUUAAUAUAAACAUAUUAAAAUAAUUUAAAAUACUAAAAAAAUUAAUUUAAAAUAAAAAAAUUUAAAGUUUUUACAAAACAUUUUAAAACACAAAACAAACAACCACUUAAUAACUAUACAAACAUUUUACAUUAAAUAAUAAUAUUUUAUUUUUUAAAAUAUUUUUUAAUAUAAACACAAAUAAUAUAAAAACACUAAAAAAAAUAAUUGAAAAAAAAACAAUUUGAAAACACAAAACAACCAACCACAUAAUAUCUAUACAAGUGCUUUGCUAUAACAUUUUCAAAAUCAAAUAAAAUAAAUAUGAAAUAAAUAUGAAUUCACAGAGCUCAUCAUUCUCAAUAAUUUUAAAUUAAAUCUCAAAUCCUCAACAAAUGAACGAAUAUUUUCUCAUGGGAUAUAUUUCAAGAGCUUACUCAGAAUUCCCUAAGCUCCAUCCAGAUAGAUUGGCUGCAUCCGUCAAAGCGUCUCUGAAGCUCUGCUCUCUGUCCAUCGUCAAAGCUUUCUCCUCUAUCAAUCUAGCCAAUGCAUCCCCAAAGCUUCCUGUUUGAUGUCUUACAUGGGUUGGAUCCACCUUGUAGAAUACCGGAAUAACUAUCUGUCCAUUGUUUUUUCUACACUCAAAAAUCUUUACAAGCUCCUCCAAGCACCAUUUGGAAGAUGCAUAGUUUUCAGAAAAAACAAUCAAAGAAAGCUUGGCCUCUUCAAUUGUUCUCAGAAGUGAUGCCGAGAUCUCAUCUCCUCUCACAAGCUGAUUAUCUAUGAAAGUUAGGAUGUGUUUCUGUUUCAAAGCAGUAUGGAGGUGGCUGGUAAAACCAAAACGAGUGUCUUCUCCCCUGAAACUAAGGAAGACAUCAUAUUUAAUUACUUGUGGCUGGGCGGUGGUUAAGGUGGAAAGAGUAGAUGGCGAUGGAAACAUUGGGGUUUCGUAUGAUGAAUCUCCAGAUAUAAGCAAACACUUUGAAGAAACAAGACAUCAAAUCCAAUAAUGGAAAUUUUCUUAGGCUUUACGUGUUUAAGACCCUGGCUUAGGCAUAUUUAUAAUUACAAUAAUGGGGGCAUCAAAUCCAAGAAUUUUCUUAGAAGAUUACAAGAUUGCACAUUGUUGAUUUCCUGGAAAUUCCCCAGUUACAAAGUGAUUUGAUAGGAAAAGGCAUUUAGACGUUGUUUUGUUUUUAUGGUAUUGACAGUGUUUUUAUAAAUUUUGAUCUUUUUUAUUUUUUAAAAAAUUAUUUUUUUUAUUAUUGUAAUUUACUGAUAUAAAAAUAAUUUUAAAAAAUCAAAAGCAUAUAGAUUCUUGUUUAUCACAUCACAGCUGUGAUAGAUAACUUUUUUCAUAUUUCAAAUGUAUUAGCUGUUCCCUUAGCGGAGUAGCAGAUCUUUUGUUAUUUGAUCGAGUGCAGUAUAACCUUUUUAAUGAAGUUUAUUUGUUAUUAUCGUAUUGAUAGAGAAUAAAUUAUUUUUUUAAUAUUUUAUAAUUAUAAUAGAAUUAUUUAAAUAUUCUUAAAAAUAAAAUAAAAAUUAAAGUAGAUGUUUCAGUCUUUUAAUGUUUUAAUAGCAUAAUAAAAUGAUUACAUUAUUUUUAAAUACAAAAUAAUUAAAAUUGAUGUCCAAGUAUUUUUUUAAUAUUUUUAUCGUAGCUUUUUAGUUAUAAUUAAUAUGAAUUAGAGGUAAUUUAAUAUGUUAUCAAUUAUAAUUAGAGGCAAAUGUAUAAUUAUAAUAUGGGGUUAUCAAAUUCAAGUAUUUUCUCAGGACAUUACAGAGGGUGCACACUGUUGACUCCAUAAAUUUCUCAUGUACAAAAAGCUUGAGGUCUUGUUAUUUGUUUUCCUGUGACUUGGACGGAAAGGGUAUUUAUGCUUUGUUUGUCUUUGCAGUACAAACCAUGUUUUUAUAAUAUUUUUUUAUUUGAGAUUAUUUUUUUUUUGUUAUUUUGGCUUGCUUGAUGUAUUAGUAUAAAAAAUAAAUUUUUUUAAAAAAAUAUAAAAAUUAUUUUAAUAUAUUUUCAAUCAAAAAAUACUUUAAAAAAUUACUACUACCAAACUCGUAAACAUCUCCAUAUAUUGGGUCCAAAUGUUUGCGCACAGUGAAGCUUUUUUUGGCUUUACAUUAUAUUAUAAUGGUUAUAUUGAUUUAAUUGAGAAGAAAUUGUUAUAAAUUAAUUUGAUAUUACAGUAACGCUUGGUUUUUAAAAUGUUUUUUACAUAGAAAUAUAUUAAAAUAAUAUAUAUAUUUUUUAUUUUUUAAAAUUUAUUUUUAAUAUCACACAUAUUUUAAUAAUAUAUAAUAAUAUAUAAAAAAAUUAAUUUAAAAUAAAAAAUAAAAUCCACAUAUUUUCUGGAGACGUUACAAGGGUGCGCAUUAUUUACUACGUGGGAAUUUCCUGUGUACAAAAGACUUUAAUGUCUUCGAUCCAAGAAUUUGCUGGCACUUUGUAAUUUGUUGACUUCACAUUAUAUUAUACUGACGAGAUGAAAUGCCAGUAUGCUGCGUGAUUUUAUAAAACAAAUAUAUUUGAUAGUGUUAUAACUAUGAACCAGCACUAGAUGAGCAAUAAAAACUAAAUAUAUAAUAAAAUAAAUAUUUCAUGACGGAAAAAAAAAAGUUGUGUUGGUGAUAAAAAAAACUUAGAGAUUGAAUAAAAUGAUUUGCAAUAAUUUAUAGUGUUUUGUGAAGAAAGAUAUAAUAUUUUUGCCACAUGAUUUAGCUUUUCUGUUAAUAAAAAAAUAAAAAAAAAUUACAAAGCUAAAUUCUCUACCAACUUAAUAUAUAUAUAAAAAAACCUACAAAGAUAAUUUUGUAAGGAAAAAAACCCAUGAGGAAAAACGUUGUAGCAAUUGACAAUGUUUUAUACUAAUUUAUCAAAAACAGUGUUUUCCCCAAUAAAAUAAAAUAAAAAACCAUUUAGAGAAAUAUUGUAGCAAUCCACAGUGUUUUAUGAGAAAAACUAUAACACUUUCCUCAUAUGAUUUAGCUUUAUUGUAAUUAUAAUUCUUAACCAACUCAAUAUUAAAAAAAAAUCAACAAAGAUAAUUUUGAAAAAAAAUCAUAAAAAUAUCAUAUAGGAAAACACUGCAACAAUUCACGGUGUUUUAAAGAAAAAAAUUACAAAACUAAAUUCUUAAUUAGCUCAAUAUUAAAAAAAAAAUCGACAGUGACAAUCUUAGAAAAAAAAAUAACAAAAAAAACACCAAAAAAAAGGGAAAAAUCAUGUUGGAAACAUUGUAGCAAUUCACAAUGUUUUAUGAAGAAAGCUACAGUGUUUCCCCACAUGAUUUAGCCUUAUUUAUAAUGACUUGUAAUUGUAAUUUUCAAACAACUUAAUAUUAAAAAAAAUAAAAUUGACAAAGAUAAUCUGGAAAAAAUUAUAAGAAAGAAAAACCAUGUGAAGAGACACUGCAGUAAUACACAAUGUUUUGUGAGGAAAUAUACAGUGCUUUCCCCACAUGAUUAAGCUUUAUUACAAAGUUAAAUUCUAACCAACUCAAUAUGAAGAAAAAAUAAAUUAACGAAGAUAAUUUUGGAAAAAAAUAUUACAAAAAAAGAAAAUACAAAAGAAAUUGAAAAAAAACCACGUGAGGAAAAAUUGUAUCAAUCCAUAAUGUUUUGUGAGGGAAAACUUGUAUUUACUUAUAAUUACAAUUCUUAACCAGCUUAAUAUUUAAAAAAUAAAAUUAACAAAGAUAAUUUUAGGGAAAAAUAUAACAAAGCAGAAAAAAACUAUGUGGAAAAAAACAUUGUAGCAUCCACAGUAAUUUGUAAAGAAAGUUACAGUGAUUUCCUCACAUAUUGUAACUGUAAUUUUUAACUAAUUCAAUAUUAAAAAAUAAAAUAAAAAAAGAUAAUUUCAAAGAAAAUAAAAAAAAUCAUGUGGAGAAAUAAUGUAGCAAUCAACAAUGUUUUAAAGAAAAAAAAUUACAAAACUAAAUUUUUAAUUAGCUCAAUAUUAAAAAAAAUCGACAAAUAUAAUUUAAAAAAAAAAAAUAGAAAAACUAUGUAAAAAAACACCAUAGCAAUCCACAAUAUCUUUUUUAAAAAAUUUUAAAAUAAAAUUUUUAACCAGUUCAAUAUUUAAAAAGUAAAAUUAAUUCAAAAUUACACACAAUCUAUUCAAAUAAAUCCGUAGAUGCCUUUUCCUUUUUCCUUUUAUAUAUAUUUAUUUAUUGUGAAGAAGAAGAAGAAGAAAAAGAAGUCGUCUUGAAGGAUGAAGGAGAGAGCAAGAGACGGGGGAUGGGCCAAUCCUCUUCUUCAUAUUGACGGGGACGACGACUUGACCUUAAGUACUCUUCCUGGCGAGUGAUAGGGCAGCGUGUUCGGGAAGCUGAGUUCAGAAAUUACGUGUUUCUUUUUACAUGCUUCCUUCCAGCUCAUUACACACAAUCUAUUCAAAUAAAUCGGCAGAUGCCUUUUCCUUUUUCCUUUUAAAGGGAUCACCGGCCAUCGGUGUUGUUGGAACAUAAACAAUUGAACAUUGGAAGAAAUAAAUAAUUUUCCCGUGCUUAAAUUACGGCAACUAUUCUUUUCAACUACGGCCAGACAUGACAGGGCUUUAGUAGAAUGCCUUUUUUCUUCUUCUUCCUCUGUCUUUUGGAGAAAAGAUGGAGAAGUUUAUUAAAAUUCAUGGCAAGUUUAUUAAAAUUAAUGGAUGCUUUUUCGAAAUUACGUGUUUCCUUUUUCCUUCUAUAUAUAUAUACAAGGAUAUAUAUUAUAUAAUAAGCUAAAGUGGGAUUGUGACAUUUCUGUAUGAUGUAUCUUUGUUGGUGUGUAUAUAUAUACCAACAUAAUUGGUUCUGUUUACUGCUUUAGGCAACAUAAUUGGCAUGCAGCCAUGUAAUUAUAAUUAUUUCUUUUCCUUCCAGUUCAUUACACACAAUCUAUUUAACAGAUGCCUUUUCCUUUUUCCUUAUAUAUAUAUAUAUAUAUAUAUAUAUAUAUAUAUAUAUGCUGUUUGUCUUUUUGGUAUAAAUAAUGUUUUUAUAAUUUUUUUUUAAUAUUUGUAUUUACUAAUAUCAAAAAUAAUUUUUAAAAAAUAAAAAAUAUUAUAUUAUUUUUUUUAAUAAAAAAAUAAGAACUACCUACUACACUUACAGAAGAAACAUUCCAUGUAUUGAGUCUUUGCGCGUGAGAUGACUUUUUUUGCCUCCCAAUAAUUAGCGUUAUUUGUAUUAUAACUUUUUUAAUAUUUCAAAUGGAUUAGCUAUUCCCUUGGCUUGGCGUAUUAGCACUUUAGGAUCUUUUGUUAUUUUCUCUUCAACUUUUUUAUUAUAUAUUUUCUUUACACAGCAAACACUUAUGUCCCCGUCAUUCUUUAAGUACAUUAACUAGUAUAUCGGCAUGCGAUUCACAGCAGGGUUAAUAUUAAUCUUUUUAAAAUUAAAAUAGCAAUCAUGUCAGCCUCAGCAUUUUGCAUCUAGAAUAGUAAAAGUCUAGAAUAAUAUAUAUAUAAUGUGAAGAAGAAGAAGAAGAAGUCUUGAAGGAGAGAGGAAGGGACGGGGAUGGGCCAAUCCUCUUCUUGAUGCUCGGGCAAUAAUAACCAUGUUGAUGGGGACGACGACGACUUGACCUUAGUCUUCCCGGCGAGUGCUUGGGCAGCGUGUUCGGGAAUCUGAGCUGCCUUGACAUUACGUGUUUUCUGGAAAUUAUGUUUUUUUGUCUUAACGGUGGCUUUCGAUAAUGUUCAUAUUUAUAGGAGAUAAAUCAAAUUUUAAACGUUUUGAAGCACUUAGGAAUGAUUUAAAUAUUUUAAAAGUAAAAUUUUUAAAACAAGGAUUCCUGAGUGUUUCUAUUUUUUAAUAUUUUGAUAGCAUAGUAAAAUGAUUAUCUUAUUUUAAAAUUAAAAAUUUAAAAUUUUCAAAUUCAAGUAUUUUCUCGGGAUAUUAUAAAAAAAUUUAUUUUAUAUUUUUAAUUAAAAAAUAAUUAAAUAUUUUUACCUUCAUAUUAUAUUAUAAUGGUAUGAUAAUUUGAUUGAGAAGAACUUAUAGAAACUGGUUAAUGAUUGUUUUUUAAAUGUUUUUUUCUUAUAAAUAUAUUAUAUUAAAAUAAUAUAUUUUUAUUUUUAAAAUUUUAUUUUUUAUUUCAACACAUCAAAAUAAUAUAAAAAUAAAAAUAAUAAUAAUUUAAAAUAAAAAAAUAAAAAAACUCAAAUUCAAAUAUUUUCUUAGUACAUUACAGAGGGUUCAAUUAUUGACAUCCUAGAAAUUUUAUUAACCACAAAAGGCUUCAUCUCUUCUUAUUAUUAUUAUUAUUUUGUAAUUUGGUAGGGAAAGGCAUCAAGUCUUCCAUCCUAGUGUUGCGUGUAAAAGAAAUAAUAAUAAUAAUAAAAGUGUUUGCGCGUAAACUUUGUUGAAUUUCACAUUAUAAUAUAAUGGUUAUUAUGAUUUCAUUGGGAAGAACUUGUUACUCUGCCCUAAUUAUAGGAUUUAAAAAAAAAUGAUACUAUUAAAGAAAUAAUAUGGUUUAAUUUAUUUUUUUUUAGAAAAAACAACAUAUUUUUUAAAAACCUGCUAUUUUAAAUCAUGAUUUUAAUAUAACCGUGAUUUUGCAAAAUCACAAUCUAUCCAAAUAAUUUGGCAGAUGCUUUUAUAUAUAUAUAUAUAUUGAAGAAGCUGAGUUGCCUUGACAUUGAGUAUUUCCUGGAAAGUACGCAUUUCUUGUCUUAACGGUGGCUUUCGAUAAUGGUCAUAGCACUUUCGGUUUGUUUUUGACCGAAAGAGGAAAGAAAUUUUUGACCGAAAAAUGAACACAGUUUACAAUAACUGGUGAUUUUUGGGCUUGUUUUUUACCCUCACCGACUACACAUACCAUGCAAUGAUGAUAUAAGAACCUGGAAAUAAACCCAGUAAGCUUUCAAAGUCCAGGUCUUUAAAAUUAGAAAAAUAAUCUUCAUGUAAACUCAGCAUAUGAAAAUAAUAAGAGAAGGAUAAGAAGAAGAAGAGGAAACCUGCUAAGUGGUCGUAGAAACCAACAACUUGAAGGUGUUUGCCAUCUCUUGGAGUAUGGCUAUCAGCAGGAACAAUUCUGUAAAAUGCCCUGUUUUUGCAUCCCAGUCUAGCUAAACGAAUCUUCACCGCCAUUUUCUCUUUAUUUCGAGUGUAUGUUUUUGUAUAGUCUAGAGACAUGAUUCCACAAAGAUGUGUAUAUGGUUAACUAGAACUACUCAUGCUGUUUACAUCAGGUCUUCAUUAAUCAUCAAUCCAUGAUUGAGAAAUAUCUAUUGCUUACCAUGCAAAUGUCCAAUGCAUGCUUUACUUAUUGUUGUAACCCAAUUUUGACCCACUUAUUGUUAAAUUAAUUUUAAGGAGGGUAAAUCUUGAAAAUUAAAAGACCAGGGGUUUGAAUGCAAGGAUUUAGAAACUUCAAGGACCAGAUUGGAAAUAACCAUUCUCAGCCCCAAAACAGCACCGUUUCAAUCAGGUGAUGUCCGUCAUCUUCGUCUCCAAAGCACCGAACGUCCGCCUGCAAAGAAGGAAACGAAAGUGUGAAACACCAGUAUCCUAGCCCAUUCAAAAUACAGAAAAGCAAUAUUUAUCUUCACGAUAAUUACAACCCGACGAGAUAAAGAUUGCACUUCGCAUCCGAGUCCUAGUAGGAACCGUCUCCCUCAGCCGUGCUUAUCAAGAGGAGAGACGUGAGGCUGAGGGAGAGGAGGAUUGAUCCCUAUAAAUACCCAACAAUUGACAACCCCCAGGGGAAGAGGGGGAGAAGGAGAAAGGGAGAAAAAACCGAGUAAAAAAGCCAGAGCAAAACAGAGCAUAAAAAUCACAGAGAGGAAUCAGUUCGGCCUUUGCCUUCAUCCUUACAUAAAACGACCAAAAAAAUCAAUACCCACAGAAGCCAGCAGCUUCGUUCUCGUUUCUGAAAACAGAGGGAAAGAGAUCAGCCAGGUGAAAGUCAUCAAUAGUCGUUCCAGCCCGAGCUUCGCCAUCGUCUCCAACGCUUCUAAUAGAACAGGUACACUCUGUUUCUUCUUCUUUUGUCACAAUUAAAUGGUAUUUUACACGAGGCAAGUGAAUUAAUUCACUUGCACAGUGUAAUUCACUAGCCCAGCCAGGCCACCGGCUUGGGCCAGUGGCCAGGCUGGGUUGGCUGGGUCUAGCCUAGCCCAUGUGGGCUGAGCUAGGCCCAGCCCAAAAAUGUAUAAAAAAAUAUAUAAAAAUUGUGUAUAAAAAAAAUAUGAAUUUAUUGUUUUUUUUAUUUAUUCUUUGACUUCAAAUUCAGAAUAAAAAUACCCAUUCAAAUUUAUUUCAUUGUAUUUUAAUAAGUUAUAUAAAAUAAAAAAUGUGUGAACCAAUAAUAAUAAUAAUAAUAAUAUAAGAUAAAAUAAAAUAAAUUUAUUUGGCAUAUUCACUGACGCCAGAGUCAGGAAUAAAAAAAUACUAAUGUAAAUUUAUUUUAUUUUAUUUUAUCUUGUUUUUAUUUAGCUACAUAAAAAAUAAAAAUGCGUAUGCGUAAAAAACAAAUAAAUUGAUUUUUACUUGUUUAUUAACUAAUGCCAGAGUCAGGAAUACAAAAAAUGAUGAUUUAAAUUUAUUUACUUUGAUACCUACGUAAUAUUUACCAACGCCAGAGUUGGAAAUAUCCGUAGUUGAAUAAUAUAAGAUAAAAUAAAAUAAAUUUAUUUGGCAUAUUCACUGACGCCAGAGUCACGAAUAAAAAAAAUACUAAUGUAAAUUUAUUUUAUUUUAUUUUAUCUUGUUUUUAUUUGGCCACCAAAAAAUAAAAAUAAUGCGUAAUAUUUUAUUUACUUUGAUACCUACGUAAUAUUUACCAACGCCAGAGUUGGAAAUAUCUGUAAUUGAAUAUUCACUGGCGCUAGAGUCAGGAAUAUUACGCGCAAACAACCAUAGUAUAAACCAACAAAAUGUUAGCAAUUAAUGAUAAAUAUUAGCAAUGCAGCCUGCCUUAGGCAGGACGUUUAAUGGGUGAUAAUAUCUUCCCUUUUACGUAACCAGUCUCGGACCAUAUAAUCUCUGCUGACCAGUUAGGGUUCCUAGUAACCGUAAUACUAGGUGGCGACUCCUUAAACAAAGAAUAUCCCAUUUAAAGAAUAGGAUGUCAGAAAUUCGUUCUUUUCAAAAACUUAAUUUUUAAGGCUGCCGCGAUGUCGGGUGCGACAGAAUGGCGACUCCACUGGGGAUCUAAGACUAAGCUUUGUCUUUAUUUGUUAAAAUUGCUACAAAUUCUUGUUGUGUUGUUUGUUUAUUUUUUGUUUAUUUUUUAUUUAUUUUGUUUUUUUGGUUUAUUUUAUUUAUUUAUACGGCUUUAGCAUCCAUAUUUAUUCAUGUCAUCAUAUAUAUUGGAUAUGCAUUGAUGCCUUCACACACCACGCAUUUCAUAAUAAAUAUCUGUUAUAUAAACUUUAUGUUAAGUGGGAGAGUAGCGGUACCCCAAUGGUUUUAGCCUGGGUAAGACUCGUGAAACCAUCCAACUUUCGCUUAAUUGUUUACUCGAUAGUGGUUGAUAUGCCUAAACUGAUAUUACUCAGGGCCUCUAUCUUCACGCUACUUGUAAGCCUCAUAUCAACCUUUCGAGGAAGAUCAUUGAGCAUGUGAAAGACCUUUCAAAGACUAGAUAGCAACCUACCCUGAGCAUUUAAUAACUAGAACUUACCCUUUAGGUUGUUUCCUAUGUAAGUUUCACUAAGCAAAGGUGUAACAUAUAUCAUUUCAUUACAGGAUUAUUAUUUCUGGGUGACAUAAUGGUUGUUAAUAGAGAAGUCAACACUGUUGAGUAUGGGCUUGAAUCUGAAUCAUUGCAUAUGACUGAGGGAGAUUGCCCUAGACUGGAUGAUAGUGGGAUACCGCUGCUAAAAGAUGUGAGAUGUGUAAUAAAUGAUGCCAUUCGUUUACUUCCACUCACCAAAUACUUGGCUGAUGUGACAGAAUUUACUAAGAUGUAUGAGAGAGUUUUGCAUCUUCUAAAUGUGCCAGUAUUGCCAUUGGCCAUAAGAGCUCUGAUUCAUUUUUGGGAUCCUGAUUAUCGAUGUUUUACAUUUGGGGAUGUCGAUAUGGUUCCUACCAUUGAAGUAUGGUGUUUUGACAGAAUUUCCUGAGGAUAUACAUAAGGUUACUUUCAUCAAAGACUUGAGGAUACUAUAGAGGAGCUUGCUAAGUAUUGGGAAUCCAGCAAAUGAGUUUGUAUAGAGAAAAAAAUAAUUCGGGGGUUUGAGAUGGAAACGGCUAGAAGAGUUGUUGAUUGCUAAAAAGUCUAAUCCAUGUGCUAAAGUAGAAGUAUACAGAAUAUUGGCUUUGGGAAUAUUUGGGUUGAUUUUGUGCCCUUCAUCUGUUGGAAUUGUUAGUUUAGAGGCAGCUAAUUUGUUUGUUAAGUAUGAGAAGACCAAAAUUAAUCCUUCUGCUGUGAUCUUGGCUGAAACUUUUUUGUCCCUCAAUCAUUGCAAAAAGACUGGAAAAGGUUCUAUGAGAUGUUGUGUUCCAUUAUUAUUCAUUUGGAUGGUAAGUCACAUAGAAUCCAAGACACCAAUAUUCCGGAAUUUUUGGUGGUUUGAUCAAAGGCCACUCGAAUUAUUUGUAUCAAAUGAAAUGGAAAUUUUUUUCUGAAGAUGACUGGAGGAUAAAACUACAAGGAAUUCCACGAAGCAAUUUUAAUUGGAGAGCUCCUUGGAUGAGAAAUGUAACGUACUUAAUGGGUUGUGGGAAGAAGCCUUGGGUACCUUUGAUUAGAGUGACUGGAUAUAUUAGCUAUGCGCCUGCUUUAGUUGCAAGAAAAAUUAAAGACCGUACAACUUAUGGGAAACCAAAAAAUGAUAAAGCAACAUAAUCAAACAUUGGAUGAUGCCAAUAACUUUUUGUCUAGAAACAACUUGAUGCAUACUGAGAGGAUAGAGGAACUACAAGAUCAGAUUAAUCGAGCAGCUGCAGAAGCCCAUUUAUUACGAGUGGAAGCUCGUCAAUUGGGAGGAGAUAUAAUGAAAUAUCGAAGGAGCAUGGAUAACACCGAUCUUUUUUUGAAAGCAAUAGCUACUAGAGGCAGUGUUUUUUCUCCUGUAAUAGAUUAGAUUAAUUUUUACUGUAAGUUUCUGAAUAAGUAAUAAGAGGGCUGAGACCCAUAUUUUUCAAUGCAAAGAUAUGUGUAUAUAGCUGAAAGCCCAAAUGUCAAAAAGCUAAGCAGAUUUCUUCUCGGCAUCGCAACAAUGAUAUCAAGUUCAAGUUCAACCCAUAUAUCCAAAGAAUGACGGCCAUAUGUCACCAACAAAAGCGAAUCUAUAUCCAAUAUGUGGCAUUCACAUUCAUGCAUCACAUACAUUUGCUUAUAGAUUGUCAUAUUCUGCAUAUAACAGGUGAAAUAUAGGUCCCCAACCUAAACGUAUUCAUAAUACUCGUUCACGAAAGAAAAUGGAAAAUGAAGAGAGAAAUCAGUUAGAAAUUCAACACCAAAGAGAGUUGGAAAGCCUGAAAGAGGAUGUAGCAAGGCUUACCAGCCUGCUUGAACAGGCUUUGAGGCCUAGAGUUGGAGAAGGGACAUCUUCUCAACAAACAUUUACACCUCAACCUCCGCCAUUUGAACCUUAACAUGCUGCUCCUUUCGCACCUGCUCAAGCAGCACAUCCAAUGAGGGUCCCCCACACUGUGUUGAUAGAAGAAGAACCUCAAAGGAACAAGAUCGUAGAGGAAAAUGGUCAGGAAAAACUAGCUGCUUUAGAAGAAAGAAUGAAGGCAAUAGAGGGGAAUAGUUUGUAUGAUCCGGUAAAGGCUGCUGAAAUGUGUUUAGUGCCUAAUGUGGUUAUUCCCAGAAAAUUCAGAGUUCCAGAAUUUGUUAAAUAUACUGGAACUCAAUGCCCAAUCACCCAUCUUAAAGCAUACUGUAAUAAGAUGGCUGAAGUAGUCCAUGAUGAGAAGUUAUUGAUCCAUUUCUUUCAGGAUAGUUUAAGUGAUGCUGCUCUUGCUUGGUAUAUGCGUUUGGAUAAUACCAAGAUUAAAGGAUGGAAGGAUUUGGUUGAAGCUUUUAUUAGACAGUAUAAGUUCAACAUGGAUAUUGCCCCAGAUAGAUCAAGUCUGCAAGCCAUGGAAAAAGGCAAUAAAGAGUCUAUAAGAGAAUAUGCUCAAAGGUGGCGUGAAUCAGCCGCACAAGUAAAUCCUCCAUUGUCAGAAAGGGAGAUGACUGGUUUAUUUUCCAACACUUUCAAAACCCCGUACUUUGAAUACUUGGUGGGUAGUGCUGCACAAAAUUUAUUUGAUUUGGUUGUCAUAGUUGAAAGGAUCGAACAAGCUGUUUGGACGGGUAGGAUUGUGGAUCCUACUGAAAAAAGAGGUUUUAUUGGAAAAAAAAAGAAGCGGAAGUUCACAAUAUUGAAAGGGAAAGUAGAGUGAAGAACACUUACCUAGAUAAUUACAGAUCCAAAAGUAUUACACCUACCCCCUCUAUAUCCAAUAUAAAAUUCUCUUCACCUACAAACACCCAAAAUAACCCAAUAAACAACCAAACCAAUAAUGCCUACCGCCCGAGAAGAAAUUUUCCAAUACAUCAAGUGCAGCUUCCACCAUUACCCAUGUCUCUUACUGAAAUGCACCAAAGAUUGCUUAGUAUUGGUCAGGUAGCACUUGUUCCCUUAGAACCUUUACAACCACCAUUUCCCUUUUGGUAUAAACCCGAUCAAAAAUGUGAAUACCAUGCUGGUGUUGUUGGUCAUCAUAUUGAUGGAUGUGUUGCAUUCAAAGGAAAAAUCCUUCAGCUCAUCAAAGCUGGGUGGAUUUCUUUUGAUGAGUCUCCAAAUAUGAAUUUUAACCCUCUACCAAAUCAUGCUUCUGGAGUUGGGGGAGUUAAUAGCUUGGAGAUAGGAAAGGGAGGUACAACAACUUUAAGGGUGACUAUGGAUAGAUUGUAUGGGAUGUUAAGGCAAACAGAUUAUCUAAAGACACCAGUCAAAAUACAAGCUGUAAGGAAUGCGAAUGAAUAUUGUAAAUAUCAUCAGCAGCUUGGGCAUGAUAUUGACUCGUGCGAGGAGUUUCAUUUAGAGGUAGAAAAUAUAAUGGCGUUGGGAAUGUUAAGAUUGAUGAAACCCAAAGAAGAUGAGUUAGUAGGAACAAUGACUGGUUGUAACAAAAAAGUGGAAGUUUAUAGAUAUAUACCAACCGAAAAGGGUCCACCAAAAAUGAUCCUAACCAAGCCUAUAAAUACUGUUAACGGAAGCUAUAAUGCCCAACCCUAUAAUUAUGGUUAUUCUUUUCACAGCACAAAUCCUGCCCCUGUUUUCCAUGCUGAAAUAGGGGGACUCACUCGGAGUGGGAGAUGUUUUACUCCUGAAGAGUUGGAAAACCAUAGAAAAGCCAAAGGAAAGGACAUGGUGGAAUUGGCCAGGCUGGGUUGGUUGGGUCUAGCCCAGCCCAUGUGGGCGGAGCUGGGCCCAGCACAAAAAUGUAUAAAAAAAUAUAUAAAAAUUGUGUAUAAAAAAAAUAUGAAUUUAUUGUUUUUUUAUUUAUUCUUUGACUUCAAAUUCAGAAUAAAAAUACCCAUUCAAAUUUAUUUCAUUGUAUUUUAAUAAGUUAUAUAAAAUAAAAAAUGUGUGAACCAAUAAUAAUAAUAAUAAUAAUAAAAUAAGAUAAAAUAAAAUAAAUUUAUUUGGCAUAUUCACUGACGCCAGAGUCAAGAAUAAAAAAAUACUAAUGUAAAUUUAUUUUAUUUUAUCUUGUUUUUAUUUAGCUACAUAAAAAAUAAAAAUGCGUAUGCGUAAAAAACAAAUAAAUUGAUUUUUACUUGUUUAUUCAUUGACGCCAGAGUCAGGAAUACAAAAAAUGAUGAUUUAAAUUUAUUUACUUUGAUACCUACGUAAUAUUUACCAACGCCAGAGUUGGAAAUAUCCGUAGUUGAAUAAUAUAAGAUAAAAUAAAAUAAAUUUAUUUGGCAUAUUCACUGACGCCAGAGUCAGGAAUAAAAAAAUACUAAUGUAAAUUUAUUUUUAUUUUAUUUUAUCUUGUUUUUAUUUGGCCACCAAAAAAUAAAAAUAAUGCGUAAUAUUUUAUUUACUUUGAUACCUACGUAAUAUUUACCAACGCCAGAAUUGGAAAUAUCUGUAGUUGAAUAUUCACUAGCGUCAGAGUCAGGAAUAUUACGCGCAAACAACCAUAGUAUAAACCAACAAAAUGUUAGCAAUUAAUGAUAAAUAUUAGCAAUGCAGCCUGCCUUAGGCAGGACGUUUAAUGGGUGAUAAUAUCUUCCCUUUUACAUAAUCAGUCUCGGACCAUAUAAUCUCUGUUGACCAGUUAGGGUUCCUAGUAACCGUAAUACUAGGUAGCGACUUCUUAAACAAAGAAUAUCCCAUUUAAAGAAUAGGAUGUCAGAAAUUCUUUCUUUUCAAAAACUUAAUUUUUAAGGCCGCCGCGAUGUCGGGUGCGAUCCUUAUACUAUAUUUAUGUUGUGGACAAAAUUUUGCUGCAGCAUCUUAUGCAUUGCUAGGUUAGUACAUUUUCUUCCUCAUAAGCAGGCUCUCUGUUACUUUUCAAGAACAACUCCCUAAAAUGUCGAAGAGUUUGAAAUACUUCAGCAGUAUUAUAUGGAAACAAUGAUAUAAAUUCUGGUUUUCUUUAUUUAUUUUUUCCUUUUCUUUGUUGUUGCUUUCCUCACAUUCUUCUUGCCAAACUGUUACUAUCGUUGGCUUUAGACAGGUAUACUCUUAUUUGUUAUAGUGUUUGAUCAAUGUUUCUUUCACACACAGAGAUGUUGAUUUCUAAGCUGAUAAUGGUUAAAAAACCAAAACAAAAAAAAAAACUUCACUCUUUUCUGAUAUUGCACUAGUACUAAGAUCCUUUGAUGUAUUCCAUAAAAAUAGCAUGCAUUCGACCAUUAAGCUAGAUCCCCUUUGAUGGAAAGUUUUAUGUCAUUGUUAAAUUUAGUGUAGUAAACCUUGAGUUUCUCUAAUUAUUGGUUUCUCACACUCCACCAGACUAUUUAUCGACUGGUUGCUUCUUACAAUGGCCCCAUAAGUCUUUUGUCCUGCAUGUAUUCAUGGUGUAAUUUGGUAAAUCAUAAUGGAAACUUAGAUUCUGCACAAUGCUAAAUGCCAUUUCUAGUAUGUUAUGAGAAGUAGUUAUGAGACACUUGUCAUAACCCAAUUUUUGAUCAUUUUAUUUUAAUUAUUAUUAUUAUUUUAUUUACUGAAAAUGAUAAAAAAAAAUGAUGAUGAAAAAAUAAUAAUGAUGAAAAAAUAAGUAAAAUGAAAUAAAGGAAGAAUGAAUUAAAAUUUGGGUUAAUGGCAAAAUGAUUGAAAGUUUUGGGGUUUAAUUAAACUUUGAAAUUAAUCUAAUUAAGCUUGAAAUUAAUUUAAUUAAUCCAAUUAAGGGUUUUAUUGGAGAAUUGAUAAGUUUUGAGACUUAAUUGAGCUUGGAAUUAAUUUAAUUUAUCCAAUUAAGGGUUUAAUUGGAGAAUUGAUAAGUUUUGAGACUUAAUUAAGCUUGGAAUUAAUUUAAUUAAUCCAAUUAAGGGUUUAAUUGGAGAAUCGAUAAGUUGUGAGACUUAAUUGGACUUUGGAUUUAAUUAAAUUAAUGAAAUUAGGGACUUAAUUGAAGAAUAUCAAAGUUUAGAGUUUAAUUGGGGUCCAAAUUGCAAAACUUAAAAUCCAAGGACCAGCUUGAAAAUGGCGCGGAAAUACAAGGAUCCAAUUGCAUUUUAUCCAGGGGCUUGAUUGCAUGAUUUCAGAACUUAAAGGACCAAAAUGCAAAUGGCCAUUAAACACAGCACUGUUCAUCGCCUUCUUCUUCAGGAGCCGUUUCUGGCAGUAAUGGCCUUGAAGUCGUUUCAAAUGGUUGGUAUUCUCUGGCUAUAAAGCCAGAGAAGAUGAGAGAGCGCGGGAGAGAAAAUAACAGAAACAAAGAGAGUGGGGAGGGGGGGAGACAAAAAACAGAGCCACAAACGGCAGAAAUAAGGAGUCACGGAACCGGUGGAAAACAAAUACCCAGAGGAAAGAAAAGGGAGCAGAACCGGGUAGGGAGACUGUACAGAGGGGAGCAGAAUUUGUGCCUUUGUUUUCUUCUAAAAGAGACAGAGGCGCUUGGCGCCAUUCUCUGGUAAGCUAGAGAAGGCCAUAGAGAAGGAAACAAGUAACUCAGGGGGCAGCGCCUUCCCCCCUUCACAACUGAACUCGCAGACGAAGAAGAAAAGGCAUCAGACCACGAAACCCAGGCAAGGAGGAAGAAAACAACGACAAGCACACAGACGAAGAAGGAAAUAAAGAAAGCAAGAACCAGAGGAGUAGACGGAAACAGAAAUAGAGGAAGAACUGAAAAUAAUCGAGGAAGAGACCAAGAACCACAGAAAAAUGGACGACGAACCGUGACCAGAACCAGUGUCACUGCUGCCUUCGGUUUUGCCAGCGCCAGGUAAGUAGCGUUUUCCUUCCUUGCAUUUUAAUUACAUGUUCCUGUAGGUAAAAACAGAAAUAAUGGCCAGCCGGGUCAAGCCUUGACCCGGCUAGGCCUGCUGGGUCCAGCCCAGCCAUGUGGGCUGAGCUGGGCCCAGCCCAAAAAAUUAAUAAAAAAAAUUAAAAAAUUAAAAAAAAAACAGAAAGAUAAAAAACAGAAAAAAAAUAAAAAAUAUGUAUGCAUGAAUAAAAAUAAUAUAAAUUUAUUGGUUUAUUCACUGACGCCAGAGUCAGGAAUAAAAAUACCGGUUUAAAUUUAUAUUAUUUUUAUUCUUUGUAUUUUUUAUUUUGUUUAGCUAAAAAAUAAAAAAUGUGUGCAUGCUUAAAAAAUAAAUUUAUUUUUAUUUAUUUAUUCACUGGCGCUAGAGUAGGGAAUAAAAAAAUAUAUUGAUCUAAUUUUUGUCGUAGCUACGAAUUUUUACCAACGCCAGAGUUGGAAUUAUUCGAGCUCGAAUAUUCACUGGCGCCAGAGUCAGGAAUAUUAUAAACAAAUCAUCACAGCAUAAACUAAUAAACAUUUAGCAAUUUAAGACAAAACCAACAAUGCAGUUUGCCUUAGGCAGAACGUUUAAGGGGUGAUAAUAUCUUCCCUUUUACGUAACCAAUCCCGAAUCAUCGAAUCUCUAUUGACCAGUUAGGGUUCCUAGUGACCAUAAUACUAGGUGGCGAAUCCUUAAACAAGGCAUUUUUCCCUAAAAGAAUCGGAUGCCAGAAAUCUGUUCUUUUUCCAUAAUUCAAGAGAAUUAUUUUUUAGGGCUGCCGCGACGUCGGGUGCGACAACACUCAUCAAUGAGCAUGCUUAUAUCGAAAAUCACAGGCUGACAAUAAAAGCCAUCUAAUACUCUUGUAGCUUGGUUUUGCUCAAAUCUUCUGAAGAAAUCACAGGCUGACAAUAAAAGCCAUCAAGAAAUAUGGAUUGUUGUUCUUGAUCCAACCCAUUGUAACUAAUUCUUUACGUAUUUUUGAUUCGAGGGUUCUGAGCUAGUUUAUUUAAUGCACUGCGCCAUUCUUCGAUGCUUUUACCAUAAAGAGAGGAACCCAUAACUUUAAGAGCCAACGAAUUGCCUUGUACAUGCCUUAUAAUCUGUGCUAUCAAGUGUCUGUGAUCAAUUGUCGGGAUGCAAUUCUUCAAGGCUUUUAAGCUAAAGAGUUGAAGAGCUUCUUCAUCGUUCAACCCCUCAACCUCAUAUAUCUCAUCAACUACAUUAUUAAGCACUUGCUUGUCCCUACUUGUUAUGAGAACUUUACUGCCCGCACCAAAUGAAUUGUGUCGUCCAUCAAGCAAAUCUUUCCAUUCUUCCAAAGGCAUUAAAUCAUCCACAUCAUCCAGAAGAAUAAAAACCUUUUUACGACAAAGUCUAUCCCUCACAAAAGAAUCUCGAAAACUCAAGGAGCCCAUGUUCAGAAUUUCUUGGCCAAGCAGCUGUGAAAGAAAGCUUCUUUGCAAAUCAGCCAUGGAACCAGUUUUUAAUUCUUGCCUAAAGUUUGCAAAAAAGAUUCCUUCAAAUCGAGAACGAACCUUGUUGCACACAACUUGAGCAAUUGUUGUCUUACCGAUACCAUCCAUUCCCCAUAUCCCUACAAUGAGAACAUCUGUAGACUCCAUAUUUAACAAAGACUCAACUUUGUUAACAUGAAAAUCAAUUCCAAAUAAACCCGUAGUAUGACUUGAAGACAUGGCUUGCAAUUUGUUCGAAACAUCUCCAACGAUUUUCUCAAUAAAUUCAGACUCCAACCUGACAAACAAGAAGAACACACAUAAUCGUUAGUCAAAAUGGACCGGACAAGAAGAAACAUAUAAACAUACUCACUCCUAAGUAGCUACAUCUAUACAUAGGAGGCACGUACGAGUAAUUGAGCAUCAUUACUGGCAAUGGAUAGUGCUAAUAUAUGUAACACAUGAAUCAUAGACCUGGACAAGCUUCUUUGACUGGGCCUCUCGAGAGAAUGCAUUUGAGUUCAGAAAUCUAUAGUUAAUCAAUCCUUGAAACUGAAAACUACUUGUAAGUGUAUAUCUAAGAAAAUCAAUGAAAUGCAAAUGCAAAUGCAAAAGAUGUUUUCUCAUAUCAUCAUAUCAUAUAAUCAUUUCAGUUAAAAAGUUUAAGUUGUUAGGAGAAAAUCUCAAAACAUAUGAUUUAUAUUAUUUUUCAAGGAAUGUGAUCUUUUUCACCUCAAAUAAAUAGACUAUUAAUGACCCGAUUUCAAGUGAAACAAUAGAAGAAAACAUUGAUUGCCCUAAUAAAAUUUAACAUAAGGAUUCUUAAGUAUCUUCUUUCUGUCUCCCAAAACUUAAGAUAUGUACAAGUGUUUCGCUACAACGUUUUCAAAAUCAAAUUAAAUAAAUACAGAGAUCAUCAUUGUCAAUAAUUUAAAAUUAAAUUUCAAAUACUCAACAAAAGAACGAAUAUUUUCUCAUGGGAUAUAUUUCAAGAGCUUACUCAGAAUUCCCUAAGGUCCAUCCAGAUAGAGUGGCUGUAUCCUUCAAAGCGUCUCUGAAGCUCUGCUCUUUGUCCAUCGUCAAAGCUUUCUUCUUUAUAAGUCUAGCAAAUGCAUCCCCAAAGCCUCCUGUUUGAUUUAUUACAUGGGAUGGAUCCACCUGGUAGAAUACCGGAAUAACUAUCUGUCCAUUAUUUUUUCUACGCUCAAAAAUCUUUGCAAGCUCCUCCAAGCACCAUUUGGAAGAUGCAUAGUUUUCAGAAAAAACAAUCACAGAAAGCUUGGCCUCUUCAAUUGUUCUCAGAAGUGAUGCCGAGAUCUCAUCUCCUCUCACAAGCUGAUAAUCUAUGAAAGUUAGGAUUUGUUUCCGGUUCAAAGCGGUAUAGAGGUGGCUGGUAAAAUCAAAACGAGUGUCUUCUCCUCUGAAACUAAGGAAGACAUCAUUUUUCAUUCCUUGUGGCUGGGCGGUGGUGAAGGUGGAAGGAGUAGAUGGCGAUGGAGAUAUGUGACGGUUUCGUAUGAUGAAUCUACAGAUAUAAACAAACAAAAAGAUAGAGAGAAACAGUCGAAGAAACAAGAGUAAGACUCUGGUGGCAGGGUAAGCCUGUAGGGAGAGAGCGAAAGUAACUCAAAGAAAAAAGAUGUUGACUUCCUGGAAAUUUCCGGUCUUGUUCAUUGUUUAUAUGUGAUAUGGUAGGAAAGGGCAUCAAGUCUUCGACCCUAGAGGACUUCUUUGCCUUCAUAUUAUAGUGAUGAUUUGAUUGGGAAUAACUUGUUACUCUACCCCAAUCAUUUAUUGUACAUUAAAGACAUAUAUAAUUGUGGAUUGAAAUAAUAAAGUAAUACAUGCUUUUUAUGUGAUCUAUUAUCAUGGUCAAUUUGUCAUAUUAAAUAAGAACAAAUCAGUUUUUAAACAUUUUAAAAACAAAGUAAAAUAAUUUAAAUAUCCUUAAAAGUAAAAUUUUUAAAACUAGGAUCCAUGGGUAUUUCAGUUUUUUAAUGUUUUGAUAGUACAAUGAAAUUACUAUAUUGUUCUUUUUUUUUUUUUGGUUAAUAGUCGAAAUUUUAUUAAGAAAAAGGCUACAAAGAUAAUAGCCUAACUUACAUCAGAUGAACAAGCAGAGGAUACUAUAUUGAUAUUUAGGGGUUUAUUUUUGUAUCUUCACCAUGGCUUUUUAGUUAUAAUCAAUGUAAAUUAAGGGUAAUUUAGUUAUAAAUAUAAUUUAAAAAAUAAAAAAUGGUUAAUGUGUAUGUUUGGGAAGCGUCCACAUUUUUUGAACAACACAUACAACAUCUCUCAGUAGGCAAACGCUACUUUUGUGACGACAAUGGAAGCAUCACAACAUCCUCUUUCCAGUGGGCAGGGAUGCGUGCAUAGUAGCGUAGUGAUUGGGCUACAAUACACUUUUUUCUUUACCUUUCUCUUUUCUCUCUCCUAGCCUCGAGUUUCAUGUCAUCUCUUUUAAAAAUUAAAUAUGUUAUGUUCAAUUUGUAUUUGUAUUCAUUUUGUUCUCAUUAUUUUAAUUAUUACUUGUUUUGUUUUUAAUGUUUUUUUAAAAUUGAUUUUUUUUUAAUUUCAUCUUUUGACAUUUUAUUUCAUUUAGUUUUUAUAUCCAAUUUGGUCCUCGUUCUUUUAGUUGCUAUUUUUUUUUUUAUCAUUUUUCUUGAUAAUUUUUUUUUAAUUUCAUCCUUUGUAAUUUUAUUUCAUUUGCUUUUUUAUGCAAUUUGCUACUCAUUCAUUUGAUUGCUAUUUGUUUUUUUUUCUUUAUUUAUUUUACUUUUUAAUUUAGUCCCUCAUUAUUUUAUUUCAUUUUAUUUUUAUAUAAAAUUUGGUUCUCAUUCUUUUAAUUGCUUUUGUUUUUUUGUUUUUUAAUCUUGAAUGAUUAUGAAUUUUGCUUCGUCAUUUUUUGGUGUUUGUCUUCUAUGGAAUAAUCUUAGUCUCAUGACCUACGUCACGGGUUUAAAUAUUAACCUGAUUUAACCUUGAUCUUUUUUAGGCUCUUUUUUAUAAAUUAAUUUUUUUUUUAAUUUCAUCGUUCAACAUUUAGUUAUUGGACCUUGAAAUUCAUGAUUUGUUUUGCUUUUCUUUCUGUGAGGUUAUUCCAAUCUUAUAUUUUAAAUCACGAGUUAAUCAAGUUAACCCGGAUUGACUUGAUAUAUAUAUAUAUAUAUAUAUCUCUUCCCCUAAAAGCAAAGCUAAAAAUUAAGCAUGAUUAGUGCUUCAAUGACGAAAGGGAACAAACUUUGUUUCGUUUCUGGGUUUAUGGACUGGAUUCAGUCAGCAUUACGACAUAAUCAAAAGGAAGGAGUGAAGCUUUGGUUACCGGAAUGGACUAAAUACAGUUAUUUUACUUGACGAUAUCUAGGCAAUCGUAUUAGUCCUAUCAACAAUGUUGGCCUAAACCCAAAAAAUUGUAACUAAAAUUUAUUCUUCCCUAUACCUGAUGACCUUUGUGCUUUAAUAACAAAUUUUUGAGACUUUAACUGAUGACAGAAUAAACUAUGAACAAUCAGUGCUAUCAAUGGUAAUAUUGAAUUACAUAUACAUAAGAAAAUAAAAUUACAAAUGCAUUACCCCACAAAGUUUAAGUCUUUAAUAACAAAGUUAUCUACACAUACAAUGCAAUGAGAACUUGAAAAUAAACCCUAUAAGCCUUCAAAGUUCAGACCAUUGAAAUUAGAAAUAAAAAAAAAUUCUCCAUGUGAACUGAGCAUAUGAAAAUAAUAAGAGAAGGGUAAGAAGAAGAAGAGGGAACCUGCAAAGGGGUCGUAGAAACCAAUAACUUGAAGGUGUUUGCCAUCUCUUGGAGUACGGCUAUCAGUAGCAACAAUUCUGUAAAAUGCCCUGUUUUUGCAUCUUAGCCUAGCUAAACGAAUCUUGGGCUGAUCUCCUUCAAGUGAGAAAUGGGAGAGUGAAUUGCAGGGGAGGGAGGGACAGUGUUUGUGGAUACGGGUUUUUAUAUGGAUAGAGGAUUGGAUGGUUUGCGGAUAUGGGCUUUUGUACUUCUUUCUUGUCAAAACUAUGCCGUUCUAACCACAUUGUGCCUAAUUGAUCCCUCUGUUUUUUUUAUAUAAAAAAAAUUGACGCUUUUGCAAUUGUUCGUUUUCGUUCCCAAAGGUUUUUCAUUUCAAUUUCAUCUUCCUAUUAUGUUUGCAUGGUUUAAAACCUAAUAAUUGCUUUCAAUUUGUUUGACACAUUGUUUUCGUAAUGUCAAAAUAAGUCUCUGCUUGGGAUUGAAUACUAUUUUUAAAAAAUUAAAUUUUACAAUUUAUUAUCAUUUGUUUUUUAUAAAUCAUUAUGAUCUUUAACAAAUAUCCUGAUAAGCCAAUCUACCAACUUUGAAUGUGAUAUGGAUACGAUUGAGAUUUUAUUCUUUGGCUAUAAUAAGCUAAAGUGGGAUUGUGACAUUUCUGUAUGAUGUAUCUUUGUUGGUGUGUAUAUAUAUACCAACAUAAUUGGUUCUGUUUACUGCUUUAGGCAACAUAAUUGGCAUGCAGCCAUGUAAUUAUAAUUAUUUCUUUUCCUUCCAGUUCAUUACACACAAUCUAUUUAACAGAUGCCUUUUCCUUUUUCCUUAUAUAUAUAUAUAUAUAUAUAUAUAUAUAUAUAUGCUGUUUGUCUUUUUGGUAUAAAUAAUGUUUUUAUAAUUUUUUUUUAAUAUUUGUAUUUACUAAUAUCAAAAAUAAUUUUUAAAAAAUAAGAAAUAUUAUAUUAUUUUUUUUAAUAAAAAAAAUAAGAACUACCUACUACACUUACAGAAGAAACAUUCCAUGUAUUGAGUCUUUGCGCGUGAAGAUGACUUUUUUUGCCAUCCCAAUAAUUAGCGUUAUUUGUAUUAUAACUUUUUUAAUAUUUCAAAUGGAUUAGCUAUUCCCUUGGCUUGGCGUAUUAGCACCUUUAGGAUCUUUUGUUAUUUUCUCUUCAACUUUUUUAUUAUAUAUUUUCUUUACACAGCAAACACUUCUGUCCCACGUCAUUCUUUAAGUACAGUAACUAGUAUAUCGACAUGCGAUUCACAGCAGGGUUAAUAUUAAUCUUUUUAAAAUUAAAAUAGCAAUCAUGUCAGCCUCAGCAUUUUGCAUCUAGAAUAGUAAAAAGUCUAGAAUAAUAUAUAUAUAAUGUGAAGAAGAAGAAGAAGAAGAAGAAGAAGUCUUGAAGGAGAGAGGAAGGGACGGUGGAUGAGGCCAAUCCUCUUCUUGAUGCUCGGGCAAUAAUAGCCAUGUUGAUGGGGACGACGACGACUUGACCUUAUAUCUUCCCGGCGAGUGCUUGGGCAGCGUGUUCGGGAAUCUGAGCUGCCUUGACAUUACAUGUUUUCAGGAAAUUAUGUUUUUUUGUCUUAACGGUGGCUUUCGAUAAUGUUCAUAUUGAUAGGAGAUAAAUCAAUUUUUAAACGUUUUGAAGCACUUAGGAAUGAUUUAAAUAUUUUUAAAAGUAAAAUUUUUAAAACCAAGGAUUCCUGAGUGUUUCUAUUUUUUAAUAUUUUGAUAGUAUAGUAAAAUGAUUAUCUUACUUUUAAAAAUAUAAAAAUUUAACAAUUUCAAAUUCAAGUAUUUUCUCGGGAUAUUAUAAAAAAAAUUUAUUUUAAUAUAUUUUUAAUUAAAAAAUAAUUAUAAUAUUUUUACCUUCAUAUUAUAUUAUAAUGGUUAUGAUAAUUUGAUUGAGAAGAACUUAUAAGAAAACUGGUUAAUGAUUGUUUUUUAAAAUGUUUUUUUCUUAUAAAUACAUUAUAUUAAAAUAAUAUAUUUUUAUUUUUAAAAUUUUAUUUUUUAUUUCAACACAUCAAAAUAAUAUAAAAAUAAAAAUAAUAAUAAUUUAAAAUAAAAAAAUAAAAAAACUCAAAUUCAAAUAUUUUCUUAGUACAUUACAGAGGGUUCAAUUAUUGACAUCCUAGAAAUUUUAUUAACCACAAAAGGCUUCAUCUCUUCUUAUUAUUAUUAUUAUUUUGUAAUUUGGUAGGGAAAGGCAUCAAGUCUUCCAUCCUAGUGUUGCGUGUAAAGAAAUAAUAAUAAUAAUAAAAGUGUUUGCGCGUAAACUUUGUUGAAUUUCACAUUAUAAUAUAAUGGUUAUUAUGAUUUCAUUGGGAAGAACUUGUUACUCUGCCCUAAUUAUAGGAUUUAAAAAAAAAUGAUACUAUUAAAGAAAUAAUAUGGUUUAAUUUAUUUUUUUUUAGAAAAAACAACAUAUUUUUUAAAAACCUGCUAUUUUAAAUCAUGAUUUUAAUAUAACUGUGAUUUUGCAAAAUCACAAUCUAUCCAAAUAAUUUGGCAGAUGCUUUUAUAUAUAUAUAUAUAUAUUGAAGAAGCUGAGUUGCCUUGACAUUGAGUAUUUCCUGGAAAGUACGCAUUUCUUGUCUUAACGGUGGCUUUCGAUAAUGGUCAUAGCACUUUCGGUUUGUUUUUGACCGAAAGAGGAAAGAAAUUUUUGACCGAAAAAUGAACACAGUUUACAAUAACUGGUGAUUUUUGGGCUUGUUUUUUACCCUCACCAUCAGGGGCGGAGCUAGGAUUAUUUGAUAGGGGGGACCAAAAUAAUAUAAAAAUAUAUAAUUUUUUUAAUUUAUUAUACAUGAAUUAUAUAAAAAAAAAACUACAUGAUUUAGUUUUAUUCAAAAAAGUAACUACAAAUAUAUAACAAUCUUUGUAUAAGAUAAGAAGUUUAAAACAAUACCAAAUUGAGUCAAAGCUAUGAAGUUAAUUUCAUCUUCAUAAUGUAUUCAUCACUUUAAUUUUGUUGGUCUUUGUACCUAUCAAAUAUAAACAUACAAAAUAUAUAAGAAACAUUAGCUAAAGCGAUACAUUAUUUAUGUUUGAUAAAACUUUAAAAUAAAGUAAAAAAUAAUAAAGAAUGAUUCUUACAUAUUUAUUUUAAUUGUGCUCGUCGUUCUUUCAUAGAGUAGAAAUCAUCAAUUAUCAUAUCACUUGUGAAUCUUUCAGCAAUUUUUUUUCUAUAUAGACAAUCAAAUAAUUUGCAAGAAAAUCAUCCUCCAUCCGAUUGCGAAGUCUUGUUUUAACAAUCUUCAUCGCUGAAAAAGCUCGUUCAGUAGUUGCUGUCGAAACAGGAAGAGUCAAAAUAAGCCGAAUCAACCUGUCAACGAGUGGAUAAAUUGUUGAUUUUUCUGUUUCAACCAAUCCUUGACAUAAUUCAGCAAUCGAUGACAUAUUCUUUAACUUUGGAUGAUUGGGUACAUCAAGCUCAUAAUGCUGCAACUGAAAUCUCAAAUGAGUUUUUUCUUGGUCAGAAAAGUCUUCAGGAUAGAACUUGUCAACAAGUAAGCAUAUAUCUUCAACACUGAAUAAUUUAUAAAUUAUUUUUAGGAUCUAAAGCUGUGCUCAACUUAAGAAGCUCGAUCGCCUGCUCAUUGAAUCUAUUAUUUAGCUCUUGCAACUGUUGAUCAACAAUAGCUGUAAAUAUAUCAACUCGAUAGUGAUGCUCAAUUGUUAUUGAUUCUGUUUUACGGCGAGAUCGUCCCACACUAGAAAAACAAGCAUCCAUAUCAGGGACUUCAAUGUCUUGAUGCUUACAAAAUGAUGUCACUUCUUCUAAAAGAGUUUCCCAACCAUCAUCUCUUAACUUCUGAAUUAAAGUCUUUGUGGUAGUCACCAAAUGCAUAGCAUUUAAAAUGUCUUGAGAUUUCUGUUGCAAAGCUUGGCAAAGCACAUCAGUAAUUCCCAUAACAUUUUUCAUUAUAUGCAAGAUGAAUGCAAAAUCAAAUGACAUUAGCAACUUAAAUGAAAAGGCCGCAUCACCACGUUGAGAAUAAGUAGAUCCAUCUAAAGAGAUGUUUUCAAGAACCAAGCAAGUUGCCCCAUACAUUUUUAUCAAACUGCAAAUUGAUUUGAAGUGCGAACUCCAUCUGCUAUCUCCAGGUCGUUGCAAACCACCUACUUGAUUAACUCCUUUACCCAUUUCAAUCUCACCAAUAUCAACUAAAUGUUCAAUUGUAGCUGCUUGAAAAGCCCGUAAUUCAUCAUUACGCUUGCAAGAAGCACUAACAAUGUUAAUAAGAAAAAUCAAGUUCUGAAAGAAAGUGUGAACAUCGGAUAUUUCUCUAGCUGCAGCAAUAAGAGCCAAUUGUAAUUGAUGAGCUAAGCAAUGUACAUAAUAUGCAUAAGGGCAAUCAUUAAUGAAUAAAACUUGCAAUCCAUUCCACUCUCCACGCAUAUUACUAGCACCAUCAUACCCUUGGCCCCUAAUAUUUUGAACAUCAAGAUUGUGAUGAGAUAAAAUAAAGGAAAUCUCUUUCUUAAGAGUUGAAGUAGUUGUAUCUUUGACAUGAACUAUAUCCAAAAAUCGUUCUCGUAUAAAUCCACUUCUAUCAACAAACCUUAUAACAAGGGCCAUUUGCUCUCUUCUGGAUUCAUCUCGAGCUUCAUCAACAAUUAAACAAAAUCUUGCAUCACCAAUCUCAUGACGAAUUGAAGACUGAACAUUUCUAGCAAAGACAUGCAAAAUUUCUUUUUGAAUUUGAUGCGAGGUGUAUUUAGCAUUUUGUGGAGCAUUAUCCAAAACAAGAGCACCUACUUGUUCAUUGUAUGAUGCUAAAAGUUCCAACAUUUCAAGAAAAUUACCUCGGUUUUUUAUUCUGGACGUUCAUCAUGUCCUCUAAAAGCACAUGCUUGAAAUGUGAGCCAACGAACAAUAUCUAUUGAAGCUUUAAUACGCAAUCGAUUAUUUAGAAUUUCUUGAGUAGUUUGCCUCUUAACUACCUUCUCAAUAUGACAUGACUGAUUUUUCAAAUUUUCCAAGCACCUGGUAGCAAAUCUAUGAGCUGAAUUCGGACUUUUUCCCAUAUGAGUUAAAAAAGCACAUCGUUCCCCAUCAUUAACUUUCUUCCAACAAUUGAAUCCUUUAACAGUAAAUGUGUCUGAUCCUGGCUUUCCAGAUGACUUACUUGAAAAUAGAUAGCAAGGGAAACAAAAUGCAGUAUUUUUCUCUGAAUAUUCAAGCCAUGGAUAACUUUUGAACCAAUGAGAUUGAAAUCGACGAGGAUGUUUCUUACCAGUUAGCGGAUAUUCAGACAUCAAAGGUUGAUAUGGCCCCAAAUUAAUGUAUGCCCUUCUAAUUUCAUCUUGUUGAUUAACCGGGUAUUCCCAAAUUUGAGGACGAUUGCUUGGAUCUCUAAUCAGAUGAGAAGUGUCAAUUCUAGUUGGAGGCUGCUCAUUAAUCAAUGCAGGUUCUUCAUAAACUGAAGCACAUUGGGGUUGUUCAACCAUAACUUCAACAUUACACAUUGGAGUUGAUUCACUAGGCUGUGAGUUAUCAAUAUUUUUCCUUUUUCUCAAAAAAAGAAUCAAUUCUUCUUAUUUUGUUCAUGGUUCAACCUACAAUCAAAACAUCAUAAAUUUUUAUUGUUUCCUAUUUAAAAAAUAAAUACAAAUAACGAUGUGUUGAAGCAAUAAUCAGAACCAAAAAUAAAUUUUUACAUGUAAACAACACUGACAUAUAAAAGUAAAAUUAACAUAUUAAAAAAAGAAAUUGAUAUAUAAAAGCAUAUCUAACAUUAAAAAAUGGGAUUACUGGUUCCUAAAUAAGAAAACUUACACUGAAUCAAAGUUGGGUAGACGCUCUUCAAAGAACUCAAUUUGGCUAAAGAUCGUGUCUAAUUGUAUAUUGGACCUGGUGAUAAUAAGGUACAUGUAAGAAAAAAUUGAUAAUUUUGGUGGCUCUGUUAAAAACAAAAUAUAAAAAAAUCCAAGCAUAAUCGAAACAAACAAACCCAUGAAAUAUAUCCAAUUAAUUAGAAAAAACAAUAUUCACUAUAACAAGAAAUAAAAAACGGUAAAACUAGUAGAUUUGAAAAAAAAAAUAGCAGAAUUAUAUAUAUAUAUAUAUAUAUAUAUAUUCUUAACAAACAUAAAAAAAAAAAAAAAAUUUACCUUGAUGAAGAAUUAAUUGGCAGCAGCUUUGCUUUAACUUUUGUGCUUUAUAUUAUUAGGUUAGGGAUGCAGUCUAUUAGAGUAUUAGGGAUGCAGUCUUGCAACAGAGAAGAAAAAGGAAGACACGGUAAAGGAAAACAAUAAAAUUAAAAAGCUGAGUUGGCCUUUUAUAUAGAGAUACGGAGAUACAAUAUUAAUAUCAAAUAUAACUAAUAAAAUAAUAAUUUAAUAUUAAAAGUUUAUUAUUUAUUAUAUUAAAAAAAAAAAAAAAUUUUGCAGGGGCCUGGCCUCCCCUUAGUUCCGCCACUGGAGCCUAUAAGUAAUAAGCUGAUGUAGUUAAAGGGGAAUAACUCCUCAUUCGGCGAAGCAAGAAUCCAGCUAGAAGCUAUUCAUUCCUUGUGCUGUCAGUUAUCAGUCUUGCAAAUCACAAAUGUUUCAUGCCAAGUAGAGCCUUCUUAUCAAUUUAGUGCUCCAAACACAUGUCCUGGGAAACGUUACAGCUCUUUCAUAGUUAGGUAGCGAGAAAAAUCCAUAACUUAGAGGUUGAGUUUUUGUACAAGAAAUAUACUAGAUGUGACUGUACAUCUGUAGUAUUUCUUUCUUUCUUUUUUCAGACUCGGCAGAAACUAAUAAACACUUCCUGUUGCUGUUUUCGUCGGUGUCCGUCAAAUUUUUUCAAAGGAUAUCAUGUUCAGGGGAUGAAGAAGAACCUCGUCCUCAUUCCUUCUCUGCAAUUACCACGAAGACAUCUUUCAGUGACCACCUACGUCUCUCACUUUUGGCAGGCGGAUUGAUAACAGCCCUUUCAGCAUUAGCUGCUCGGUAACCAAUGACUAUCUAUUGAAAGAAGGACAACAAAUUCCCACUCCAACACGGAUUGUAAAUCCCCCUGCAAUUCAGAUUGUAGAAUCUGACCUUAACACAACUUCCAGAGUUUUUAGUUUAACUCCAAAACAAGUUGCAGAGCUUCCCUCCUACUGCAAUGUUACGUUGCCCUGCAUACAAUUGUUAGGAUAAUAGUUAAUAGAGAUAGACUUUGAUUUGAUCGUAAACAUUACUUCCUCUGCUAGAGGAAUUAGUUGAAUAAAAGAAAGUUGGUUCGUUAGUCAGUUGCAACUUGCAAGGGAAGAACAAUAUUUACAGCUAUCUUGAAAACCAAGUAAUAAUUGAAGAACAAUUUGCAGUAACUACAUAACUCUUUUCUCCCUUUCAUUUUCUUUUCUUUCUCCCUCAAUUUAUUUUCUUCUGAACCGUUGUUUGUUAACGGGUAAAUAUCUGUACCCGUCCGUGUCCGCCGAUGGAUUUUCAUCAAAGUGCAGAUACACCCCACAGCUUUUCAACCCGACAGGCCUUCGGAUCUCAUGACGUACCUUCCUCGCCAUGUUGUUCCCUUCACGGUGGUGGAAUUUAAAUGUAACUUCAUUGCCAGAAUAUUUACGCAAUUGAUUUACGAAUAUGAGCUCGUAGCUUAGAAUCAUGUGAUCUGAGACACAUGUCUCCAAUAAAUAUAAUAGAGCAUGUCUUUCCUGGGAAACGAAGACGACUUCAUCAUCACCAUCAUUCUCACCGUUUUUACUCUUAACAUGGCAAUCAAAAUAUACAUCAUAAAAACCACAGGAGGGAAGAGGGAGUAGAAAGACAAGGCAGAAAGCAAUUCCCUUGAGCUGAUGACAAUUUGAGGGUAACUGUAUGGUGAGUGAAGAUCCAAUUCCUUUGUCACCGAACCAUUCUGGAAUUUCACUCCCCGGUAGAACCAUUUGAAUUCUGCCAAGUGGGAUCUCCUCUCCGGACUGUAACACAAAAGUCACAUUUCAAAAAUGUGAUGAAGCAAGCAAGAGAGAGAGAAGAAAGAAAGAGAAGGGGGUUUAGAGAGAUACCUGAAUUUUCAAAUGCAUUGCUGCUACCAAUGGUUUCUGAUCCAAUUUGAAGCAAUUUGUAAAAUCCAAUCCAUCCCAUAAUCUACCGAAAUUUAUGAUUGAUAUCGCGGUUUCAAGUGAUGCACAGUCUUGUGCAUGUAGAUACCUCAGCGAAGGGGGGAGCUCAGGUAACGCUUUAACGCAUGUCAUGGGAGGGAAGAAGGAGUAGAUAGACAAGGCAGAAAGCAAUUCCCUUGAGCUGAUGACAAUUUGAGGGUAACUGUAUGGUGAGUGAAGAUCCAAUUCUUUUGUCACCGAACCAUUCUGGAAUUUCACUCCCCGGUAGAACCAUUCGAAUUGUUUCAUCAAAUCCCUUGAUCUCCUCUCCGGACUGUAACACAAAAGUCACAUUUCAAAAAUGUGAUGAAGCAAGCAAGAGAGAGAAGAAAGAAAGAGAAGGGGGUUUAGAGAGAUACCUGAAUUUUCAAAUGCAUUGCUGCUACCAAUGGUUUCUGAUCCAAUUUGAAGCAAUUUGUAAAAUCCGUUCGAAACCAUGAACUGGCGAUAUUGAUGAUUGAUGUCACGGUUUCAAGUGAUGCACAUUCAUGUGUUGUUAGAGUCUCCAGCGAAAGGGGAAGCUCAGGUAAUGCUUUAGUAGACGUUCCAUGCAAAUACGGAACUCGAAAACAUACCAUAUCUUUGAUUGACAGUAGAUGUUCCAUAGGCACUGUGAUUUCUGGGAAGCUUUCAAGUUUUGAGCAAUCACUCAUAUCCAAUUUGCAGAGUAUUGUGAGAAACUGGAUUGAUGAGACGUUCCACUUAGUUAAAGGGGAAUAACUCCUCAUUCGGCGAAGCAAGAAUCCAGCUAGAAGCUAUUCAUUCCUUGUGCUGUCAGUUAUCAGUCUUGCAAAUCACAAAUGUUUCAUGCAAAGUAGAGCCUUCUUAUCAAUUUAGUGGUUUCUGAUACCUGAAUUUAGAGAGAUACCUGAAUUUUCAAAUGCAUUGCUGCUACCAGUGGUUUCUGAUCCAAUUUGAAGCAAUUUGUAAAAUCCAAUCCUUCCCAUAAUCUACCGAAAUUUAUGAUUGAUAUCGCGGUUUCAAGUGAUGCACAGUCUUGUGCAUGUAGAUACCUCAGCGAAGGGGGGAGCUCAGGUAACGCUUUAACGCAUGUCAUGGGAGGGAAGAAGGAGUAGAUAGACAAGGCAGAAAGCAAUUCCCUUGAGCUGAUGACAAUUUGAGGGUAACUGUAUGGUGAGUGAAGAUCCAAUUCUUUUGUCACCGAACCAUUCUGGAAUUUCACUCCCCGGUAGAACCAUUCGAAUUGUUUCAUCAAAUCCCUUGAUCUCCUCUCCGGACUGUAACACAAAAGUCACAUUUCAAAAAUGUGAUGAAGCAAGCAAGAGAGAGAAGAAAGAAAGAGAAGGGGGUUUAGAGAGAUACCUGAAUUUUCAAAUGCAUUGCUGCUACCAGUGGUUUCUGAUCCAAUUUGAAGCAAUUUGUAAAAUCCGUUCGAAACCAUAAACUGGCGAUAUUGAUGAUUGAUGUCACGGUUUCAAGUGAUGCACAUUCAUGUGUUGUUAGAGUCUCCAGCGAAAGGGGAAGCUCAGGUAAUGCUCUAGUAGACGUUCCAUGCAAAUACGGAACUCGAAAACAUACCAUAUCUUUGAUUGACAGCAGAUGUUCCAUAGGCACUGUGAUUUCUGGGAAGCUCUCAAGUUUUGAGCAACCACUCAUAUCCAAUUUGCAGAGUAUUGUGAGAAACUGGAUUGAUGAGACGUUCCACUUAGAUAAAGACGUUUCAACUUGAGAUUAACUGAUUGUGGAACUUCUUUGUUGGAAGUUUGCUCCAAAUGUAAGCGUGUCAUAUUUUGUGAAAUCGUUGGACACGUGGUCACAUUUAGGCAUAGCAAGUUCUUCCAGCUUGUCAAGAUAUUGAAGAGAUGACGGAACCUGGUUAAACUUGGGCAGUCCUUUAGUAUUUAGGGCUGGAAAGUGUAAUUAUGGUUAUUUUUUAAAGUAUUUUUUAUUUAAAAAUAUAUCAAAAUAUUUGAAAAUACUAAAAAAAAUUUAAUUUAAAAAAAAUAAAAAUUUUUUAAUUUUUUUCAAAAAUAAUUUUAAAACGUAAAAACAAACAAAACCUAAAAUUAAAGCACUCUAAAUUUUUGGCCAUUGAUAGAUCUGGUAUUUCCAUCAAAUAUGAAGAGUCAGAUAGGUUAAUUUUUCUUAAAUUUCCAACAUCCUGUCAACAACAAAAGGCAUAAUUAGAAAGUUAGCACCUCCAACUUCAUAUUUCUGAUCAUAAAUCUGCAGCAAUUAAAUCAUACCUUUACUCCUGUCCAAAGUUUUUCAAGCUUGCUUCCGCGUAGGUGAAGCUCGACAAGGUGUUCAGCACGAAAAGAUGGCGGCAAGGAUUUCGAAGGGAAUCCAUCCCAUCGCAAAUAUCUCAGCUCAUUAGGAAGAUACUCGAGGCCAGUAGGAGGAAGCUGCAUUUUAUCUUCUUGGGAGUAACGACGGCCAUAAAAAUUGAGAAAUCGAAGACCAUCCAUCAUUGCGAAGGCAUCAGAUUUCAAGAGUAUGUGUCUCGGUAACACGGCCAUGUCCAGAGAGAUGCCUUUAAUUUUUUGAGUUCCCUGUUAAAGAAAAAAGAAACAAUAAUACAAUCUACUCAAACACAUCAACUUUUGAGCAAAUACAUGAACGACAGUUAUUGGCUGUAGCUUUAACCUUAUUUUCCUCCAAUACUUGAACGACAUCAGGAGGAUGACAUAACCUGCUACGUUCGCCAGGAAAAUCAGAUUCUGCACGAACAAUGUUAAAUGCCAUUUCUUGUAGUAAAUCAUGCAUUUCUAUAUACAAGUAAUCAUCUACAGUAGUUAUGAGACACUUAUCAAUAAGCAUGUUUUUAUCGAAAAUCACAGACCGACCAUAAAGGCCAUCUAAUAUUCUUGUUGCUUUGUCCUGCGGCCAUCCUUUGAAGAAAUGUGCUAUGUCAAGAAAUAUGGAUUUUUGUUCUGAAUCCAACCCAUCGUAAUUCUCAACGCCCUUUCGAUUUGAGGGCCCUGAUCUAGUGUCUUCAAUGCACUGUGCCAUUCUUUGAUGCUUUUACCAUAGAGAAAGGAACCCAAAACUAUAAGAGCCAACGGAUUGCCUUGUACAUGACUUACAAUCUGUGCUAUCAAGUGUCUUUGAUCAAUUGUGGGGAUGCAAUUCUUCAAGGCUUUCGAGCAAAAGAGUUGAAUAGCUUCUUCAUCGUUCAACCCCUCAACCUCGUAUGUCUCAUCAACUACAUUCUUAAGCACUUGCUUGUUCCUACUUGUUAUGAGAACUUUACUGCCCGGGCCAAAUGAACUGUUUCGUCCAUCAAGCAAAUCUCUCCAUUCUUCAAAACGCAUUAAAUCAUCCACAUCAUCCAGAACAAUAAAAACCUUCAUUCGACGAAGUCUAUCCCUCACAAAAGAAUCUCGAAAACUCAAGGAGCCCAUAGUUUCCAGAGUUUCUUGGCCAAGCAGCCAUGAAAGAAAUCUUCUUCGCAAAUCAGAUUGUUGCCUAAAGUUUCCAAAAAAGAUUCUUUCAAAUCGAGAACGAACCUUGAUGCACACAGCUUCAGCAAUCGUUGUCUUACCGAUACCACCCUUUCCCCAUAUCCCUACAAUGAGAACAUCUGGAGACUCCAUAUCCAACAAAGACUCAACUUUGUUAACACGAACAUCAAUUCCAAAUAGACCCGUAGUGUGACAUGGCAUGAAAGAAGACAUGGCAUGCAAUUUUUUCAAAACAUCUCCAAUAAUUUUCUCAAUAAAUUCAGACUCCAACCUGACAAACAAGAAGAAACAUAUAAACAUACUCACUCCUUAGUAGCAGGCACGUAUGAGUAAUUGAGCAUCAUUAUUGGCAAUGAAAUGCAAUAAUACAUAUGAAGAAAUCAUUGACUAUCCUUCUAAAAUUUAAAGUAAGGAUUCCCAAGUAUCUACUUUUUAAUCAUCUCCUAAAACUCAGGUAUUCAAAAAAUAGUAAUGAUUAUAUUUUAAAAAAUAUUAUUUUUGAUAUAAAUAUAUUAAAAUAAUGUAAAAACACUAAAAACAAUAGUUUAAAAUAAAGAGAAUUAUUUAAAAAUAUAUAUAUUUUUUGAAACACAAAAACAAAAUGAACGAAUAUAUAUAAACACAUUAAAAUAAUCUAAAAAUACUAAAAAUUAAAAAAAAACAUAAUUUUUUUAAAAAACAAUUUAAAACACAAAAACAAAAACAAACAACCAUUUAAUAUUUAUACAAACAUUUCGCUACAAAUAAUACUUUUUUUAUUUUUUAAAUAGUUUUAAUUUAAACACAUUAAAAUAAUCUAAAAACAUUAAAAAAAAAUUACAAAAAAAAAAUAUUUUAAUACACCGAAUAACCAACCACAUAAUAUCUAUAGAAGUGUUUCGCUAGAACGUUUUCAAAAUCAAAUAAAAUAAAUAUGGAUUCACAGAGCUCAUCAUUCUCAAUAAUUUUAAAUUAAAUUUCAAAUCCUCAACAAAUGAACGAAUAUUUUCUCAUGGGAUAUAUUUCAAGAGCUUACUCAGAAUUCCCUAAGCUCCAUCCAGAUAGACUGGCUGCAUCCGUCAAAGCGUCUCUGAAGCUCUGCACUUCUUCCAACGUCAGAGCUUUCUUCUUUAUAAGUCUAGCAAAUGCAUCCCCAAAGCUUCCUGCUUGAUUUCUUACAUGGGAUGGAUCCACCUGGUAGAAUACCGGAAUAACUAUCUGUCCAUUGUUUUUUCUACACUCAAAAAUCUUUGCAAGCUCCUCCAAGCACCAUUUGGAAGAUGCAUAGUUUUCAGAAAAAACAAUCACAGAAAGCUUGGCCUCUUCAAUUGUUCUCAGAAGUGAUUCCGAAAUCUCAUCUCCUCUCACAUGCUGAUAAUCUACGAAAGUUAGGAUUUGUUUCCGGUUCAAAGCAGCAUGGAGGUUGCUGGUAAAACCAACACGAGUUUCUUCUCCUCUGAAACUAAGGAAGACAUCAUAUUUAAUUCCUUGUGGCUGGGCGGUGGUUAAGGUGGAAGGAGUAGAUGGUGAUGGAGACAUCAUAUUGUUUUGUGGAGAAACAGUCGAAGAAACAAGAGUAGAUGGCGAUGGAGAAACAUGGCGGCUUCGUAUGAUCAAUCUCCAGAUAUAAACAAACAAAAAGAUAUUGAGAAACAAUAAAAAUACCACCAUUGUUUUGUGGAGAAACAAGAGUAGGACUCUGGUGGUAAGGUAGGUCUGGAGGGAGAGAGCGGAAGUAACUCAAGGAAAAAAGAUGAGGCUGAUUUUGAAUCAGUAGCUUAGGCUUUACGUGUUUAAGACCCUGCCUUAGGCAUAUGUAUCAUUUAUAGGCAUCAAAUCCAAGAAUUUUCUUAGAACAUUACAAGAUUGCACAUUGUUGAUUUCCUAGAAAUUCCCCAGUUACAAAGUGAUGUGAUAGGAAAAGGCAUUUAUACUUUGUUUUGUUUUUAUGGUAUUCACAGUAUUUUUAUAAAUUUUGAUUUUUUUUAAUUAAUUUUUUUAGUUUUUAUUUUAUUUUAAUUUACUGAUAUAAAAAUAAUUUUUAAAAAUCAAAAGCAUAUAUAUUCUUGUUCAUCAUAUCACAGCUGUGAUAGAUGCCUUUUUUAAUAUUUCAAAUGUAUUAGCUAUUCACUUCGCGGAGUAGCAGAUCUUUUGUUAUUUUUUCUUCAACUUUUUUAUUUUAUAUUUUCUUUAAACAGUAAACACUUCUGUCCCACAUCAUUCUUUAAGGACAUUAACUAGUAUAUCGGCAUACAAUUCACAACAGGGUUAAUAUUAAUUUUUUAAAAAUUAGAAAAUAUUACAAGUGUUUAGCAAUAUCUAAAUGUUCCUGGAAAUUAUUUCUUGUAUUUGUUUUCUAAGGAACGGUUGCUUUGAUAUAUUUUUUUCAAAAUAAAAAUAACAUUUUGAUGUAUUUUUUCAAAAAUAUAUUUUAAAAAACAACUGUUACUGCACUCCUAAACACCCUCCUAAAAAAAAGUAUGUGAAAAAAAAACAUUAUAGCAAUUCACAAUAAUUUACGAAGAAAAUUAUAGUGCUUCCCCACAUGAUUUAGCCAUAUUUAUAAUUACUUGUAAUUGUAAUUAUCAAACAACUUAAUAUUAAAAAAAUAAAAUUGACAAAGAUAAUAUUAAAAAAAUUAUAAGAAAGAAAAACCAUGUGGAGAGACAUUGUAACAAUCCACGAUAUUUUGUGAGGAAAGAUACAGUGAUUUCCCACAUGAUUAAGGUUUAUUACAAAGUUAAAUUAUAACCAACUUAAUAUGAAGAAAAAAAAAUUAACGAAGAUAAUUUUGGAAAAAAAAUAUUACAAAAAAAAAAAGAAAACACAAAAGAAAUUGGAAAAAAAAAUAUGAGGAAAAACUGUAUCAAUCUAUAGUGUUUUGUGAGGAAAAACUUGUAUUUACUUGUAAUUGCAAGUCUUAACCAGCUUAAUAUUUAAAAAAUAAAAUUAACAAAGAUAAUUUUAGGGAAAAAAUAACAAAACGGAAAAAAACUAUAUGAAAUAAAACAUUGUAGCAAUCCAUAGUAAUUUGCGAAGAAAGUUAUAGUGUUUUCCUCCCAUAUUGUAACUGUAAUUUUUAACCAGCUCAAUAUUAAAAAAUAAAAUAAAAUAAAAAAAGAUAAUUUCAGAGAAAAUAAAAAAAAACAUAUGGAGAAACACUAGCAAUUAAUAAUGUUUUAAAGAAAAAAAUUACAAAACUAAAUUUUUAAUCAGCUUAAUAUUAAAAAAAUAAAAAUAUAUAAUUUUAAAAAACAAAAUAAAAAACUAUGUAAAAAAACACCACAUCAAUUCAAAAUAUUUUAAAAAAUGAAAUUUAAAGUGAAAUUUUUAAUCAGUUAAAUAUUAAAAAAAUAGAAUUAAUUCAAAAUUACACACAAUCUAUUCAAAUAAACCGGUAGAUGCCUUUUCCUUUUUCCUUUUAUAUAUAUUUAUUUAUUGUGAAGAAGAAGAAGAAAAAGAAGUCGUCUUGAAGGAGAGACGAAGGGACUGGGGAUCGAUGGGGCCAAUCCUCUGGGACGACGACUUGACCUUAAGUACUCUUCCUGGUGAGUGCUAGGGCAGCGUGUUCGGGAAGCUGAGUUUGGAAAUUACGUGUUUGUUUUUACAUGCUUCUUUCCAGCUCAUUACACACAAUCUAUCCAAAUAAAUCGGCAGAUGCCUUUUUCUUUUUCCUUUUAAAGGGAUCAUCGGCCGUCGGUGUUGUUGGAACAUAAACAAUCGAACAUUGGAAGAAAUAAAUAAUUUCCCCAUGCUUAAAUUAAGGCUACUAUUCUUUUGAACUCCGGCCAAACAUGACAGGGCUUUAGUAAAAUGCCUUUUUUCUUCUUCUUCCUCUGUCUUUUGCAGAAAAGAUUGAGAAGUUUAUACACACACCUAUAUACACCUAUAUACGUAUAUAGGUGUGUGUGUAAAUAUAUAUAAGGAAAAAGGAAAAAGGUAUAUAUUGGUGUGUGUGUGUGUAUAAAAGGAAAAAGGAAAAGGCACAUGGCAACUUUAUUAUAAUUAAUGGAUCGAGUAAAAUGUACAAGUUUCUUCGUAUAAUUUUAUUUUUUUCAAAUAGAAUAUUAAUUCGGAACUAAAAACAAUUAAAAAUUUCCAAAAUAUCCAUUUUAAACUGGGAUGAACCCCAGAAAAUAUUCGACUUUUAUCCAUAGUUUUAAAACCCGACCUGGUGGUCGACCCGGUCUUAUGACCGGGUCACGGGUCAGAUGGGUUGACCCGGGCUGACCCGGGUCAACCCAAAAAAAUCUAAUAAAAACUUCAAUAAAUACAAUUCCCCUCUUAUCCCUCUUUCUCAUCAAUCCACUUUUCAACUUUCAAAUUGCUUUCCAGCUUUCAAUCCACUUUCCAGCUUUUCAAUCGCAAAUAAACGUUCUUUUUUAAUCACCAGCAAAUAGGCAUUCUCUUUAAAUUGAGAAUUGAGAACACAUGGGCAUCAGAACAGAAAACAACAACAAUCAUGCAUCAACGACAACGCUGAUAUUCACGCACAAAACUUUGAAGAGGGGCUUUUCAAAUCAUGUCUUGAUGCAGGAUCUGAUCAAAAUCGGGUAUGCUGUCUUCAAUGGAAUCUACAUGAACGAGCAGGGAUCACUAAAAAGAGGAUGUCGUGUUUGGGGUGGAGGUGUAUUACGGGCAGUCGGGCAUAGGAGCUAUGCGAUUGAAAUUGCUUUUUCUUGUUAUCUUUAUCUGCAAUUUUGCAUCCUUCAUCCUUUAUCUGCAUAGUUUUGACUUUAAAUGGCCAAAACGAACGACGUCGUUUCGGACUCUGUAUGUAUAAAAAAACAAAGAGGCCGGGUCUCAGUCGGGUUUGUCCGGGUCGCCGGGUUCCGGGGGUCGACCGGGUUUCACCGGGCCAAUUCCUCGGCGGGUUUUUACUUAGACCCGGACCGGUCCUAGGCCCGGGUCGGCCGGGUCCCGGGUCGACCCGCCGGGCCGGUCCGGGUUUCAAAACUAUGCUUUUAUCCCCCCCUGCUGUCUAAUGUAAAAGACGGGUGUUUUUUUUCACUUGUCACGCUCCCCUGCAUCACCGGCUCAUGGAGGUAAAAAUCUUACGUCACAGCGACAUCAUCUUGUCCCCUGCAUUUUGUCCUCAGCUGGAAGACACGUGCAAAAAAGAGAGAGGUGAUCUAAAGUCAUUGUUGCGGACAAGCAGCAACCAGGAAGCAAUCCACUUGCCCCGGUGUCGUUUCACAAACAGUCAGUCAAAUUCACAGUCAAGGCAGAUGAUAAGGCUUUUGUAAAAUUUUGAGGUGGAUGGCAAUGAUGAUGUCUCAGACUUCAGAAAAUACAACAUUAAAAGAAGCAAAAACCUUAUCAUGAAAUUCGUUUUCCGGCCCUGAAUAAUAAUCAACAGUCAUGGCAUUGUUGAUCAUCGAAAGCCACCGUUAAGAUAAGAAAUGCGUAAUUUCAAGGAAAUAGAUUGCAGUCAAUCCAAGAGGUGGCAAGAAAAAGAGACCCAUCCAGUCAAAUUUUGCUUCCUUCCAGCUCCUUCCUGAAUAAUAAUAUAUUUUUUAAUAUUUAUAUGUAUUAAUGUUAAAAAUAAUUUUAAAAAAAUAAAAAAUAUUAUAUUUUUUUUAAUAAGAAAAACAAGAACUCCCUAUUACACUUACAGAAGAAACAUUCCAUGUAUUCAAUCCAAGUGUUUGCGCGUGUCGAGGACUUUUUUUGCCUCUCAAUAAUUAGUGUUAUUUGUAUUAUAACUUUUUUAAUAUUUCAAAUGGAUGAGCUUUUCCCUUGACUUGGCGUAUUAGCAGCUUUAGGAUCUUUUGUUAUUUUCUCUUCCUUUUUUAUUAUAUAUUUUCUUCACACAGUAUAUCGGCCUGCGAUUCACAUAUUCAGUUAAUAUUAAUCUUUUUAAAAUUAAAAUAGCAGAAGAACUUAUUAGAAAAUCUGUUUAAUAUUGUGGUAAUUAUUUUUUAAAAAAUAUUUUUUAAAAAAAAAAUACAUUAUAUUAAAAUAAUAUAUUUUUAUUUUUAAAAUUUUAUUUUUGACAUUAACACAUCAAAAUAAUAUAAAAAUAAAAAAUAAUAAUUUAAAAUAAAAAAAAUAAAAAAACUCAAAUCCAAAUAUUUUCUUACUACAUUACAGAUGGUUCACAUUUUCCUAGAAAUUUUCAUUAACCACAAAAAGCUUCAUGUCUUGUUAUUAUUAUUAUUAUUUUGUAAUUUGGUAGGGAAGGGCUUCAAGCCUUCCAUCCAAGUGUUUGCGCGUAAACUUUGUUGAGUUUCACAUUAUAUUAUAAUGGUAAAAAAAAACAAUUAUAUAUGAGUGUCCUCUCCCCUGAAACUAAGGUAGACAUCAUAAUUAAUUCCCUGUGGCUGGGCGGUGGUUAUGGUGGAAGGAGUAGAUGGGGAUGGAGAAAUAUGACGGAUUCGUAUGAUGAAUCUCCAGAUAUAAGCAAACAAAAAGAUAGAGAGAAACAAGAAAAACAUCGCCAUUGUUUUGUGGAGAAACAGUCGAAGAAACAAGAGUAAUUAGACUCUGGUGGUAAGGUAGGUCUGGAGGGAGAGAACGGAAGGAACUCAAGGAAAAAAGAUGAGGCUGAUUUUGAAUGAGUAGCUUAGGCUUUACGUGUUUAAGAACCUGCCUUAGGCAUAUGUAUAAUUUAUAAUAAUCAAAUCCAAGAAUUUUCUUAGAACAUUACAAGAUUGCACAUUGUUGAUUUCCUAAAAAAGAUUAGGCAUGUGAUAGAAAAAGGCAUUUAUAUGUUGUUUUGUUUUUAUGGUAUUCCCAGUGUUUUCAUAAAUUCUGAAUUUAAAAAUAAUAAAUUUUUUUAGUUUUUUUAUUAUUUAAUUUACUGGUAUAAAAAUAAUUUUUAAAAAUUAUAAGCUUAUAUAAAUUCUUGUUUAUCAUAUCACAGCUGUGAUAGAUAACUUUUUAAAUAUUUCAAAUGUAUUAGGUCUUCACUUGGCGGAGUAGCAUAUCUUUUGUUAUUUUCUCUUCGACUUUUUUAUUAUAUAUUUUUUAAAAACACUAAACACUUAUGUAUCUUCGGUCCAAGUAUUUUCCUUCCAGAGAUUUUUUUUUUUGCCUUCAUAUUAUAUUAUAAUGGUUAUGAUGAUUUAAUUAAAAAGAACCUGAUAGAAAGUCUGUUUGAUAAUGUACUUGAUUGUUUUUAAAAUAUUAGAAUUACAUUAAAAUAUUAGAAAUACUUGGUUGUUUUGUAAAAAAUUUUUAAUUAGAAAUAUAUUAAAAUAAUAUUUUUUUAUUUUUUAAAAUUUAUUUUUGAUAUUAGAAAAUUAAAAUAAUAUAAUUAAAAUAUAAAAAAAUUAAUUUAAAAUAAACAAAAAAAAUUCAAAUUCAAGCAUUUUCUCAUAGCAUUACAAAAAGUGCACAAUGUUAGAGAACCUGUUUGGUAUAGUGAUAAUAGUUAUUUUUUAAAAUAAUUUUUAUUUAAAAAUAUAUUAAAAUAUUUUUUUAUUUUUUAAAAUUUAUUUUUGAUAUUAGUAUAUUAAAAUAAUAUAAUAAUAUAAAAAUUAAUUUAAAAUAAAAAAAAUCAAAUCCAUGUAUUUUCUCGAACGUUACAAAGGGUGCAAAUCUACUUGGAAAUGUGUAAAGGAUUAAUGUCUUUUCCUUUUUAGAUGUCUUUUCCUUUUUCCGCGUUCCCAAACAGUGUCCCGCAGAUGCCUUUUCCUUUUGCCUUUUUUUAUCGGCAGAUGCCUUUUCCUUUUUAGAUAUUCUUAAAACAAAGUUCUUAAAACUAACAUUUUCAUAACAGGAAAAAGGAAAAGGAAAAGGCAUCUGUGUGUGUAAUUUCAAGGAAAAAAGAAAAAGGAAACACGUAAUUUAAAGGAUUGGCCCAUACCCCGUCCCUUCCUCUCUCCUUCAAGACGACUUGUGUACAGUGAUAAAAGUUAAAGGAAAAAGGAAAAGGCAUUUGCUAGAUUUUUGAGCGUAGAAAAAAUAAUGGACAGAUAGUUAUUUUUUACCAGGUGGAUCCAUCCCAUGUAAGACAUAAAACAGGAAGCUUUGGAGAUGCAUUUGCUAGAUUGAUUAAGAAGAAAGCUCUGACGUUGGAAGAAGUGCAGAGCUUCAGAGACGCUUUGACGGAUGCAGCCAAUCUAUCUGGAUCGAGCUUAGGGAAGUCUGAGUAAGCUCUUGAAGAAUAGUAGCCGUAAUUUAAGCAUGGGGAAAUUAUUUAUUUCCUCCAAUGUUCAAUUGUUUAUGUUCCAAAAACACCGACGGCCGGUGAUCCCUUCAAAAGGAAAAAGGAAAAGGCAUCUGCCAAUUAGCUGGAAGGAAGCAUGUAAAAAGAAGAAUUUAUUAUAAUUACAUGGCUGCAUGCCAAUUAUGUUGCCAAAAGCAGUAAACAGAACCACGAUUGUGAUUUUCAAUCGCUUUUAUAUUAAAAUCGUAGUUUAAAAUAGCAGUUUUUUUAAAACUAUUUUUUUUUAUAAAAAAAAAUCAAACCAUAUUAUAUAUUUCUCUAACUGUAUCAAUUUGUUUUUUAAAAAAAUUCCUAUUAUUAGGGCAGAGUAACAACUAACAAGUUUUUCUCUAACUUUAUCAAUCAUUAAAAUAUAAUGUGAAGUCAACAAGGUAGUAGUACGUGCAAACACUUAAUUUUUUACUGGGUUAGAUCCGGUUCAAUAUAUUUAUUUUUAGAUUGGAUUUGGUUUGGUCGGAAUAGUAGAGACAUGUUCUACUGUUCAUCAUUUUGCUGCUUUCAGUAAUCCUGCGUUUUCAACGCAGAUACUGAUAGGGGCCAUAAAAAGUAAAUUGAGUUUUAUUAAAAAAUAAAAUUAAACCAUAUAUUUCUCUAAUUGUAUCAAUUUGUUUUUUAAAAAAAUUCCUAUUAUUAAGGCAAAGUAACAAAAAGAAAAAACAAAUAACAAGACAUUAAGCCUUUUUGUACACUGGAAAUACAUGGAUUUGAUUUUUUUUUAUUUUUAUAUCAUUUUAAUGUACUAAUAUCAAAAAUAAAUUUUAAAAUCAUUUUGAAAAACAAAUGUUACCACAAUACCAAAUAGGUUUUCUAACAACUUCUUCUUCGUCAAAUCAUCAUAAUCAUUAUAAUAUAAUGUAAAAGCAAAAAAGUCUUUGGCACAUGCAAACACUUGGACUAAAGAUAUAGAAGGUGUUUGCGAGUGUGGUAAUUGUAAGACCCAAACUUGUAGCCCAAACCCAAGCUCAAGUCAACUCAAACCCAACAUAAGUUAACCUAGGUAUAUAAGAAAAAGUUGCGAGAGAAUUAAUUUUCUCUCUUCUAAAUCUUGUGGCCAUCAUGACCCUCCUCUAAUCAAACUAAGGAUUUCAGUUUGUGAUCUUGAGUUUUGGGUUUAAAAAAAGUGGAAGUAGCAAGUGGUUUUCUCUCAUGUUACUUUCGAUUAUGGUUUGUUUAUGGAAAGAUUAAAAAAGAGAUUACGGUUUAUAAGGAUUUGAAGUUUGUUUUGUUAAGAUUAAUUCAUGAUUAUUAAUGGUUUAAUGUUAAGUGGUUGAUAUUGAGUAUGUUGUUAAAAAUAAAGUUUUAUGAGUUGAUUUGUUUAAAUUAAUUUUUUUAUGGGUUAAGAAAUCCAUUUCAACCUUGUUGGAAAAUCUAGACAGAAUGGUCUUAAGGUUGAAGAUUAAAAAACUUUAUUUUGGUACUUGAUUUAUAAAAAUUAUAAUUUAGUCCCUCAACUUUGAAAAAUUAUAAUUUGAUCCCUGAUAUGUCUUUUGAGAUUUUGGACAGUGUUAUUAUGAGGUUAAGGAUGAUGAAUCUCAGUUUGAUAAUUGAUUUGAAAUAUUUUUAGUUUGGUCCCUUAAUUUUGGAAAUUUACAUUUUAGUCCUUGAACUUUUAAAAAAUUAUAGUUUGGUCCCUGUGUCAUUCUGGACAAAAUUAAGGAUGGUUUAUGAGUGAAAUUUCAAUGUGGUUAUGUAUUUAUAGUUUGGUCUAGUUUUGGUAAAAUUACUUUUUAGUCCCUGUUUUGGAUAAUUGUCGCUUUAGUCCCUAAACCUAGAAGACUAAACCUGGUUUUCUUUUAUGCAUUGGAAUCUAUUAUUUGUGUUGUUUUGAGUUGCUUUUGAGUAUAUUUUCUAUAUUUGUUAUAGGCUCUCCUAAUGAUCCUCAAUAGAUUUUACAAGUCUUUCAUCUGAUAUUCCUUUUAAUCUAUAUUUUUCCGGGUAAGUGGAAUAAUCUUUAAUGCAUAUAAUAUAAAUAAAUAUGUAAGUUGAUUAUAUGAUGAGUACGACUAGUUAAUCUCUUGAAUACUUAUAUAUGUUGCUAUAUUUUUUGAGUACUCACUUAUUCUUGAAUUUGCACCCGCUUUUUGUCAAACUAAAUUCUAAUCAAUAUGAUAUAUAUUUCUUUGAUGAUUCUGUGAAUAUCUAUUAUGUCUUGAUAUAGAACUUGUCAAUAACUCCAUGCUAAUGGAGAGUAGUUAGCCUUCACUCAUCUUCAGGGACAUUGUAAGAAACAACUUGGUCGAUAAAUAGUCUGAUGGAGUGUGAGAAACCAAUAAUUAGAGAAACUUAAGGUUCAAUAAACCAAAUUUAGCAAUGACACAUGCAAAAUAGACAAAGGGGAUCCAUCUUAUUGGUCAAAUGCAAGCCAUUUUUAUGGAAUACAUUAAAGGAUCUGAGUACUUGCACAAUAUCAGAAAAGUGUGAAGUUCAUUUUGAACAUUAUCAGCUUAAAAAUCAACAUUUGUGUGUGUGAAAGAACCAUUGACCAAAGCACUAUAACAAAUAAGAGUAUACCUGACUGAGGCUAAUGAUGGCAAUAAAUUGUAAAUUAUAAGGUCUUCUCCCACUCUGAAAACCAAGUUCAUGAGAGAUGGAACAAUUUCUACAAUGUUGUUGUGCUUCUUUAUUAAUCAACCAAGCUGUACAUAUAGGUUUAAGAGAAACUAAUCAACACCUAAAUACAAGGAAGGAUAAGAUGAAGACUCAUAGUCUUAAAGAAGUUUGAACUGAAUGAUUUAAUCUUCAUUCUGAUAGUUCAAGCUUGGUUGGCAAGAAGAAUGUGAGGAAAGCAACGAAAAGGAAAAGAAAAAAAAAUAUAUAGAAAACAUGAAUUUAUAUCAUUGGUUCUAUAUGAUAAUAAAAAAGCUCAUAAAAUUAGUCACAACCCAAUACUAAGAUAUAUAUUUUAAUAGAGAAAAUGGCAGUGAAGAAGAAUAGCCCAGGAAAUGGCGGCGAAGAUUCGUUUAGCAAGACUGGGAUGCACAAACAUGGCAUUUUACAGAAUUGUUGCUACUAAUAGCCAUACUCCAAGAGAUGGCAAACACCUUCAAGUUGUUGGUUUCUACGACCCCUUAGCAGGUUCCCUCUUCUUCUCUUAUUAUUUUCAUAUACUCAGUUCACAUGAAGAUUUUUUUUUCUAAUUUUAAAGACCUGGACUUUGAAGGCUUAUUGGGUUUAUUUUCAGGUUCUCAUAUCAUCAAUGCAUGGUAUGUGUAGAUAGCUUUGUUGAUGGGGACACCGAACCAGAAACAUUGGUUACAUACGCGUAUGAUCAUAGACGAUGGAGGAUAGCCCAAACCAUUGAGAAAUUGGGCUUUAGCUUAUGUUUUUUGGUUUAAUUUAUAUGAACUUUUAGUUAAGAUUUAUUAAUUUGAUUUUAUUUGUUGGGUUUGAUUUCUUUAUUGUUAGGUAUUUUAUUUAGUGGGCCAUAAGCCCAAACGCUUGUUCUAGUUAGGGUUUGAUGUGAACCUCGUGAUCACGUGGUCACGCAACCCACAAUCAAGAUUGAGAUCUAAUCCCGGAAAAACGAAAUAGGUCUGAUAUGAGUGCGACAUAAUGGAAACCUGCCCCAAGGCACCAACACUAUUGGAAUGAGUAGAAUGACGUCACAAAGCCAGUUAAUCUUCGAUAAGUCAGAUUGAGUUCGUUCAAGAACUGAAGAGUGCAAGAAUCACUCUCACAUGUUAAAACUGAAAAAUUCAGAAUAAUAAUCAUCAAAGCUGCCGAAAUUUUGGCUUACAUGAGUUUAAAUAGUUCUUGAAAAGUUAACCCUAAUGGACCCCUUAUGUGGACUUAUAUGAGGUCCACUCAAAACUGGCCCAAAACCCUAAAAUGAAAAGCCCAUAACCAGAUCCAAACAAGCCUUGGGCUGUAGCUAACAAAAUAAAAUAAAGCCCCUAAUAUUAAAUCCAUGUUCUGCCAUGAGAAUAAUAGAAUGAACUAAAAUAAUAUAGAAUUGAUUGAAGGCUUAUUUAUAGCCUUCCAUGCAGCCCUUUAAUCCUAGAAACAAAAGGAAAAGGUAGCCACCAUGUUGUUUCCAAGUUGUAGUAGGAUUAUUUUGUUUCCUUUGCUGUCCUCAUCUCAUGGCCCAAAUAAGGUUGUAUUGGACCCCUCUUGCACAUGGAUAAGAUGUACUAGGAUCUCCUCUUGAUACUCCAAUGGACCUUCCAAUUCUGACUUGGUGGAAACCUUCAAAACCAAUGCAUUCAAUGCGUCGUUCAAUGUCUUUGUCUUGGACCGAGUCAUUGGUCCAUUUGGAACAUGUAAUGGGUCCUUGCUGGUGUUUCUGGGCUGGUCCGCAUCAGGGUUUUAGUAUUUAUAUCCUACUUUUCAAAAUCUUAAACAGUUUUUGAUGAUUAAUAAAAAUAUUGCAGACUUUGCAUAUCUCUAAUCCCUUUUAUUCUCUUCUUUAGCUUCUUUCUUUCUCUAAACCUUCUUUUUUUUCUUGCUUUAAUCCUUAUUAUUUAUUGUCCCGCGUCAAAUUUAGUAUCAGAGUCAGGGUUUUAAUUGUUUUUACAAUUAAACGAUCCACAAUAUUUAUGCUAAACCCUAGAUCCGAUUUGAUCUUUUAAAAAAAAUUGUUCACUAUUUAAAAAAAAAACCUACUGUUCUAAUUGAAAAAAAAGAAGAAGAGGGAAACAUUGUUCAUCUUCUCCCCCAGCAAACCGCCGCCGCACAGCACGCCACCUUCGCCAGAGGGCAGAUCGGGCAUCCCCAACAACCACCAAAACCCACGACAGCUCUCUAUAGCACCUAAGGCGAAAGAUUUUCCUACAGCAGGCCGCUCUCCACGCCACUUGUAGUCACACCGAUUUACUACCUCUAAAACUCCUACAGCACCUCAACUUCCACCAAUAGCAACAGAUUAGUGGGUUACAAUAAUUGUAGCCCACGCCACCGUCACCAACCAACCCAGACAAUAACCCACAUCCACAACAAGUCACUCACACAAGAAGUAGUAGAUCUUCAUCGACGACGGCUCAUCUACCAGCUCAUCCUCUCCCCGCCAUCAGUAAGUCAGACAUCUAGCCACUACUUCGCUCCACAAGAAACCCACAGAGCCACACUGAAUUGUUAUCUCCAAAAUAAAUUUGUCUUUAGCCUCUUGCACCAUCUAGCGGCACCAACAAUAGCAUCACCCUCACCGAUUCUUAGAUAAAUCGCACCCUCCAGCAGAAGCAGCACCCGCCGCAGUCACAACUGGUCCUUCAGACCUAUUGAUACAGCAACAGUCAUGCCUCGCCACCAGCAAAUGACAAAAAAAGACUCGGUAAUUGCAGAACAGAAGAAGGGAUUUGAGGCAAAAUAAUUAGACCUGCCAUGUCAUUAACCACGCCAACAUAUUUAGCCAUGUCAACAUAUUCAUCCUCGCCAUCAAUGAAGGAAACCAGGAAACCAAAGAAGGCUCUCGAUGCAAAAUUAAUUAAGCAAACUGACCACAUCAUCUACCAUGUCAGCAGUCAAUUCCUCUAGUUUGCCACGUUAGCUCUAAAAAAUUCUAUCUUCCUCCCAGCACUCUAGUUAGUGAAUCACUCUCCCAUGUUAUUUGUUGAAGUUUAUUUUUUUUAUUUUUCACUUGUCAUUUAAAGUUAUUAUUAAUAUUACUUUUGUGCCUAGAAAAUUCUCAAAAAAAAAAAUUCUCACCUUACUUUUUAUUCGUUAAUUUGCUCAUUAACCUUUUUUUAUCAUUAAUAUCUAUUAUAUUGUCCUCUUUAAUAAUUGUGAGUCUUUGCCUUGACAUUGUAUUUGAUUAAUCAUUUACACUUGAGGGUUAAGCAUUACAUGCUUAUAAUCUUAUUGGUGUAAUUUGUUCUUGAUUAAUCUCCACAUUAAAAAAAUAAAAAAAAGAUAGGAUUAGCUUUAUUUUUGUAUUGUGACUUCACUUGCAAGAACCAUUUGUGAUCUCAAUUUCAUUUCUAAGUGAGUGUUGCAUGCUUUUGUGUCAUGAUCAUCUAGUGUUCAAGCUAACACUAUUGUAGACUCGACUAUUAGUGAUACUCUUAUGACCAUUUAAAGGGAACUGCAAACUUAGGUGAUCACCAUAUUUAAAAGAAUUGAGCCCCAAGAAAGUUUUAGAAUAAGGCACUCAAAGACCAAUAAAUAUCACAAGAAUAAUCAUUGUGGACAAGUUCACUCUGAGCGCCACCAGUAUGACUAUCAUUUAGGUUACUCUAAACACGAUGACUUUGAUGAGCUAGUCUUGAGUCCUAACAAAAUAGAAGCCCCCACUUUUGACGGUUGUCAUGACCUUUGGAUAUUUGAUAUGUGGAUUCGUGAUAUGGAUUGAUUCUUUGAGUGGCAUAACUUGUAUGAUAAUAAAAAAGUUAGAUUUGCUGAGAUGAAGCUUAUUGGUGAAACCAAAACUUAUUGGAGAGAAGUUGAAGAUUGUUUAGAGAUGAGAGGUAAACCUCCUAUAACUGAUUGGAUCAAAAAGAAACAAAACCUUCAAGAGAAGUACCUACCCCAGUCUUAUAGGAAUAAACUCUUAAGCCAAUGGAACAAUCUAAGACAAGGGAAUAAGUCUAUCAAUGAGUAUAUAACACAGUUUAAUGAUUACAUGAUGGGAUGAGCCAUAAGAGACAAUGAAGCCAUGACUUUGCGUAGAUUUUUUAAAGGCUUGAAAGAUGAUCUUAGAAGAGAAGUUAUAUUUCAAGGUGUAUCUACCCUUGACCAAGCUUAUACCUUAGUUAAAAACUACAAGUUGGUCACAAAGAAUCAAUGGAAGAAUCAGCAGGACUCUUAUAGUAUCCCUAUUAGGUCCCAAUUCAGAAGUAGUGAUUCUUUGUUAGGUGCUCCACCCCACAGACCUAAUCUUAGUAACUCCCAACUUUAUAAAAAAAGAUAAAGGCAAACGAGUUUUUAAUGAAUUGUCUAAGGUGAGUUCAAUGGUUAAGUAGCACUAAUUGUCUAGGUUUUGGUCAUAUCUAUUUAAAUUGUAGCUCUAAACCUUUAGCCAUCCAAAAAUAUAAGGAUAUAUGUAAAGAGGAAUAUUGUAGUGUGAUUAGUACUUAAAAGUGCAUAUUUAUCAAGGUUUUAUAGCAUCAUUUUGCACUUAAAGUAUCAAUAACUCCUUAACUAAAGCAUGGUUUAUAAUAAUAAGUCUAAUACUUAAAAUACCUUAAUAUAUGGUAAAUGUUCAUCUUAAAUGCAGGCAUAUCACAUAAAUCAAAGGAUUGAUUGAUGAAUUCAACUACUGAAAUUUGUGAAGAUAAGGAGAGGGUGAAAUUUAGAAAAGAGAUGUUGGUGCAGUUCAAACUGAAAUACUAUUCGGUAAUUGGGUCAUAUCUAGAGUUCUAUAUGUCCAAAUGAUAUCAUAUUUUUAAAAAGAUUCAGUAAGAGAUAGGCCUACAACUUUCAUGUUUUCAUCAAGAUCUAAGAAGGCCGUUUUCAAGUCCAAAUGAUAGCAACAACGGAGAAGUCCGAAUCUGUCCUGCAGCUCUAACACUGUUUAGUGUUUGGCCCAUAACUGGCGUUCUAGAAGUCCAAAUGACCUCCAUUUUUUUUCCUGGAAAUUUGAGUCAAUUUCCUACAACUUUCAUGUUUUCUAGUGGACCCAGUUCGGAAGCUAGCAUUUUUGUUUUAUUCAGACAAGAAGAUAAGGAUUUUCACCAAGUCAAAAGUUGGCCACCCACUCAACAAUUAGUUAUCAAAUCAAUAAUUCCGAAUUUUGGCCUAUAAAAGGAGGCAUUUGCCAUGUAUUCUGGGGCUUGGUUGUUCAGAUCAAGCUCAUGCUCUUUAUUUCUCUCUUUAUAUUUUUUUGUAAUUUUUAAGUUUUGCUUUCAUUAAUAUCUUGUUUAUGCUUUUCAUUUCUUUUCCUUUACUUAGUUAACUUGUAUUUUCUUUAUGUUCUUGUUUUGUUUAUUUAUGUUUCUCUUCUUCAUUAUGUUUAGCUAAGUUUAUUAUGUCAAGGUGAAAAGGUUACACUAAUGGUGUAAGAAUAAAUAUAGUGUAAACUCAACAUGGAUCUUAAUGUUUAAUAUUAACAUGUCUUAUCUUUUUAUCUUACUAAUUCUUAAUACCUUGCUUGUUAAAUGGUUAAUCUAGAUUUGUGUUGUAUAACACUUGGUACAGCAAAUGCUUGGCACUCUCAUAGCCCAACAGUAUGGUAUUACCUACACCUGGGCUAUGAAAGGAACUUGAUUUGUUGUUAACAUCAGUUAAUAUCAUGAAUCCUGACAAUAUUUAAAAGUGUGGUGUUAUGUAAUAAGAUAAUUAAUAUGAUCAUGUUAAAAUUUAUAAUGAGCUAUUAAUGAGAAAUCAUCCGAUUGGAACCUCCUUUUUAUGUGUGGUUUCCAUUGAGUAAUAAGAGUUUAUACUAUACUUGUUUGAAAUACCAUUGGUGGAUCCUCUAACCUUGACAUUUGUUUUUAUCAUUGUUUAAUCCUUACUUAAUCUUUAUCUCAAAGUUCUCAUUAAUUUCUUCUCUCUUAUUAUUAUUAUUAUUAUUAUUUACAUUCUGUUUAUAUUAUAUAAUAUAUAUCUUUGAUCUUUUCAUAAACUCAGUAUAUAGGCUGGAAACCUGUGACCCGAUCUUUUAGAUCAUUCUCAGGUAUAACAACGCCACGUACUGAGUAUUAUUAUUAUUUUAUUGUUGUUGUUGUUGUUGUCUUGUUAUUUAUAAUUUAUACAAUUAACCUCUCUGUGGUUCGACCCCGGUCUUGCCGGGUUAUUUAUUACUUCGACACUCCUGCACUUGGGAGAAGACAUCAAGCUUUUGGUCGUGUCAAGUUUUUGGCGCCGUUGCCGGGGAGGUAAAUUCUUGUAUAAAUUAUAAUAUUUAUUUAUUUUUCUACUUUUCAUUUUUUUCUUUUGUUUUGUUUCUUUUUUUUUUUCUUUUCUUUCUUCCUUUUCUUCUCUUUCUACACGUGCAUGAGAGUUUGGUCACGUACAUUAAAUGAUAACUUUGUAAAUACUCAUCUUUAGAAAACAUGGCCGAAGAAGAGGAUAAUCAAUCGCUUUAUAAUGAGAAUAAUCGGGUUAGAACACUUAGAGACUACAUGAAUCCACAAGAACAAUUGCGCGAUCAUGUAUAUUUUUUCCUCCUGAUGCAUCUCAUUUUAAUUUUAAGCCAGGCAUUAUUCAACUUUUACCUUCUUUUCAUGGCUUAGAUCUAGAAAAUCCAUACUUGCAUUUGAGAGAAUUUGAGGAAGUUUGUAACACUUAUAAUGACUCAAAUUGUAGCAUGAACACCAUUAGAUUAAAGCUUUUUCCUUUUUCUUUAAAAGAUAAAGCUAAAACAUGGCUACAAAAUUUGAGACCAGGAUCCAUUCGUGCUUGGGAUGAAUUGCAACAACAAUUUUUAAAGAAGUUUUUUCCAUCUCACAGAACAAACUCUUUCAAAAGACAAAUCACCACUUUCACUCAAAAACCAGGAGAAACAUUUUACCAAUGUUGGGAUAGGUAUCGAGACUUGAUUAAUACUUGCCCUCAUCAUGGUUUUGAAACAUGGAGAUUGGUUUCACAUUUUUAUAAAGGAUUAACACCUAAAGAUAGGCAAAUGGUGGAAUUGAUGUGCAAUGGAACUUUUGAAGAUAAAGACCCUAAUGAAGCAAUGGAGUACCUAGACUUGCUAGCUGAAAAUGCUCAAAAUUGGGACACAAUUUGAGGCACAGUAAAACUCAACCUCAUACAUCUAGUGGAGGUAUGUACAACCUUAGGGAAGAUCAUGACCUCCAAGCCAAUUUGCAUCUUUAGCUAGAAAAGUCGAGGCACUAGAAUUAAAAAGAGUGGUCAAUUAAAAUCUGUUCAAGACAUUGUGUGUCAAAUCUGUGAAACAAAUGAACAUGCAACCAAUGAUUGUCCAACUUUGCCUUCUUUCAAGGAAUGCCUCCAUGAACAAGCCCAUGCUUUAAACAGUUUCCAAAGGCCCAACCAUACUCGCAAACAUACAAUCCUGGUUGGAGAAAUCACCCAAAUUUUAGUUGGAAGAGUGAUAACAAUAAUGCACAAACUUCACAGCCAUCGUUUCAAGCACACCAUAAUUUCCAAAAUUCUCAUGGAUAUGCACCUCCUUAUGCUCCACCUCUAGAAGAAAUCUUGAGGAAACAUUGCAUUCAUUCAUUGAAAAGCAAGAGAUAAUCAACACUCAACUUGCUCAAAGCAUGACAGGUUUUAAAGAUACUCUUGCAAAGUUAACAUCUGCUCUCAGUUUUCAAGAGAACGGUAAGUUUCCAUCUCAACCACAGCAAAAUCCAAAGGAGAAAUACAAUGUAAAUGCAAGUAGUUCAGAAGUCAACACAUGGAUCAAGUCAAAUCAGACAUCACUCUUCAGUGGUAAGGUUAUUGAAAAACCAUUCUUGAACCUUGUGAGAAAGAUGAUGAGUCAAUCUCUGAGGGUAAGGAAGGGGUUGAAUCUGAACAUUGCAAAGAAAAGACUGAUUUCCCACCAGCACUUCCAUUUCCUCAUGCCAUGACCAAACAGGAAGCAAUCGAUGAUGAAAAAGGCACCGAAAAUGUUGUCGCGGAUCAUUUGUCAAAGUUGACAAUAGAUUCGACAUCCGACAUCACACCAAUCAAUGAUUACUUUCCUGAUGAAUCUUUACUUUCUCUUAGUUCAAUGCCUUGGUUUGCUAAAAAUAACAAUUUUCUUGCUUCAGGAUUUUUGACAGCUCAUUUGGAUAACCAAGAUAAAAGAAAGUUUUUGAGCGACGUGCAAAACCUUUAUUGGGAUGACCCUUACUUAUUCAAAUAUUGUCCUGAUCAAAUAUUUCAAAGAUGCAUUCCUGACAAUGAGGUAAGUAGUGUCAUUAAAUUUUGUCACUCUGAAGCAUGUGGGGAUCAUUUCUCGUCAAAAAAGACGACUGCAAAAAUCUUACAAAGUGAAUUUUACUGGCCCACCAUGUUCAAGGACUCAUAUGCAUUCUGCAAAACCUGUGAAAAUUAUCAAAAGGUGGGAUUUAUUUCAAAACAUAGAGAGUCUUUAGAUAAUCUUCCAUUGACUCUUAAGUCUCAUCACAGUGGAGAUGUGCAUAGUGCAAUACAUGAUUUAUGGCCCUAUUUUCAUAAAGAACAUGCUCAUCAUAGUCUUGGGAAUCUGACUAAAAAAAAGACAUUUUUUGCUAGUUUUUUAAAAAAACUGGAUGGGAAGCCUAUCCCCGACCCAUAGAGGGCGUUUAAGCCGUUUUUAGACGUAAAACCAAGGAAAGCUGUGAGCCACAAUCACAACUACCUGUACAUACACAUGCUUUUUCAAAAUAAAUAAAUAAAUAAAUAAAGAGAGAGAGUGUGUGAGACUACGACUGGCCUACAUAUAGGUGGUGUGAUUGCAUUUUCAAUUUCUCAUUUAUAAAUAUUUGCGUCUUUUGGUUUUAUUAUUGUGUUUUGUUGUUUCUUAUAUUUGUUUAAGUGUGUUUCAGGUUUGUUAGUGUUUGCUAUUUCAGGUGAUGUCUUCUAUACUCUAUCUUUCUACCUUAAGACAUUGAGGACAAUGUCUUAUUUUGGUUGGGGGGAAAGGGUAGUAGUUGAUAAUUAAAAAAAAAAAUUGUGUUUUCUAUUUCAUAAACUAUUUGCAAAACUGUUGUUACUAGGAUGGCAGAGUAAAAGGAGUUCUUUUGUUAAAGUGACUCUUGAGACGCAUCUUAGUAAACAUUCUUAACAGGUCUAUCAGAAUACUUCUUGAAAUAUUCAGGUUUACAAACUCUCGUAUUGGUAGCACUUGAUUCUGCUCAUAUGCUCAUUUAACAAGUAUUUUUAAAUCUUCAUUUUCACACACACACUUUAACAUAUGAUUGUGGGUUGCACAUUGGAUUAUUACAUUAUUUAUGUUCUUUUGUUAAAGGUAACAACUAAGGGAAAGGGAUAGUACAUAAUUUGCAAAAAAAAAAAAUGAUAAUAAAAAGGUAGAUAAGUUUGGUUUCGUAGCCUCCCUAACCUAAGCAAUUAAGCCCGAAGGGGUGUUUUAACACUUAAUACCCUAAAGUCAACUGACUUGGGAGCUAUUGGCCCAACGCUUGUUACAUGGGUUGAGGAGAAAAGCUUAAGGGAAUCAAACAUUGCACUAUCUACGUAUCAGUAUCUGCAACCCGAGUUGCUAAGCUCGUAGGGGUGUCUCAACACCUAAUGCCCUAAGACCAACUGGUCUGGGAGUCAUUAGCCUAAAACUCGUUACAUGGGUUAAAGACAUUGUGUUUCAAGUUUAUGUGUAUAUAAAUAAAUAAAUAAAAUAAAAAAAAUAAUAAUCCAACCAAGGAAGUUACCUUAAACAUUAGAACAAAAAUUUGUUUUUCUUCCAAGUAAAGCCCCAUAACUAUAUGUUGAUAUUUUGAGCAAAAAGAAAGGUUUAGUAAUAUCUUGUUUAAGAGGUAUUGAGCAGAUAUAUGAAUUUAAUGAGAGUUUGUUUAUCUGGAUAAUUAAAGUAAGUUGAAUGAUGAAUGCCUUGCUUUAUGGAAUUUGCAAAUUGUUUUUCUAUUUUAACGCUUUGAUUACUAGGGACUAGUAAUAAGCUGGUUGGGGGGUGUGAUUAGUACUUAAAAGUUAUUUAUCAAGGUUUUAUAUCAUCAUUUUGCACUUAAAGUAUCAAUAACUCCUUAACUAAAGCAUGUUUUAUAAUAACAAGUCUAAUACUAUAAAAUUAAUAUAUGGUAAAUGUUCAUCUUAAAUGCAUAUCACAUAAAUCAAAGGAUUGAUUGAUGAAUUCAACUACUGAAAUUUUGAAGAUAAAGAGAGGGUGAAACUUAGAAAAGAGAUGUUGGUGCAGUCCAAACUGGAACACUGUUCGGUAAUUGGGUCAUAUCUCGAGUUCUAGAUGUCCAAAUGAUUAUUUUACAAGAUUCAGUAAGACAUAGGCCUACAACUUUCAUGUUUUCAUCAAGAUCUAAGAAGGCCGUUUUCAAGUCCAAAUUAUAGCAACAACGGAGAAGUUGAAUCUGUCCUGCAGCCCAACACUGUUUCAUAUUGGAGUUCUAGAAGUCCAAAUGACCUCCAUUUUUUUUCCUGGAAAUGAGUCAAUUUCCUACAACUUUCAUGUUUCAAGUGGACCCAGUUCGGAUGCUAGCAUUUUUGUUUUAUUCAGACAAGAAGAUAAGGAUUUUCACCAAGUCAAAAGUUGGCCACCCACUCAACAAUUAGUCAUCAAAUCAAUAAUUCCGAAUUUUGGCCUAUAAAAGGAGGCAUUUGCCAUGUAUUUGGGGCUUGGUUGUUCAGAUCAAGCUCAUGCUCUUUAUUCUUUCUCUUUAUAUUUUUUGUAAUUUUAAGUUUUGCUUUCAUUAAUAUCUUGUUUAUGCUUUUCAUUUCCUUUCCUUUACUUAGUUAACUUGUAUUCUUUAUGUUCUUGUUUUGUUUAUUUAUGUUUCUCUUCUUCAUUAUGUUUAGCUAAGUUUAUUAUGUCAAGGUGAAAAGGUUACACUAAUGGUGUAAGAAUAAAUAUAGUGUAAACUCAACAUGGAUCUUAAUGUUUAAUAUUAACAUGUCUUAUCUUUUUAUCUUACUAAUUCUUAAUACCUUGCUUGUUAAAUGGUUAAUCUAGAUUUGUGUUGUAUAACACUUGGUACCAAAUGCUUGGCACUCUCAUAGCCCAACGUAUGGUAUUACCUACACCUGGGCUAUGAAAGGAACUUGAUUUGUUGUUAACAUCAGUUAAUAUCAUGAAUUCCUGACAAUAUUUAAAAGUUUGGUGUUAUGUAAAUAAGAUAAUUAAUAUGAUCAUGUUAAUAAUUUAUAAUGAGCUAUUAAUGAGAAUCAUCACCGAUUGGAACCUCCUUUGUGUGUGGUUUCCAAAUUGAGUAAUAAGAGUUUAUACUAUACUUGUUUGAAAUACUAUUGGUGGAUCCUCUAACCUUGACAUUUGUUUUUAUCAUUGUUUAAUCCUUACAUUAAUCUUCCAUCUCAAAGUUCUCAUUAAUUUCUUCCUCCUCUUAUUAUUAUUAUUAUUAUUUACAUUCUAUUUAUAUUAUAUAAUUUAUCUCUUUGAUCUUUUCAUAAACUCAGUAUAUAGGCUGGAAACCUGUGACCCGAUCUUUUAGAUCAUUCUCAAGUAUAACAACGCCACAUACUGAGUAUUAUUAUUAUUGUUAUUGUUAUUAUUGUUGUUGUUGUUGUUGUCUUGUUAUUUAUAAUUUAUACAAUUAAUCUCUCUGUGGUUCGACCCCGGUCUUGCCGGGUUAUUUAUUACUUCGACACUCCUACACUUGGGAGAAGACAUCAAUCUUUUUGUCGUGUCAUAGUGUUGAAAUGUAUGAGCCUAAUCUUGAGGAUUUUAGUGACCUAGAUGACAAGGGUGUGCAAGAAGAGAUACUUAAUAUAAUGAGUCCACGUGAGCUUGAGAAUGAUGUUAGGGAAGUGUCUGAUAAAUCUGCUUUAAUGGUAGAGGAAGUUUUAGGGAACUCUUUAGUGGAAUCGCCUAUAGAGAUAAAUAUGGUCUUAGAAGAGUCUCAUGAUAUUAGUUCUCCUAAACUACCUGAUUCCUCACCCCACAUGAUUGAUGUCCAGCACAUCAUAAGUUUAGAACAACAUGUUGAGCUUUCUGACCCCUUACCUCAUGCACAUGAUAAAGAAGAUGAAGAUAAUCUCAGUUUACUUGAUUGUGUCCAUACCAUGUCUACACAUGUUUCAAACAAUGUUUGUCUCAUUCCACACCCUCGAUCAUUUAAUAUUCAUAGUUAUAAACCCUGAGAAGCCUAUAGAACACCUUCCCAUAUCUUCUCAUGAUAAGAUGUCCAAGUCAAUUGAGUCGUUACCAUGCGGAGUUCAUAAUUUGCAUGUUGAGAUCAUGAAUCAAAUUCAAGCAAGUAAUGAAUAAUAUAAAUUUUGAGCUGAUUUACUUAAGUAUCAUGAUGCAUUUAAUGUUGGAGAUUAUUUCAUGAUACAGAUUAGACCUAAACGGUGUCCUUUGAAAACCGAUCAUAGAUUGCAAGUAAGUAGUGCUAGACCAUUCAAAGUGUUACAAAUGAUUGAAUCAAAUAAUUAUGUCAUUAAAUUGCCAUUAAACUUUGAUAUUAACUCUACUUUUAACAUGAAUGACUUCAUUAUUUAUAAAAUACAACAUAUCCUUGUUGCUCCUUUUGAUACCCCUACCUCAUUAUCCAUAUCUUUGGCACAAAGGGAACAUAUUAAUGUUACUUUGAAUGCACAGGUUGUUUUUACCAGGGAUAAUGAACUUCAACAAAUCCCAGUAUAUGGGCUCGACAACCAGAUUCAGACUAUACUUGGAUUAUCAAAGAGACAUCAUAACAACUUGAUCCUUAUCUUUGAGAGCAUUAUCGGAGCUACCUUGAUCCUAUACUCGAUAGGGUCAAGUUCUUCCAACCUAAGAGAAUUGAUAAGGACACCAAACCGGAAACAUUGGUUACGCACGCGUAUGAUCAUAGACGAUGGAGAAUAGCCCAAACUAUUGAGAAAUUAGGCUUUAACUUAUGUUUUUGGGUUUAAUUUAUAUGAAUUUUUAGUUAAGAUUUAUUAAUUUGGUUUUAUUUAUUGGGUUUAAUUUAAUUAUUGUUGGGUAUUUUACUUAGUGGACCAUAAGUCUAAACGCUUGUUUUAGUUAGGGUUUUAGUAUUUAUAUCUUACUUUUCUAAAUAUUAGAUAAUUUUUUAUGAUUAAUAAAAAUAUUGUAAACUUUGUAUAUCUUCAAUCCAUUUUCUUCUCUUCUUUAAUUUCUUUCUUUCUCUAAAGCUUCUCUCUUUUCUUGCUUUAAUCCUUAUUAUUUAUUGUCCCGUGUCAUUUGUUACUCAAGACUUAAACUCUGUGGGAUAAUGCAUUUGUAAUUUUAUUUUCUUAUGUAUAUGUAGUUUAAUAUGACCAUUGAUAGCUCUGAUUGUUCAUAGUUCAUUUUGUCAUCAGUUAAAGUCUCAAAAAUAUGUUCAUAGUUCAUAGUUCAUAGUUCAUAGUUUUAGUAGUUUUGUGGGUUAAUUUUCAUGUAUUUAAUUUAAAUCUAGUCCAAACCAAGGUCACUGGAUCAAGGUUUUAAGAAAGAGUAUUUCUUUCCUCUUUCGUUUUUCCGCUCAAGGUUGGAUGGAGGCCAGAAAUGAGAUGCAAGCUCACAUCAUGAAAAUGGGUCAAAAUUCAAAAACAUUCUAUCAAGUUGCCUAAGCCUGGGCCAAUCCUGUUCUUGAUGCUCGGGCAAUAAUAGUCAUAUUGAUGGGGACGACGACUUGACCUUUAAGUCUUCCUUGAAAUUACGUGUUUCCUUUUUCCUUAUAUAUAUAUAUGUAUGUAUGUAUGUAUGUAUGUAUAAAAGGAAAAAGGAAAAGGCAUCUAUGUAAAAGGCAUCUAUGUAAAAGGCAUCUGUGUGUGUGUAAAGGAAAAAGGAAAAGAGAAGUGUUUAGUGAAAACAAAGACAAGAAAUUCGAAAUUUCCAGGAAAAUUAUAAAAGAAUUUGAAGUAAAAAAUUAAUAGACUAAAGAAUGAUGUUGGACAGAAGUGUUUAGUGUUUUAAAAAAAUAUAUAAUAAAAAAGUUAAAGAGAAAAUAACAAGAAUAUAUAAUAAAAAGUGUUUAGUGCUUUUGAUUUUUAAAAAUUAUUUUUAUAUCAGUAAAUUAAAAAAAAAAACUAAAAAAAUUCAAAAUUUACAAAAACGAAUUUCCAGGAAAUCAACAAUGUGCAAUCUUGUAAUGUUCUAAGAAAAUUCUUGGAUUUGAUGCCUAUAAAUUAUACAUAUGCCUAAGGCAGGGUCUUAAACACGUAAAGCCUAAGCUAUUGCUUCAAAAUCAGCCUCAUCUUUUUUCCUUGAGUUACUUCCGCUCUCUCCCUCCAUGCCUACCUUACCACCAGAGUCUAAUUACUCUUGUUUCUUCGACUGUUUCUCCACAAAACAAUAUGAUGUCUCCAUCACCAUCUACUCCUUCCACCUUAACCACCGCCCAGCCACAAGGAAUUAAACAUGAUGUCUUCCUUAGUUUCAGCGAACAAGACACUCUUGCUGGUUUUACCAGCCACCUCCAUGCUGCUUUGAAACGGAAACAAAUCCUAACUUUCGUAGAUGAUCAGCAUGUGAGAGGAGAUGAGAUUUCGGCAUCACUUCUGAGAACAAUUGAAGAGGCCAAGCUUUCUGUGAUUGUUUUUUCUGAAAACUAUGCAUCUUCCAAAUGGUGCUUGGAGGAGCUUGCAAAGAUUUUUGAGUGUAGAAAAAACAAUGGACAGAUAGUUAUUCCGGUAUUCUACAAGGUGGAUCCAUCCCAUGUAAGAAAUCAAACAGGAAGCUUUGGGGAUGCAUUUGCUAGACUUAUAAGGAAUAAAGCUCUGACGUUGGAAGAAGUGCAGAGCUUCAGAGACGCUUUGACGGAUGCAGCCAAUCUAUCUGGAUGUCCCUUAUUAGGGAAUUCUGAGUAAGCUCUUGAAAUAUAUCCCAUGAGAAAAUAUUCGUUCAUUUGUUGAGGAUUUGAAAUUUAAUUUAAAAUUAUUGAGAAAGAUGAGCUCUGUGAAUCCAUAUUUAUUUUAUUUGAUUUUAAAAACGUUGUAGCGAAACACUAUUACGUGGUUGGUUGUUCUGUGUAUUAAAAUGUUUUUUAAAAAAAAAUUAAUUUUUUUUAGUGUUUUUAAAUUAUUUUGAUAUGUUUAUAUUAAAAAAUAUUUUUAAAAAAUAAAAAAUAUAUAUAUUAUUUGUUGCGAAAUGUUUGUAUAGAUAUUAAGUGGUUAUUUGUUUUUGUGUUUUUAAACAAAAAAUAUAUAUUAAAAUUUUUAAAAAACAAUUUAGUGUUUUUAGAUUAUUUUGAUGUGUUUAUAUUAAAAAAAUAUUUUAAAAAGUAAAAAAAUAUUAUUUGUAGCGAAAUGUUUGUAUAUUAUUUGUUUUUGUGUUUUAAAAUAAUAUUGAUGGAGAUGAUACUAUAAGAUAAGAUGAUAUGAGAAAACAUUAUAUGCAUUUGCAUUUCCAGUUUCAAGGAUUGAUUAAUGAUGCUCAAUUACUCAUACGUGCCUGCACUAAGGAGUGAGUAUGUUUAUAUGUUUCUUCUUGUCCGGUCCAUUUUGACUAACAAUUAUGUGUCUUCUUCUUGUUUGUCAGGCUGGAGUCUGAAUUUAUUGAGAAAAUCGUUGGUGAUGUUUUGAAAAAAUUGCAUGCCAUGCCUUCAAGUCACACCAUGGCCGGUCUAUUUGGAAUUGAUGUUCGUGUUAGCGAAGUUGAGUCUUUGUUAGAUAUGGAGUCUCCAAAUGUUCUCAUUGUAGGGAUAUGGGGAAUGGGUGGUAUCGGUAAGACAACGAUUGCUGAAGCUGUGACCAACGAGGUUCGUUCUAGAUUUGAUCAAGGAAUCUUUGUUGCAAACUUUAGGCAACAAUCUGAUUUGCAAAAAGAUUUCUUCAGGCUGCUUGGCCAAGAAACUCUGAACACUAUGGGCUCCUUGAGUUUUCGAGAUUCUUUUGUGAGGGAUAGACUUCGUCGAAAAGGUUUUUAUUGUUCUGGAUGAUGUGGAUGAUUUAAUGCUUUUGGAAGAAUGGAAGAUUUGCUUGAUGGACGAAACAGUUCAUUUGGUCCGGGCAGUAAAGUUCUCAUAACAAGUAGGGACAAGCAAGUGCUUAUAAUGUAGUUGAUGAGACAUACGAGGUUGAGGGGUUGAACGAUGAAGAAGCUAUUCAACUCUUUAGCUCAAAGCCUUGAAGAAUUGCAUCCCCACAAUUGAUCAAAGAGACUUGAUAGAAAGAUUGCAAGGCAUGUACAAGGCAAUCCGUUGGCUCUUAAGUUUUGGGUUCCUCUCUCUAUGGUAAAAGCAUCGAAGAAUGGCGCAGUGCAUUGAAUAAACUAGCUCAGCACCCUCAAAUCGAAAGGGCGUUGAGAAUUAGUUACGAUGGGUUGGAUUCAGAACAAAAAUCCAUAUUUCUUGACAUAGCACAUUUCUUCAAGGAUGGGGCAGACAAAGCAACAAGAAUAUUAGAUGGCUUUAUGGUCGGUCUGUGAGUUCGAUAUAAGCACGCUCAUUGAUAAGUGUCUCAUAACUACUGUAAUGAAUGUACGAGCUAGAAAUGCAUGAUUUACUACAAGAAAUGGCAUUUAACAUUGUUCGUGCAGAAUCUGAUUUUCCUGGCGAACGUAGCAGGUUAUGUCAUCCUCCUGAUGUCGUUCAAGUAUUGGAGGAAAAUAAGGUUAAAGCUAGUGCCAUUAACUGUCGUUCAUGUAUUUGCUCAAAAGUUGAUGUGUUUGAGUAGAUUGUAUUUAUGUUUGUUUAUUCUUUUUUCUUGUUUAACAGGGAACUCGAAAAAUUAAAGGCAUAUCUUUGGACUUGUCCGUGUUUCCGAGACACAUACUCUUGAAAUCUGAUGCCUUCGCAAUGAUGGAUGGUCUUCGAUUUCUCAGUAUCAAUCAUUCCUCCGAAGUUGAUAAAAUGCAGCUUCCUCCUACUGGCCUCGAGUAUCUUCCUAAUGAGCUGAGAUAUUUGCGAUGGGAUGGAUUCCCUUCGAAAUCCUUGCCGCCAUCUUUUCGUGCUGAACACCUUGUCGAGCUUCACCUACGCGGAAGCAAGCUUGAAAAACUUUGGACAGGAGUAAAGGUAUGAUUUAAUUGCUGCAUAUUUAUGAUAAAAAAUAUAAAGCUGGAGGUGCUAACUUUCUAAUUAUACCUUUUUCUGGUGACAGGAUAUUGGAAAUUUAAGAACAAUCAACCUAUCUGACUCUCCAUAUUUGACAGAAUUGCCAGAUCUAUCAGUGGCCAAAAAUUUAGAGUGCUGUAAUUUUAGAUCCCUGACACGUUUCAAAAUCGUUUUUGAAAAAAAUUGAAAAUUUUUUAUUUUUUAUUUUUUGUUUUAAAUUAAUAUUUUUAAAAUGUUUUCAAAUUAGUUUUAAUGUAUUUUUAAAUAAAAAAAUAUUUUUAAAAGCAACCACAACCAUACUUUUAAAAGCCUUGAAACUAAAGGGCUGUCCAAGUCUAACCGAGGUUCCGUAAUCUAAGUGGAAGUGCUGUCAAAGAGGUGUCCUCAUCAAUCCAGUUUCUCGCAAGACUCCGCGAAUUGGGAAGAUCUGUUUUAUCCCUUUCAAUCUCUUUUGUUUCUCCCUCAAUUUAUUUUCUUCUGAACUUUUGUUUGUUAAGGAAGAUCUGUGUCCGCCGGUAGAUUUUCAUCAAAGUGCAGAUACACCCCCACAGCUUUUCAACUCGACAGGCCUUCCGCUCUCACGAUGUCUCCACCUUCCCCGGUAGAAUUUAAAUGUAACUUCAUUGCCAGAAAAUUUACAUAAAUGAUUUGCCAAUUCGAGCUCGUAGUGUAGAAUCAUGUGAUCUGAGUCACAUGUCUUCAAGGAAUAUGAUGGAGCACGUCUUUCCCGGGAAGCGAAGACGACUUCAUCAUCACCAUCAUGCUCACCGUUUUUACUCUUAACAUGGUAAUCACAAUAUACAUGAACAUCAGAACGAUCAUCGAAUUCAUAAAGCAUGUCAUGGGAGGGAAGGAGUAGAUAGACAAGGCAGAAAGCAAUUCCCUUGAGCUGAUGACAAUUUGAGGGCAACUGUAUGGUGACUGAAGAUCCAAUUUCUGUCACCGAACCAUUCUGGAAUUUCACUCCCCGGUAGAACCAUAGUUUUAGAAAAUGAUCAAAAUAGGUCAUGGCUUGGGAUUGAAUGUUUGAUUUUUAAGUUAAAUAAAAAAUAAUUUCAAAAAAAACAAAGUUAUUAAAUCUAAUACAACAUAUAACUCAAAUCACGAAAUUACUUGGGAUUGAAUACUCACGCGUGAAUGUACAUGCUUCCAACCAUAUAGCUUCAAUUAUUAUGCUAUAACAUGCUUCAGCUAAGCAAGAAGCCAGCUUGAAGCUAUUCAUUCCUUGUGCUGUCAGUCAUCAUUCUUGCAAAUCACAAAUGUUUCAUGCCAAGAAGAGCCUUCUUAUCAAUUUAGUGCUCCAAACACAUGUCCUGGGAAACGUUACAGCUCUUUCAUAAUUAGGUAGCGAGAAAAAUCCAGAACUUUGAGGUUGAGUUUUUUGUACAAGAAAUAUACUAGAUGUGACUGUACCGUAUUUAUUUCUUUCUUUUUUCAGACUCUGCAGAAACUAAUCAACACUUCAUGUUCAGGGGAUGAAGAAGAGCCUCAUCCUCAUUCCUUCUCUGCAAUUACCACGAAUACAUCUUUCAGUGACCACCUACGUCUCUCACUUUUGGCAGGCGGAUUGAUAACAGCCUUUUCAGCAUUAGCUGCACGGUAACCAAUGACUAUCUCUCUUCUCUGUCGUGCGCGUAAUAGUACUUCAUAGAAACUCAAUUCCUCGCCUUCACUGAGGUAAAGAUCUGCUUGCCUUAUUUGUAGCUCAUUUCCCUGAUGAAGGCAAAAUGUUUGUGAAUGAUGAGUUUAACUGAUUAAAGGAUCUUAAAUUCCAACAUCAUCAAUAGCAACAAUUUCACUAAUACAACAAAGGAAUCACUCUGAUCAAUGCUCGAGGGUUGUUCUAAGCAGGAAAGAGAGAACAUGCUAGCAAACCCUUUGCUGUUGUGGUCCAACAUAUUAACUAGCUUAAUUUAUCACAACCAUAAUGAUUAUUUGGAUGCAGGGCUCACGCUAGGCUACUUUCUCAAUAUAAGAAGCAGGGCAUCAAAGUCAUUAUAAUAUAUGAUUUAAAGGAGUGACCAACUAAAUGCACUAGGGAACGAAGGUAAUGAUCACCUGAUGUGUUUAAGAUUUCAUCCUUUUCAGCAUUAGCUAGCAAAGUUUCAUGGGCUCUAUGCAGAUGGCCUUUUGUGUGUGUGUGUGUGUGUGUGUGUGUGAGAGAGAGAGAGAGGAUUUAACGUGAUUGUUAAAAGUGCUUUCAAUAUCUUCCCUCAAGAGUUGGGCAAAAAACUAGAGCAAUCCUGUAAAAACAUCGCAUGAUAGUACUUGUCAAACUACCUCCACUGAGAACUUUCCAAUUUCUGCUGAAUAGGAAAGCUAUAGUAAGUACCUCAUUUGUUUCUUUUAACCUUUACAUAUGUUCCGAAUUAAACAUAUAGAUAAGGUACUGACAGGCAAAUUAUGAGAAAAGAAAACAUUGCAUUCACUUGUUGGAAUUUUAUAUUGCAAUUUUGUAAGCCCACUUCGCCCUUCAAAAUUUGGUUUUCCAUAGAGUGCAAUACGAUCUCAGAAUUUAACAGAAGUGAGACAAAAGAAUACCUCAUCUGCAAAGAGCUCUUCUAAUACAUCAUUUAUUUGUUGAUCUUCUGCAACCAUGGCCAAUGCCAUGCUGACAAGUUCAUUUGAUAAAACAUAAUCACAAUGCAUCCAAAUAAUUUGGCAGAUGCCUUUAUACACACACGUGGUAUAUGCUCCACAACAUAUUAAUAAUAAUAUUUUUUUGAAAUAGAAAAAAUAUAAAGAAUAAAGAAAAUAUAUUAAAUGUUUUGAAUUUGAUAACAACCUAAUUUUAUGUGGUCCUGAUAAAAAUAUGACCGAAUGGUAUUGGGUCUAAUGGAGAUAGAACCCAACAUUAUUGAACUUUUAUGCAUGAUAAGACGCAUGAAAACUGAAAUCAUUGCUUUGUCUAUAAAAAUAAUAAUAAUAAACUAACAGAUUAGUAGUUUAUUGUACAUCAAAGACACAUAUAACUGUGGAUUAAAAUAAUUACGUCACUAUUUUGCUCUUUUAAAAUAAAAUCAUUUAAUCAGUUAUUAAAAACAAUAUAUUUUUUAUGUUAUCCAUUUAUUAUAACCGUAUUAAAUGAAGAAUGAAGAUAAAUAAGUUUUUAAACAUUUUAAAAAUACAAUGAAAUAACUUAAAUAUCUUUAAAAAUAAAAUUUUUAAAAUUAGGAUCCAUAAGUGUUUCGGUCUUUUAACAUUUUGAUAGUAUAGUGAAAUAACUAUAUUGCUCUUAAAUGUCAAAAAAAAUAAAAUUGAUGUUUAUGGUUUUUUUGUAUUUUUUUCAUGGCUUCUUAGUUAUAAUCAAUGUGAAUUAGGGACAUUUUGGUCUUUUAAAAAUAUAAAUAUAAUUAAAAAAUAAAAAGUGGUUUAUGUUGGUGUCUGAGAGAUGCCUGCACUCUUUGGGCAGCGUAUGCAACAUCUAUCAGCGGACAACCACUGCCUUUUAUGACGGCGUUGAAAGCAUCACAAUAUCAUUUUUCUAGUGGUCAGGUAUGUUUGCAUGGCUUUUUUUCAUUUUUUCUCUCUCUUAACCUCAAAUUUCAUGUUAGCUCUUUCAAAAAUUUAAUGUGUCUUUUUUUUCUUAUUAUUUUAAUUAAUAUUUAUUUUGCUUGAAAUGCAUUUUAAAGUUGAUUUUUUCUUCAAUUUUUUCUUUUAACAUUUUAUUUCUUGUCCUCUUUCAAACAAUAGAGUUAGGUUCUCUUUAUGGUAUAAAUAAUGUUUUUUUUUAUUUUUUCAGUUUGUUUUAAUGUGUUGUUGUAAAAAAGUAUUUUUUUUAAAUAAAAAAUACUUUAAAAAACAAUUAUUAUUUGCUUUCAUAUUAUAUUAUAGUGGUUAUGAUGAUUUGAUUGAGAAGAAUUUGUUAGACAACUAAUUUGAUAUUGUAUUUAUAGUUAUUUUUUAAAAUACUUUUUAUUUAGAAAUCUAUUAAAAUAAUAUUUUUUUAUUUUUUAAAAUUAAUUUCAUAUUAUAACAUCAAAAUAUGUUCUCAUGUACAAAGGGUGCACAUUGUUGAUUCCUGGGAAUUUAUUAUGUACAAAAAGCUUUGGUUUGUUUUGAUGUGUUGCUAUAAAAAGUGAUUUUUUUAAAAAUAAAUAAAAUAAUACAUUGAUAUAUUUUUAAUUAAAAAACACUUUAAAAAAUAAUUAUUAUAACACUCAUAAACACUUUAAAAAUGUUUGUGUGUGCGGGUAAUAUUUUUGCUUUCAUGUUAUAUUAUAAUGAUUAUAAUGAUGAGAAGAACUUCUUAGUGAACCUAUAUCGUAUUGUAGUAAUAUUUAUUUUUUAAAGUUUUUUUUAAAUGAAAAUAUAUUAAAAUAAUAAUUUUUUUAUUUUUAAAAUUUUAUUUUUGAUAUUAAUACAUCAAAAUAAUAUAAAAACAAAAAAAAAUUAAUUAAAAAUAAUUCCUAAAAAUAUUCCAUGUACAAAUGCUUCAUGUCUUGAUAUUUGUUUUUUUAUUAUUUGGUAGGGAAGGACAUCAAGUCUUCGAUCAAAGUGUUUGCUCGUACUGAGUACUCUGUUGACUUCACAUUAUAUUAUAAGGGUUAUUAUUAUUUCAAUGGGAAGAACUUGUUAUGCAUAACUUGUGAACCUGUAUAAAGUGUUGCGUGGAUAUCGCCGGCGAGAAGGAAAAGAUUAGCCAGCGGAGAUAAAAUUGUUGAUCUCUUGAGCUGGUCAAAUACCAUGUCAAAUCUCUUCCAAGGUUUAUCUGGACAUGGAUGAUUCCAGGUUGUAGUUCUAGUGUUGUGAUCAAUAUAAUACGUUUUCCCUGUUGCUGCGUCAGAUCGCCUCUCCCAGCCUGGUGGCAAUGGAGCAGCAUAUGCAUCACCAUAGUUAUUGACUGACUGAUAUAUAACAGUAAGCCAAAUCACUAUCAAGUGAUAUGGCCAACCUCCUGCGUUACUCCACAAAACAUUGCGGAGCACCAAAAUAACUAGCAGCAUUCCAAGGAAUCUGGAAAAAUUAAAACGAAUGACUCCAUUUUGAUGUGAUCUUAUGCAGAAAGCACCAGCAAAAUCAUCGGUGUAGAUGAUUUCACCCCUGCAAUCCUAUUUUUUAAGUCAUAAAUACAUGACAUGCUAUAAAAAUAAAAUAAAUUAAAACUUUUAUCCUUUUAAUUUAACUAAGAAAAUCAUCCUACAACUAUUUUACAGUUAUUUAAAGCAAAUUACAAUAUGAUUAAUUAAUAGAAACAAUGAUUUUUUUAAUUAAUAGAAACAAUUAAAACUAGGACUGAGCAUUUUCGGUGACAAUUUAAUUAUAUUUUUUCCCUUCUAAAAAAAUAACUGUAAACUCUUUAUCUUCUAUGCAGUCGAAUUCCGCCUCAUAGUCAUCACGAGUUUUAGAAUUUCACAAGGUAGAAUUUUAUCUUUUUAAUUUUUUUAAAAUUUUAUUUUUUAAUAUUUAAGUUUUUAAAAAUUCAUCUUCAUAUAUAUUUUACCUUUUAUUUUAAAUUUUAUUUUCUUUUGGAAUCAAAUAUCUCAAUCCUAGUUACUUAUCUAUUAAUCAAGUAUUGAUCUAUUUAUUUUAAUGCACAUAUAUAAGUAUUUUAAUUUAUAAUUAAAAAAAUACCUAUUUAUUUAUUUUUCUAUUAAAAAAAAACUAAUUCAAAAUAAAAUGAAAGGCAAAUAUCUAAUUGUUUUAUAAAAUAAUAUUAUUUUAGUUUGAAAAAAAAAAAACUAAACUAAAACCACUUUGUUUUGAAAUUGGCUUUGCUCAAUCGGCUAAUCAGCGAAUCGGGUUUUGGAUUCGAUCAGACCCCGGACCUGUAUGAAAUCUAUGGUCGGUCCCCACCUGAAGAAACGAGAGGCAGAGAGAAACCAAAGAGAUGAGCUAACGGCAUCGACAAGCCACACGAUUCGAUUCUCUACCAUGAUAUAUAUAUAUAUAUAUAUAUAUAUAUAUAUAUAUAUUGUUUCCUUUGACAAGUCGCAGCACAAAUUCCAAUACCCAUUUUCAGUUUCCUAGAUUUUGAGUAAGUUUUUGAAGUGGGUGGUUUGAUUUAGCUUAGCUUACCGUGUUGUAAAUUGUCAUCUUUUUUGUUGAAUGCUGUACUUGGACGUCACUUUUUGUAGUAUCAUGGUGUUAGUGAUUGUAUUGUGAGGAACCCAGUUGGGGAAUUGGUUUAUUUGUUCUGAAUCCACUCCGGUUUGGUUUGUUUUAGCUUAGUGUGUUUUACUUACUUGUGAGUUAUACACUUGAAUAUGUUGUUUUGUGGAACGAGUUCUUUGUUUUUCAUGAUUUUGUUUAAAAAUGGAGCUCAAGCUUGAGUUUCUAGAAGCCAACUUCAGGAGCGUUCAUCUUGGUAUAAUGAAUUGAAGCGAUCAUGGUUCAGUUUUGCUUAUUUUGAUCCAUUUCUCACUUGUCUUUCAUAGUUUUGAUCCACAUUGAUGCCAUUUGUUUUCACUAUUCGAGAAAGAGGUUACUUUUUUUUUUUCAAGGAAUCCUCUUAUAAGUUGAUUGCUUGUCAGAAAUGGAAAUAACCCUUAUUCAACUUAGCUUGGUUUAAUUACUGCUCUUUUUUUCAUGGGCGAAUUUAGAGAUUGAACUGCAUUUUAAUUGUAAAGUAUUACUUUCAUGCAGAACAUGGAAGCUUGGUGAUUUUGAUAAGGUUUAUAUUGAGUUAACAAAAGAUGUUGCCUGUUUGCUUUGCCACUCAGUGUUGUUCCUCUCAUUCUCAGGUGAGUUUCACUUCCUAGACUGUAAUUUAAUUCGUGUUGUUGCCAAGUUUCUAUCAUCCCUGUACCUUGAAUUUCAUCUAUGCCCUUAGUUUUAGAGAUACAUGGCCUCUAAUUAGGUGGAGAACAAGCCGGGACUAUAAUUGAACUUUCGCUAAAGAGAGAAAUUCUGGUGUCAAAAAAUAAAAGAAAAAAUAUUAGUGUAACUAGACAUGUCUGCCUCUUUAUAAAAUAUGUUUGAUGUAUUUGAGUUGAAAAAUCUGGGGUGCCUAAGUGAAGGUUUUGAAUGAAGGUAUAAAUUAAUCUUCAACUGUUUAAGUAUAAAGGUCAGUAUGACAUCAUGUAGAGCUUAUGUGCCCAAGUGAAGGUUUUGAAUUGAUUCUCAUGCUCUAACAUGGUAUCAUCGUCCAGUUAGCUUUCUCCUUCCUUCUAGGCCUACACAUCAGAGGGAUGCUGAGUAAAUCCCUUAACAACCUAGCAGAAAGUUUUGCAUGGCCUAAUAAUCUGCUUGUACAUCUCCGUUUAGUAGUUUAAGCAUCUGGGUGUGAUUCCCUAGCACCAACUUCCUUCUCAUGUGCAGUGGAUUAUGAUGGCAUUUUCUCUCCGCUUAAGAGUGUGUUUAGCAUUGCUGUCAAAACACCGUUUGCUAAAAAUAUAAUUCUUUUUUCUUAAAAAAUUUUUUUGUUGUUUUUGAACCGUUUUGAUGUGUUGAUGUCAAAAAUGUAUUUUAAAAAAUAAAGAAAACAUUAUUUUGAUGUGUUUUCGAACGAAAAACACUUUGAAAGUAACCGCUACCGCAAUGUCAAACACGCUCUUAAUCUGAUUACUUACAUCAGAAUAUAAAAUUAAGAUAUGAGGUAUGUGAGACUCUUCAAUAUACAAAUUCCUUGUCCACCUUUAAAGAACAGAAUUUGACAAUUUUCAGUGAAGCCUUGCAGGUAGUAACUUCCAUGCACAUCGGUUAUCAAUUCACCAAGUUUUGUUUUAUCAUGUCACAUCUUUCUUCAUAUACCUCUGGCAUAGUAUUUCUAUUGUCAAAAAUUUCAUUCAUGUAUUUGAAACCACAACUAUUGCAGAUAACAUUCCAAUGAGGUCUGCGACCAUUUUGCUCAGUCUGGAAGGAUUUCGAGUCCAGAUGUUAUGUCGUAGACAGGGUACUUUUGGGAAUGUCAAAUAUAACUCAUCACCAAAGAAUUUCCUUCAAAACACAAGCUAUAAAGUCUUUCUACUCCAAUUUUAUUGAAAGCUUUGCUUUCAUUAAUGAUCAUUCUUGCCCAAAUGAACUAGGCAACAUUAAUUGCACCCACACCCUAUGGGAGAGGGUAAACUGAAAUUCUUAGAAAGUUAUAACAUAUCUGAUGUUGAAAAAGGACAUUUGAACUCUGCAGACCAGUUUGUUGAUAAUACAGAUAGUUUAAUAUGACUUGUGGAACUUGAAAUAACAUCAACUAUUGAUAUGACACCAGAGAAUCCCAGUUUGGGAUCUGAUUCCCUGGAAAUGGAUAACGAUUCAUUAUCUAGUGCAAAGGCUGCUUUUGAUUAUUUUUUGGGCGAGGUUAGGGACUCCAUCAACACUUCAAUAAAUAAUGGAGGAAAUGUUGUGCAAAGCUCACUAGACACAAUUACUUCUUCAAUAAUAUUGUUUAAGGAAAGUGCUUCAGAAGCAGUAGAUGGUGCCUUGAGUAAAGUAUUCUCUACUUUUGAUCAAACAGGAGAAUUAGCUGGCGAUAGAUUGACUAACUUUUCAUCUGGUUUGAGGGAAGCCACACAAAAUGCUACUGGCACUUCUAUUGAUGUGCUCAGAGUUGCAAUCGCUGCAGUGGAGGAAUCUAUAGCAAAAGGGGCUUCUUUUAUUGUUUAUUCUUAUGGGCCUGCCAAGGAUUUGCUUCCUCCAAAGAUCAGAGGCGUGCUGAAUCUGUCUGAAGAAAGGAUAACACAGAUUUUGAGGCCAAUUGGUGCAACUUUUCAACAUGUACAUUAUGCUUGGCACGUUUUACUUUGAUGGCUGUUGUACUCUCAUUUAAUUGUAUGGACUUGAAAAAAAAAAAAAAAAUCUCCUGCAAAGAUAUAUUUGGAUUAUUUUAGAAAUCUUUUUGUUGGAGACAUCAGUCACUGCUUUCAGCUUACAGGACUUCUAGUUGAAAACUCAAUUACGUCCAUCUCUGUUACAUUGCUUAAUUAUGUGUUGAUCUAACUAAUUUAUGAUCCAAAACCAAAGCUGAAUUUCCUAAACCUGCUUUUACACCUUAAGCAGGUUUACAUUGCUAUUGAGGGGCUGGAGAAAAGGCUUGGCUUGGAUCCAAAUGAUCCAGUUGUGCCUUUUGUUCUUUUCCUUGGAACCUCAACCACUUUGUGGUAUGGAUGUCCUUUUGUGCAUAAAGAUUUGUUUAUUUAACCUGCAUUACAUGGGAAGCUUAAGUUUUCUACCAGAUUUGUGCAGGGGUUUUUAUAGGGUGUGGGUAUAUGGUGGUUACUCUGGAGAUUUGUCUCCGCAAUUAACUUUGGAGCUCUUGGCAGGGAAGGAAGACGCCAUACUUAUUGAUGUCCGGCCUGAGGCAAGAGAGUAAAUUUUCUGGCCUUUUAUGUUCUUAAGUUUCUUUUGUUAGAAAUUCUAGUAUCUCAAUGAGAGACACUAAAGCUGACUGCUCAGACAUUUACUGAAGGGUCUGUAUUGUUUUUUCAACUCUGUUCAUUAAUACAUUCCAUCUUGUAGCUACCCCAUUUCAUAUUUUCAAUAGUUAAUUUCUUUUCACUAGGAAAUAUUACUUACCAUCCACCUUUCUACCCCAUUUCUUUUACAUCACGGUAAAAAAAUCUCAAAUUUGGCACCCUCAUUAAUUUCCUUUUUUUCCCGUUAACUUGGCAUUGAACUAGGUGGACAUUGUUUAUAUGAUGGUUCUCAUAGAAAGAGAUGGCAUUCCUGAUCUUAGGCGAGCCGCUCGGUUUUGCUAUGCAAGUGUAACUCUACCAGAGGUUGGUUUUAUUUGAUAAUACUAUUCUAAAGCUAUGAGUGGAGAGGUAUUGCUAUUUGGUAUGAGGAUGAUAGUUUAGAACAAUUACUUUGUUUCUAAAUGUCAAAUAACUCUUUGAACCAACAAUAAAAAAAUAAAACAAGAAUUGGAGCUUGGCUGUAUCCCUUUUUCAUAACUCUGUCUUAUAUUCUUCAACUUUAUUCUGGUAGAUGGCCCAGUAAGGAAGCUUUUAAAGGGUGGACGGAUCUUGAUGACAUCUUAAUUGCCUCAGUCAUUCGAAACUUGAAAGCUGUACAGGUAUAGCUUUAUGUUUUAAGAGCUUUGAUAUAACUAUUGUUUAUGCAUGCUGUCAUUGUUUCGAGACAUUCAGAAAAAUGAGAAUUCUGAGUGGUGCAAGACAGAAAGGAAAUUCUCGGGGGGAGUGAUUUGGGUUUGGUUUAAUCGAUGUUGUGUGUUUUAGCAUCAGUGGCCUCUGAGGACACAAGAAAUUGUUUUGGUAUUACCAUAUGCAGUACAGUCGCUACAUCACAAUCUCCUGAGUGUUCCAUUUUUAAAUCCUGAAGCAGGAACAUUGUCUCAGAGAUUUUUUUUUUCUUAUACUGUAGGACAAGUACCAGGUAAUGGUUAUGGAUGCUGAUGGUUCUCGUUCUAAAGGCAUCGCUAGAUCCUUGAGAACGCUUGGGGGUUAAGGCAAGUAUUUGGAAUCUCUAAGAAUUUUUUUUUAUCACAUAAAAGCCUAAACAUCUAAUUCAUCAUGGAACUAGAAGGGCAAAAUGAAUUUAUCCACUCUCCCUUAGUCAAGUUUCUUUGGGAUAUAAAACAUUUCUGAGAGUUUUUCAGUAUCAGUAACCUUAGAAACAAAUAACAAUAUCCAUAUUAACCAGAUUUGGGAAGAGUACAUUAAUGUCUUAUGUGCAUUUACAAUGUUGUUAAGUCAAAAACCGUUACUCCUUAUGCAUGUUUUCUGUCGUAUAAAUGCUAUAGAUAGAACCCAAUUUUCAUUCCGGUUGUUCUCAAGUGGUAUAAUUCAGAAAGCACAUUAGUAUUACAUCUAACUUAUGUCCUUAAAAUCUCUCUCUCUCUCUUAAAAAUAAUAAAAAAAAGUCUUUACCUUGCUUGAAUGGGAAGUUGCAAUGUAUUAAUCAAUUUCAAUAUUCUUUUAUUUCACUCCAUAGAUUGAUGUAAAUGGCUUGUAGAGAAACAAGUUAAAUGCAUGAAUUUUAGAUGAUAUCAUGGUUCAUUCCUGUACUAAUCAUAUAAUUUAGAUAGAGAAGAUAGUAGAAUUUUGCAGAAUUAAACUUUGUGACCUGUAUUAUAAGAAAAUUUGAACUGCCAGGUUAGUCUAUUGUUAAUCUGGAACCACAACCUAUUGUAUCAUAUUGCUAAUUGUUUGUUUGCAUUUUUAUGUGACAAAGACCAUACUUGGUCCAACGUGGCUUCCAACCUUGGGUAAAACAAGGUAUCCAAGCUAAGGAGCUGAAACCUGAGACCAUGCCAACCAUACUUAAUGAGGUAAGGUUAUUGCAUGACUUGCAUAUUCUCUUAACUAGUAUAAAAUUCUAGAAAUACAAAAUUCUAUUUCCCGAAAGCCAUUGAUCAACUCAAAGUAUAUGUGUGGACAAUGACAAGCUGUAGAUUAUACAAUAAUAUAUUCGGCCAACUGAGAUAAACCUAGAGAGUUGAUUAAUUUGACAUUUAUUUCAAAAACACAUGAAAAGAGUGAAAUUUCUUUGUUGGGUGCACAUUGGUGCACAAUGGAUACUAUCAAAAUGGUAUCCACACCGCAUAGAACAACAUGCACACACAGAGGCAUAUGAGAUGUACUUGUGUCUGUGCAGUGCGUGUGUAAAUUUACAUGGAGAGACUUAUUUCAAAAACAAAUAAAAAGAUGUGCUAUGUGCAAUCACACUUGUAUGAACACGUGCAUCAUGAGUGUUUGUAUAUAUGUAAUUGAUGGGCUACCAUAAACUGGGUAUGCAGGCCAUAGGAAUUGUGUAUGUUUCGACACAUGACGGUUUUCUUUUUCUUUUCUUUUUUGUUGCUGUCCUCACAUUCUUCUUGUCCACCAAGCUUGAACUUUGUUUCAGAGUGGGAGAAGACCUUACAAUUUAUUGCCAUCACUGGCCUCAGUCAGGUAUACUUUUAUUUGUUAUAGUGCUCUGGUUAAUGUUUUUUUUACACACACAGAUGUUGAUUGUUGAGCUGAUAAUGGUUAAAACAAACUUCACACAUUCUGAUAUUGUGCUAGUACUCAGAUCCUUUGAUGUAUUCUGUAAAAAUAGCAUGUAUAUGACCAUUAAGCUAGAUUCCCUUUGUCUAUUUUGCACGUGUUCUAGGGAAAGGUUUAUGUCAUUGAUAAAUUUAGUUAAGUAAACCUUGAGUUUCUCUAAUUAUUGGUUUCUCACACUCCGCCAGACUAUUUAUCAGUGGGUUUCUUCUUAUAAUGGCCCUAAAGAUUUUAAGUAAGAUGUGAGAAGUACUUUAGACACAUAGAGGUAAACAUGUGAUUUGCAGAAGCAAAUAUUCAAACACGCAACUAGAAAAAUUGUUCACAUACGUGUGGUUAUGGCGCAUCCCUAGCUUGGACAAAGAAAAAGACGCAACUAGCUCUUAAGAAUUCUUAGUUGUCUGCAUUGAAGUCUCAGCUAACUUUCAAUCCUUCUCGAGGACUUGUAAGUAGGUUAGGUGCAGUUCUAGGUUUUGUUUCUGAGAUCACGUUUCAAUUGGCCUCACGCUAACCACUUCAUGAGGGAAAACCUCACAAACUUUAUAAUAACUAGGACGGAGACUACUAUUUUUGUCUUGUUUUUCCUUGGGUUAAGCUAAACGUCAGAAACAUGUUAUACGACUAAUUUCUGUCGUUUUUAUAAUGACACCCUUGUUUUUUCUUUUUCUUUUUUCUUUUUUCUUUGUGACGUGGAGACGCUCAUCUCGUAUAAAUUAAUUUUUUUGUAGUGGGUAACUUAUAUUUUUGUGAGAGGUCGGAGUACAGCUCGUGACAUAUCUAAUAUCUCUUUGAUGGACCCCCGGUGUAGGAGAGGAAUGCCAGACCCAUGGCCUGCGAAUCGUGGAUGAAAAGAACAGGGCAGACAAUCUAUAAAUUGAAAUGCUUAAACUCAACGAUAUGGGAAUUCUUCAAUGAAAUGCUAUUUAAUUAGCAUUAGUAUUUCUCUUUUCCAAAAGAUCUUCCGUUCAAACCUUUUUUUUAAUUAGAAAAAACCAUGGAAAGUUGAGCCGUGGACAUGUACCCACCACAAAUUUUGUCAAGAGAUUCUAUGGAUCCAGUUUUAUAAUGAGGUUGGUUAGCUGUAAAGGUCCCCAAUUCGGUUCAAAAAAAUUUUGUUUGAAUUAAUUUUGUUACCUUUUAUUUUAUUUUUAUAUUUCUUAGUUUUAAGUUUAUUUAUUUAUUUAAAGAGUUAUAAUAUAUGCAAUAACAGAAUCUUGAAUACUUACUGUUUUUCUUUUGUUGUUAGUAUUCAUUAGUUAGAUGGUUGUUACAGUUAGUUGAGUAAUUAGUUGAAUAACAGAGAGUUAGUUCAUUAGUCAGUUGCAAGGAAAUAACAAUAUUUACAACUAUCUUGAAAACCAAGUAAUAAUUUAAGAACAAUUUGCAGUAAUUACAGAACUCUCUCCCUUUCAAUCUCUUUUAUUUCUCCCUCAAUUUAUUUUCUUCUGAACUUUUAUUUCUCCCUUUCAAUUUCUUUUAUAUCUCCCAAAAUUUUCUUUUGAACUUUUUGUCCGCCCGUAGAUUUUCAUCAAAGUGCAGAUACACCCCACAGCUUUUCAACUCGAAAGGCCUUCGGCUCUCAUGAUCUCGCAUCCUUCCCCAGUAGAAUUUAAAAGUAACUUCAUUGUCGGAAUAUUUACGUAAAUGAUUUACCAAUUUGAGCUCGUAGUGUAGAAUCAUGUGAUCUGAGUCACAUGGCUUGAUCAAGUAACGUAAUAGAAGGCUUUUCUGGGAAUCUAAGACGACUUCAUCAUCACCAUCAUGCUCACUGUUUUUACUCUUAACAUGGUAAUCAAGAUAUAAAUUAACAUCAAUAUCAUCGACUUUAUAAGGCAUGUCCUGGGAGGGAGGAGGGAGGAGGGAGUAGAAAGACAAGGCAGAAAGCAAUUCCCUUGAGCUGAUGACAAUUUGAGGGCAACUGUAUGGUGAGUGAAGAUCCAAUUCCUUUGUCACCGAACCAUUCUGGAAUUUCACUCCCCGGUAGAACCAUUUGAAUUCUGCCAAGUGGGAUCUCCUCUCCGGAAUGUAACACAAAAGUCACAUUUCAAAAAUGUGAUGAAGCAAGCAAGAGAGAGAGAAGAAAGAAAGAGAAGGGGGUUUAGAGAGAUACCUGAAUUUUCAAAUGCAUUGCCUCUAUCUGUUCUUUCUGAUCCAAUUUGAAGCAAUUUGUAAAAUCCCUUUGAAACCGUAAUGUCAGCGAAGAGGGAAUCUCAGGUAACGCUUUAAUAGCUGUUCCAUGGAAAGUCAGAUGUUGCAAACAUACCAUAUCUUUGAUUGACAAGGGUAGCUCUUUGAUAGGUGUUCCAUGCAAUUCCAAAUAUUCCAAAGAUACCAUAUCUUUGAUUGACAAGGGUAGCUCUUUAAUAGGCGUUCCAUCUAAUCUUAGAGUCGUCAAAGAUAUCAUAUGCUUAAAUGAUGAUGAGGGUAUCUCUUUAAUGCCUGUUUUACUCAAGUAAAGAUAACGCAAGGAUUCCAUAGGCACUGUGAUUUCUGGGAAGCUCUCAAGUUUUGAGCAACCACUCAUAUCCAACGUUUCGAGUCUUGUGAGAAACUGGAUUGAUGAGGGCACCUCUUUAAUAGCAGUUCCCUUUAGUUCUAAUGUUUUUAUAUCCUCUAAAUUCUCCGGAAACUUGGUCAUCUUUGAGCAACCACUUAGAUAAAGAUAUUUCAACCGGCCAGUAACUGAUUGUGGAACUUCUUUGAUUGAAGUUUGUUCCAACUUUAACCAUACCAUAUUUUGUGAAAUCGUUGGACACGUGGUCACAUCUAGGCACCGACUUAUAAUAAGGAAUCUGAGAACCUUUGAAUAAAGCAUUGGAAAACUUCUAAGAUUAUAGCAAGAACGGAGAUUAAUUACUUCCAGCUUGUCAAGAUAUUGAAGAGAUGACGGAACCUCGGUUAAACUUGGACAGUCCGUAAGAUCUAAGGACACUAAAUUUUUGGCCAUUGAUAGAUCUGGCAAUUCCGUCAAAUAUGGAGAGUUAGAUAGGUUAAUUCUUCUUAAAUUUCCAACAUCCUGUCAACAGAAAUAGGCAUAAUUAGAAAGUUAGCACCUCUCCAACUUCAUAUUUCUGAUCAUAAAUCUGCAGCAAUUAAAUCAUACCUUUACUCCGGUCCAAAGUUUUACAAGCUUGCUCCUGCUUAAGUUAAGCUCGACAAGAUGUUCAGCACAAAAAACACGCGGCAAGGAUUUUGAAGGGAAUCCAUGGCAUUUCAAAUAUCUCAGCUUAUUAGGAAGAUAUUCGAGGCCAGUAGGAGGAAGGUUCAUUGUAAAUUCAUUUUCUUGGAAGGAACCAACAUAGAAACUGAGAAAUCUAAGACCAUCCAUCAUUGCGAAGGCAUCAGAUUUCAAGUGUAUGUGUCUUGGUAACCAGUCCAAAGAUAUGCCUUUAAUUUUUAAUUGAUUUCCCUGUUAAACAAGAAUAAAGAAUAAACAAACAAUAGUACAAUCUACUCAAACACGUCAACUUUUGAGCAAAAACAUGAACGACAGUUAAUGGAUGUAGCUUUAACCUUAUUUUCCUCCAAUACUUGAACGACAUCAGGAGGAUAACAUAACCUGCUACGUUCGCCAGGAAAAUCAGAUUCUGCACGAACAAUGUUAAAUGCCAUUUCUUGUAGUAAAUCAUGCAUUUCUAGCCUAUCAUAAUCAUCAGUAGUUAUGAGACACUUAUCAAUGAGCGUGCUUAUAUCGAACUUCACAGAUCGACCAUAUAAGCAAUCUAAUAUUCUUGUUGCUUCGUCUUGGUCCAAUCCUAUGAAGAAAUGUGCUAUGUCAAGAAAUAUGGAUUUUUGUUCUGAAUCCAACCCAUCGUAACUAAUUCUCAACGCCCUUUCGAUUCGAGGGUGCUGAGCUAGUUUAUUCAAUGCACUGCGCCAUUCUUCGAUGUUUUUACCAUAGAGAGAGGAACCCAAAACUAUAAGAGCCAACGGAUUGCCUUGUACAUGACUUACAAUCUUUUCUAUCAAUUCUCUAUGAUCAAUUGUGGGGUUGCAAUUCUUCAAGGCAUUCGAGCUAAAGAGUUGAAUAGCUUCUUCAUCGUUCAACCCCUCAACCUCGUAUGUCUCAUCAACUACAUUACUAAGCACUUGCUUGUCCCUACUGGUUAUGAGAACUUUACUGCCCGGACCAAAUGAAUUGUUUCGUCCAUCAAGCAAAUCUUUCCAUUCUUCAAAACGCAUUAAAUCAUCCACAUUAUCCAGAACAAUAAAAACCUUUAUUCGACGAAGUCUAUCCCUCACAAAAGAAUCUCGAAAACUCAAGGAGCCCAUAGUGUUCAGAGUUUCUUGGCCAAGCAGUCGUUUAAGAAAUUUUCUUCGCAAAUCAGAUUGUUGCCUAAAGUUUUCAAAAAAGAUUCCAUCAAAUCGAGAACGAACCUCGUUGCACACAACCUGAGCAAUCGUUGUUUUACCGAUACCACCCAUUCCCCAUAUCCCUACAAUGAGAACAUCUGGAGACUCCAUAUUUAACAAAGACUCAACUUUGCUAACAUGAACAUCAAUUCCAAUUAGACCCGUCAUAAUAUGACUUGAAGACAUGACAUGUAAUUUGUUCAAAACAUCUCCAACGAUUUUCUCAAUAAAUUCAGACUCCAGCCUAACAAACAAGAAGAGCACACAUAAUUGUUAGUCAAAAUGGACCGGACAAGAAGAAACAUAUAAACAUACUCACUCCUUAGUAGCUAUAUCUAUACAUAGUAGACACGUAUGAGUAAUUGAGCAUCAUUAUUGGCAAUGGAUAGUGCUAAUGUAACACAUGAAUCGAUGAUAACAUUGAGUUGAGUGAUAUGUAAAAAUACAUGACAUUUUUCAGUGAUAUGCAUGUAACACAUGAAUCGAUGAUAACAUUGAGUUCAGUGAUAUAUAACACAUGUAAAAACUAGAAACUACAUGUAAUCGGUGUUUAUCUAAUAAAAUCAAUUAAAUGCAAAUGCAUAUGAUGUUUUCUCAUGUCAUCCUUUUCACCUCAAACAAAUAGAAUAUUAUUUAACGACAAAAGAAAACAUUGUCUGUCCUUGUAAAAUUAUUUAAAACAAAAAGAAUAAUUAAAAAAAAAACAUUUUGAAACAUAAAAACAAACAACCACUUAAUAUCAAUACAAGCCUUAAUAUUUAUACAAGUAUUUUGCUACAAAUAAUAUUUUUUUUUCAAAUUAUUUUUAAUAUAAACAUAUUAAAAUAAUUUAAAAACAUUAAAAAAUUAAUUUAAAAUAAAAAUAAUUAAAGUUUUUACAAAACAUUUUAAAACACAAAAACAAACAACCACUUAAUAUCUAUACAAACAUUUUAUAUUAAAUAAUAUUUUUUUAUUUUUUAAAAUAUUUUUUUAAUAUAAAACACAAAUAAUAUAAAAAACUAAAAUAAAAUAUUUAAAAAAAAAACCAUUUUAAAACACAAAACAACCAACCACUACAACGUUUUCAAAAUCAAAUAAAAUAAAUAUAAAUUCACAGAGCUCAUCAUUCUCAAUAAUUUUAAAUUAAAUUUCAAAUCCUCAACAAAUGAACGAAUAUUUUCUCAUGGGAUAUAUUUCAAGAGCUUACUCAGAAUUCCCUAAGCUCCAUCCAGAUAGAUUGGCUGCAUCCGUCAAAGCGUCUCUGAAGCUCUGCACUUCUUCCAACGUCAGAGCUUUAUUCCUUAUAAGUCUAGCAAAUGCAUCCCCAAAGCUUCCAGUUUGAUUUCUUACAUGGGAUGGAUCCACCUUGUAAAAUACUGGAAUAACUAUAUGUCCAUUUUUUUUUCCACGUUCAAAAAUCUUUGCAAGCUCCUCCAAGCACCUUUUGGAAGAUGCAUAGUUUUCAGAAAAAACAAUCACAGAAAGCUUGGCCUCUUCAAUUGUUCUCAGAAGUGAUUCCGGAAUCUCAUCUCCUCUAACAUGCUGAUCAUCUUCGAAAGUUAGGAUUUGUUUCCGUUUCAAAGCAGCAUGGAGGUGGCUGGUAAAACCAACACGAGUUUCUUCUCCUCUGAAACUAAGGACGACAUCACAUUUAAUUCCUUGUGGCUGGGCGGUGGUUAAGGUGGAAGGAGUAGAUGGCGAUGGAGAUAUAUGACGGCUUCGUAUGAUGAAUCUCCAGAUAUAAGCAAACAUUUCGAAGAAACAAGAGUAAGACUCUGGUGGUAAGGGAGGUCUGGAGGGAGAGAGCGGAAGUAACUCAAGGAAAAAAGAUGAGGCUGAUUUUGAGUCAGUAGCUUAGGCUCUACGUAUAAAUUUAUAAUAAUGGGGGCAUCAAAUCCAAGAAUUUUCUUAGGCAUUACGGAAGUAACCAUUUGUUGAUUUCCUGGAAAUUCCCCAGUUACAAAGUGAUGUGAUAGUUUUUUAUAAAUUUAAUUUUUUUUUAAUUAUUUUUUUUUAGUUUUUUUAUUAUUUUAAUUUACUGAUAAAAAAAUAAUUUUUAAAAAUAAAAAACAUAAUAGAUACCUUUUUUAAUAUUUCAAAGGUAUUAGCUAUUCACUUGGCGGAGUAGCAGAUCUUUUGUUUUUUUCUCUUCGACUUUUUUAUUAUAUAUUUUUUUAAAACACUAAACACUUCUGUGUGUCCCACAGCGAUCAUUCUUUAGUCUAUUAAUUUGUACUUCAAAUUCUUUUAUAAUUUUCCUGGAAAUUACGAAUUUCUUGUCUUUGUUCUUUAAGGAACGGUUGCUUUUGAUAAUGAUCAUAUCAAAAUCCGUCAGAGCACUUUUUAGAAAUAUACUGUGUUUUAUAAAAAAAUAAUUUUUGAUUUAAAUUUAAUCUUUUUAAAUUUUUUUAUAUACUAAAAUUAAAAAUAAUUUUUAAAAAAUAAAAAUAAUAUUUUAAUACAGCCCAAGGGAGCUGCCAUGCACAUGGUAGGAAAGGCGCUUUUAUCUUUGCCUAUAAACAAUAUUUUUAUAAAUUUUGAUUUUUUUUUAUUUGAAAUUUUUUUUUAAUUUUUUUCAGUUUGUUUUAAUAUCUGAUAUUUAAAAUAAUUUUUUAAAAAUAAAAAAUAUAUUAUUUUAAUUUAUUUUUAAAUAAAAAACAUUUUAAAAAUAAUUAUUAUUAUAUUCGUAAACAUCUUCUAUAUCUUCGGUCCAAGUAUUUGCUUUGCGGAGGAUUUUUUUACCUUCAUAUUAUAUUAUAAUGGUUAUGAUGAUUUAAUUGAAAAGAACUUCUUAGAGAGCUUGAUAUUGUACUAGUGAUUAUUUUUUAAAUUAUUUUUUAUUAAAAUACAUAAAAAUAAUAUUUUUAUUUUUUAAAUUUUAUUUUUGAUAUUAAAACGUUAAAAUAAUAUAAUUAAAACCAAAAACAAUUAAUUUAAAAUAUACAAAAAAUAAAAAAAAUUCAAAUUCAAGUAUUUUCUCUCGGCAUUUCAGGAAAUUUUCCAUGCAGAAAAGGCUUCAAGUCUUGUUAUUUGUGAUGCGGUAGGAAAGGGCAUUUAGGUUUUUGUUUGUCUUUGCUGUGUAAUCAAUGUUUUAAUAAAUUUUGAAAUUAUUUUAUAUUUUAUUUUAGAUUAACUUUUUUUAGUUUUUUUUUGUUUAUUUUGGUGUUUUGGUGUUAAAAAUAAUUCUUUAAAAGUAAUAAAAAAAAACAUUAUCUUAAUGUAUUUUCAAUCAAAACAUAUUUUAAAAAUCAAUUUCUACUACACUCAUAAACACCCUUUAUAUCUUCAAUCCAAGUGUAUGCACAUGCCAAAGACUUUUUUGCAUUCAACCCUAUUGUAUAAUGGUUAUGAUUAUUCGAUUGAGAAGAACUUGUUAAAGAAUCUAUUUGGUAUUGAGAUAAUAAUUGCUAAUCAAGAUAAUUUUCAUUUGAAAAUAUAUUAAAAAAAAAUUUAAAUUUUUUUUUAGUAUCAAUAUAUUAAAACAAUAUAAAAAUAUAAAAAAUUAAUUAAAAAUAAAAAAAUCAAAUCCAUGUAUUUUCUCAGACGUUAGAGAGGGUGCACAUCUACUUGGAAAUUUCCUGUGGACAGAAAGGCUUAAUGUCUUGUUAUUUGUUUUUUCUUUUUGUGAUUUGGUAGGAAGGGUAUCGAGUCUUCCAUACAAGUGUUUGCACGAACUAGGACUUUGUUGACUUCCAAUUAUAUUAUAGUGAUUAUAAUUAUUUCAUUGGGAAACACUUGUUACUCUGCCCCAAUAAUAGGAAUUUUUUAAAAAACAAAUUGAUACAGUUAGAGAAAUAAUAAUAUGGUUUAAUUUUAUUUAAAAAGGAACAUGGUUUUUUUUUAUAAAAAAACUGCUAUUUUAAACUACGAUUUUAAUAUAAAAGCGAUUCAGAAUCACAAUCGUGGUUCUGUUUACUGCUUUUGGCAAUAUAAUUGGCAUGCAUCCAUGUAAUUAUAACUACUUCUUUUUACAUGCUUUCUUCCACCUCAUUACACACAAUCUAUUCAAAUAAAUCGGCAGAUGCCUUUUCCUUUUCCUUUUAUAUAUAUUUAUUUAUUGUGAAGAAAAAAGAAGAAAAAGAAGUCGUCUUGAAGGAGAGAGGAAGGGACUGGGGAUCGACGGGGCCAAUCCUCUGGGACGACGACUUGACCUUAAGUACUCUUCCUGGCGAGUGCUUGGGCAGCGUGUUCGGGAAGCUGAGUUUGGAAAUUACGUGUUUCUCGUCAUCUUGGCUGUUGACGAGAAAAAGAAGAAGAAGAAGAACAAACAGUAAAAUAAUUAUUUUUAUCAUUUAACUAGCUAGAUUUUUUUUAUAAAAUUCAUUUAUCAUGGUCAUUGUUGUAAUUAUCAAAGACAAAAUAAUUUUUAAACAUUUUAAAAGUACAAAAAAAUAAUUUAAAUAUUCUUAAAAUAAAGUUCUUAAAACUAAUAUUCAUGAGUAUUUUGGUCUUUUUAACAUUUUCAUAACAAAAAUAACUAUAUUACUCUUAAAAAUAUAAAAUAAAAAUAAAAUAAAAAAGAAGUUCUUAAAACUUUAUUUUUUUUUUAAUUUUCCAGGUUGAACUGAGUUAACCCAUAAAACCCGAGACUCGGUCCCUUGGCCGGGUUAACUUCCAGAUCGAGUUUAAUAACUAUAGUUUUUGUAUGUCGAUGACAUUUUUGCCUAACAUUAUAUUAUAAUAGCUAUCAUAAUCUGAUUGAAAAGAAUUUGUCAGAGAAAUUAUUUGUCAUUGUAAUAAUAAUUAUUUUUAAAGUAUUUUUAACUUCAAAAUAUAUCAAAAUAAUAUAUAUUUUUUAUUUUUUAAAAUUAAUUUUUGAUAUCAACACAUUAAAAUGGUAUAAAAAAUAAUAAUUUAAAAAUAAAAAAAUAAAAAAAUUCUACUCAUUUCUUUCCGCUUUCGUUUUUCUGCUUAAGGCUGGAUGGGGGCCAAAAAUGAUAUGCAAGCUCGAAAAUGGUAAGGGUAAAAAAAUUCAAGCUUGCAUGUCAUUUUUGGCCUCCAUCCAACCUAAAGCAGAAAAACGAAAGCGGAAAGAAAUGCUUUUUCUUAAAACCUUGAUCCAGUGACCUUAGUUUAGAUUAUAUUUAAAUUCAUUCAGAUAAAGAUUAACCCUAUUCAUGAAAAUUUAAGAUUUAAAUUAUUAAUCAGAUGAAAAAUUAAAUUAUUCUAGUGUUAGUGUAGGGUUUAAGUAAUAGACUGCCACUAAACUAAGCUACUUAGAUAAGCUCAAAACAAUUGAACUCUUAUUCAUGAAAAUUUAAAUUAUUUCUUUGUCAACGAAGAGGGCUGGACAACUUGCUAUGUCUUUUAAUUAAAAUUAAAAUAAAAUUAAAAACUAAAAAUUAUUCGUAAUUAUAAGAGACAAAAUAACUCUUAAAAAUAUUAAAAGUACAAAAAAAUAAUUUAAAUAUUCUUAAAACUAAUAUCCACGAGUGUUUUGGUCUUUUUAACAUUUUCAUAACAAAAAUAACUAUAUUACUCAAGAAAAAUAAAAUAAAAUAAAAAUAAAGAAGAAGUUGUCUUGAGUAGGGACCGGGGAUGGGCCAAUCAUCUUUUUGAUGGUCGGGCAAUAAUAGCCAUUUGGAUGGGGACGACGACUUGACCUCGACUCUUCCAGGCAAGUGCUUGGGCAGUGUGUUUGGGAACCUAAGUUGCCUUGACAUUACGCAAUUAUGUAUUUCUUGUCUUAACGGUGGCUUUCGAUGAUUAAUGGUCAUAAUCAUUAGAGACAAAUUAAUUUUUAACCGUUUUAGAAGCACUGAGGAAUGUUUCAAAUAUUCUUUGAAGUAAAAUUUUAAAAACUGGGAUUCAUGGGUGUUUCGGUAAAAUAAUUAAACUAAAAUUUUUAGUUAUAAUCAAAGUGAAUGAGAGAUAUUUGCAUCUUAAAAGCAUUCGUGUUUUUUUAGUAGACAGCACAUGUGACAUUUCUCCGCAAACACGUGUGCAUGACCGGGGAUGGGCCAAUCCUCUUCUUCAUGCCCCUGCAAUAAUUGUUAUAUUGAAGGGACGAUGACUUACACUAAGUAUGUAUUUAGAAGUAUAGUUGUGAUUUUUUUUUAAUUAUUGUUAUUUUAAAAUAAAUUAAAAUAAUAAUUUUUAUUUUUAAUUUUUUUAAGAUUAUCAUAUCAACAAUAAUCUAAAACAUAGAAAAUAUAUUAACUUUUAAUAAAAAAAAUUUAAUUUUUUUAAAAAAUAUAGCUUUAACCACGUUGCAGACGGCGUCGGCAGAUGCAGAUGCCUUUUCUUUUUUUCUUUUUUAUCGGCAGAUGCCUUUUUCUUUUUAGAUGUCUUUUGCCUUUUUCUUUAUAUAUAUAUAAAGAAAAAAGAAAACACGUAAUUUCAAGGAAGACAUAAGGUCAAGUCGUCGUCCCCACCCAUCGAUAUGGCUAUUAUUGCCCGAGCAAUAAUGUCUUGUGGACAUAAAGGAUUCAAAUAUUCUUUGAAGUAAAAUUUUAAAAACUAGGAUUCAUGGGUGUUUCGGUAAAAUAAUUGAAGUAAAAUUUUUAGUUAUAAUCAAAGUGAAUUAGAGACAUUUGCAUCUUAAAAGCAUCCAUGUUUAGACAGCACGUGUGACUUUUCUCCGCAGACCAACACCACUUUUUACGACUGUAUUAAAGCAUAACGACGUCAUUUUUUUAAUGGUUAGACACGUGUGCAUGACUGCGUAAUGGUUUACCUCCAACAAUUAUUGCUGUAAUUAGAAGAAACAUAUAUUCUCGUGUAUAUCAUAUCACAACUGUGAUAGAUAAUUUUCAUGAUGUGAGCUUGCAUGUCAUUUUACGCCUACAUCCAAUCUUAUGCGGAAAAACGAAAGAGGAAAGAAAUACUCAACGAUUUUAUGAGAACCUGAAAACGAAUGUUUUUUCAUCUCAUUUCUGGCCUCCACUAACCUUAGUUUGGACUAGAUUUAAAUUAAAAUAGAUGAGAAUUAUCGCACAAAACUACUAAAACUAAGAACUAUGAAUAUAUUUUUGAGACUUUUACUGAUAACAAAAUGAACUAUGAACAAUCAGUACUAUCAAUGGUCAUAUUAAACUACAUGUACAUAAAAAAAUAAAAUUACAAAUGCAGUAUCCACCGAGUUUAAGUUUUGAGUUACAAAGUUAUCUACACAUACCAUGCAUUGAUUGCAUUGAUGAUAUGAGAACCUGAAAAUAAACCCAAUAAACCUUCAAAGUACAGGUCUUUAAAAUAAGAAAAAAAAAAUUCUUGAUAUGAACUGAUCAUAUGAAAAUGAUAAGAGAAAAAGAGGGAACCUGCUAAGGGGUUUACUGAUAAUUAAUCUUCAUGUGAACAGAGGGCACAUUUUUUUUUUAUCCUUUUCUAACACUUUUUUUUUCCAGUUUAUCUUAAACGUUAGAUUUACUGAUAAUUAAAUUUUAGAUUUUUAUUUUUCUCCGUGCGAGGUUUUCCCUUUGUAUGCAGCCCCUUUAACAGUUAAUCUGCAUUACAUGGGACAUGGAAAGUGAGCUCAGAAUAGGAAAAAGAUGUGAAUUUGUUGACUACACAUUAUAUUAUAAUGGUUAUUAUGAUUUUAUUGGAAAGAAAUAAUGAGUUAUAUUACUCAUUAUAUUAGUCUGCCCCUAUAAUUGGAAUUUUUUAAAAAAAUGAUACAGUUAGAGAAAUAAUAUGGUUUAAUUGUUUUUUAGAAAACAACAUAGUUUCAAAAAAUCUGCUAUUUUAAAUCUUGAUUUUAAUAUAUCUGUGAUUUUGCAAAACCACAAUCUAUCCAAAUAAAUCGGCCUUUUUCUUUCUCCUUUAUAUAUAUUUAUUUAACUGAUGACAGAAUGAACUAUGAACAAUCAGUGCUAUCAAUGGUCAUAUUAAACUACAUAUACAUAAAAAAAAUAAAAUUACAAAUGCAUUAUCCACAAAGAGUAAGUCUUGAGUAACAAAGUUAUCUACACAUACCAUGCAAUGAUGAUACGAGAACCUGAAAAUAAACCCAAUAAGCCUUCAAAGUCCAGGUCUUUAAAAUUAGAAAAAAAAAUCUUCAUGUGAACUGAGCAUAUAAAAAUAAUAAGAGAAGAAGAGGGAACCUGCUAAGGGGUCGUAGAAACCAACACCUUGAAGGUGUUUGCCAUCUCUUGGAGUAUGGCUAUCAGCAGCAACAAUUCUGUAAAAUGCCCUGUUUUUGCAUCCAGUCUUGCUAAAUCAAUUUCACCGCCAUUUUCUCUACUAAAAUAAGUAUUGGGUUGUGACUGAUUUAUGAGCUUUCUUAUUAUCAUAUAGAACCAAUGAUAUAAAUUCAUGUUUUCUAUUUUUUUUUUCUUUUCCUUUUCGUUGCUUUCCUCACAUUCUUCUUGCCAACCAAGCUUGAACUUGGUUUCAGAGUGGGAGAAGACCUUAUAAUUUACAAUUUAUUGCCAUCAUUGGCCCCUGUUAGGUAUACUCUUAUUUGUUACAGUGCUUUCGUCAAUGGUUCUUUCACACACACAUGUUGAUUUCUAAGCUGAUAAUGUUCAAAACAAACUUCACACUUUUCUGAUAUUGUUCAAGUACUCAGAUCAUUUGAUGUAUUCCAUAAAAAUGACUUUUCUGAUAUUGUUCAAGUACUCAGAUCAUUUGAUGUAUUCCAUAAAAAUGGCGUGCAUUCGACUAUUAAGUUAGAGACUAUUUAUCGGGGGUUGCUUCUUACAAUGGCCCUAAAGAUGUGAGUAUAGCCUUCCCCAGAAGUCUUUUAUCUUUCAUGUAUUUAUGGUGUAAUGGGCACAAUUUGGUAAAUCAUAAUGGAAACCAGGUCUAAAACCAAGUCUUGUUUAUUGUUGCAGACUUCCAGGAAACUUAGAUUUUACACGAACAAUGCUAAAUGCCAUUUCUAGCAUGUUAUGAGAAGUAGUUAUGAGACACUCAUCAAUGAGCGUGCUUAUAUAAAAAAUCACAGGCCGACAAUAAAAGCCAUCUAAUAUUUUUAUAGCUUGGUUUUGUUCAAAUCUUCUAAAGAAAUAUGGAUUGUUUAUUCAAUGCACUGCACCAUUCUACAGUGCUUUUACCAUAGAGAGAGGAACCCAAAUCUAUAAGAGCCAACGGAUUGCCUUGUACAUGACUUACAAUCUUUUCUAUCAAUUCUUUAUGAUCAAUUGUGGGGUUGCAAUUCUUCAUGGCUUUGGAGCUAAAGAGUUCAAGAGAUUCUUCAUAGUUCAACCCCUCAACCUCGUAUGUUUUGUCUACUACAUUUUUAAACACUUGCUUGUCCCUACUUGUUAUGAGAACUUUACUGCCCGAACCAAAUGAACUGUGUUGUCCAUCAAGCAAAUCUUUCCAUUCUUCCAAAGGCAUUAAGUCAUCCACAUCAUCCAGAACAAUAAAAACCUUUUUACGACGAAGUCUUUCCCUCACAAAAGAAUCUCGAAAACUCAAGAAGCCCAUGCUCAUAAUUUCUUGGCCAAGCAGCUGUGAAAGAAAUCUUCUUUGCAAAUCAGCCAUGGAACCUGUUUCUAAUUCUUUCCUAAAGUUUGCAAAAAAGAUUCCUUCAAAUCGAGAACGGACCUUGUUGCACAGAGCUUGAGCAAUCGUUGUCUUACCAAUACCACCCAUUCCCCGUAUCCCUACAAUGAGAACAUCUGGAGAUUCCAUACUUAACAAAGACUCAACUUUGUUAACACGAACAUCAAUUCCAAAUAGAGCCGUAGUGUGACUUGAAGACAUGGCUUGCAAUUUGUUGGAAACAUCUCCAACGAUUUUCUCAAUAAAUUCAGACUCCAGCCUGAUAAACAAGAAGAACACACCUAAUUGUUAGUCAAAAUGGACAGGACAAGAAGAAACAUAUAAACAUACUCACUCCUUGGUAGCUACAUCUAUACAUAGUAGACACGUACGAGUAAUUGAGUAUCAUUAUUGGCAAUGGAUAGUACUAAUGUAACACAUGAAUCAUAAACCUGGACAAGAUUCUCUUACUUGGCCUCUCCAGAGAAUGCAUUUGAGUUCAGAAAUAUGCAGCAGCUCCCUACUUAUCUCAGGCUACAGUUAAUCAAUUCUUGAAAUUGGAAACUACUGUAUAUCUAAGAAAAUCAAUGAAAUGCAAAUGCAUAAGAUGUUUUCUCAAAUCAUUAUAUCAUAUAAUCAUUUCAAUUAAAAAAGUUGAAUUAAAAAACUUAAGUUGUUAGGAGAAAAUCUCAAAAAAUAUAAUUUAUAUUAUUUUUUAAUGAAUCAUAAUCUUUUUCACCUCAAAUAAAUAGACUAUUAAUGACCCGAUUUCAAGUGAAACAAUCGAAGAAAACAUUGAUUGUCCUAAUAAAAUUUAACAUAAGGAAUCCUAAGUAUCUUCUUUCUGUCUCCUAAAACUUAAGAUAUGUACAAGUGUUUCGCUAUAAUGUUUUCAAAAUCAAAUAAAAUAAAUACGAAUUCAAAGAGCUCAUCAUUGUCAAUAAUUUUAAAUUAAAUUUCAAAUACUCAACAAAAGAACGAAUAUUUUCUCAUGGGAUAUAUUUCAAGAGCUUACUCAGAAUUCCCUAAGGUCCAUCCAGAUAGAGUGGCUGUAUCCUUCAAAGCGUCUCUGAAGCUCUGCACUUUUUCCAUCGUCAAAGCUUUCUUCUUUAUAAGUCUAGCAAACGCAUCCCCAAACCUCCCUGUUUGAUUUCUUACAUGGGAUUGAUCCACCUGGUAGAAUACUGGAAUAACUAUCUGUCCAUUAUUUUUUCUACGCUCAAAAAUCUUUGCAAGCUCCUCCAAGCACCAUUUGGAAGAUGCAUAGUUUUCAGAAAAAACAGUCACAGAAAGCUUGGCCUCUUCAAUUGUUCUCAGAAGUGAUGCCGAGAUCUCAUCUCCUCUCACAAGCUGAUAAUCUAUGAAAGUUAGGAUUUGUUUCCGGUUCAAAGCGGCAUAGAGGUGGCUGGUAAAAUCAAAACGAGUGUCUUCUCCUCUGAAACUAAGGAAGACAUCAUAUUUCAUUCCUCGUGGCUGGGCGGUGGUUAAGGUGGAAGGAGUUGAUGGCGAUGGAGAUAUAUGACGGUUUCGUAUGAUGAAUCUCCAGAUAUAAACAAACAAAAAGAUAGAGAGAAACAAGAAAAAUACCGCCGUUGUUUUGUGGAGAAACAGUCGAAGAAACAAGAGUAAGACUCUGGU
rnacentral:lncRNA from 1 species